AUGCAGCUUGGAAGACUCUUAAGUUCCUUGCAAUUUUUUAGGUUGAAAUGACUCAACCCCGUGAGAUUAUUAAUUGACUCGGGCAAUUCUUUAAUUUUUGACCCGGAUAAAUUAAGCUCUUCUAACUCCUCCAUACCUUCUGAAAUCUCUGGAAACAUCUCAAGACUGGAGCAAUCAGAAAGAUCAAAGGUUUUGAGAGAUCUCAUACGAAUUUUGCUAGGUAGAAUCUUAAGUUCCUUGCAAUCUUUUAGGUUGAAAUGACUCAACCCCGAGAGAUUAUUAAUUAACAGGGGCAGUUCUUUAAUUUUUGACCCGGAUAAAUUAAGCUCUUCUAACUCCUCCAUACCUUCUGAAAUCUCUGGAAACAUCUCAAGACUGGAGCAGUCAGAAAGAUCAAAGGUUUUGAGAGAUCUCAUACGAAUUUUGCUAGGUAGAAUCUUAAGUUCCUUGCAAUCUUUUAGGUUGAAAUGACUCAACCCUGAGAGAUUAUUAAUUGACAGGGGCAGUUCUUUAAUUUUUAACCCGGAUAAAUUAAGCUCUUUUAACUCCUCCAUACCUUCUGAAAUCUCUGGAAACAUCUCAAGACUGGAGCAGUAAGAAAGAUUAAAGGUUUUGAGAGAUCUCAUAGGAAUUUUGCUAGGUAGAAUCUUAAGUUCCCUGCAAUUUGAUAGGUUCAAAUGACUCAACCCCGUGAGAUUAUUAAUUGACGGGGGCAGUUCUUUAAUUCUUGAUCCGGAUAAAUCAAGCUCUUCAAACCCCUCAAUCACUUCUGAAAUCUCUGGAAACAUCUCAAGGUUCGAGCAACCAGAAAGAUUAAAGGUCUUGAGAGAUCUCAUACGAAUUUUGGUAGGUAGAAUCAUAAGUUCAUUGCACCCAUGCAGAUCCAAUAAAACAAGGUUUGAAAGAGUCGAAAUAGAUGGGUGAACCUCAACUAAGCUUAUACAACUUCGAACAAUUAGCCUCUCAAGAUUUGGCACAUUUGUGAAGUCAGGGGUUUCCUUAAGGGAUUGACAAUUACUUAAAUUGAUGAAUUUCAACUUUUCCUGUGUCUGUUAAAACAUUCAGGAAAACAUGCAUUACUUAAUAAGACAUCUCACUCAAAGCCCAAACAUUUAAAAGAAACAAAUACAUGUAAAUGAUUGUACGUACCUGGGUUCCUUCCCAAAGUCGGUCAAUGAGACUAUAUUGCAUGUCAAGUUCAACAAGAUUUUCGAAUUGAAAGUUGGAUGGCAAAGACUUGAGAGGGAAACCAAGCCAGGAGAGAUAUCUCAAGUUAAGCAACUUUAAGGACCCAAACAGGUGGUGUUUGCAGCACUCAUCUUUAAAAACGAAGUGCCUAUAAAUGAUCUUGAGAAGUCUUCGUUGAGUCCUUCUAACAACAGCUUCAGCAUUUAUGUGCCUAUGAUUGAUCUUGAGAAGUCUUAGUUGAGUCAUUCUAACAAAAGCUUCAGCAUUUAAGCAUGGCCAGCUUGAGUACGAGAAAUCCACAAUUAUGCUUUCAACUGUUUUUGUAGCCUGUGCAAAUCAAAGUAAAGGAAAAUACAGAGAACCUUAGUUUUGAUUAUGAAAUUAAUGAUUGUUUCUUAAGGAGCCGUCUGAUAAUCAUUUCAUUUUCUGUUUAAUUGUUUUCAAUUUUCAUUAUUAAAACAAUGAAAACUAAAAAUUGAAAACAAAAAUGGUUAUCAAACAGGCCUAAGAAAUUGAUUUUGAUCAAAAGUUGAACCUUUCUACUAACAAUUGCAUAAGAAAAAGAUUUCUCACCGUAUUUUCAGUUAGCACCUCACAAACAUCUUCAUAACUCCACAACCUACUUCGUCUCCCAGGAUCUUUGCUAGAUUCUUGGCGGACAAUUUCCCGACCCAUUUCCUCUAAUGAAUCAUGCAUCUCCAAUACCCCCAACGUUGAGACAGUUAUGAGAGCUCGAUCAAUUAGAACUUUUAUUCCUGUAUGAGGAUGGAAACCACAACUGUCCAGAAUUUCAGUUGCCUGGUCUUCCUUCAUCCCUCUAAAGAAACAUGCAAUAUCUAGAAAGAUGUCCUUCUGUGUGUCAUCUAGUCCAUCGAAGCUUGUUUUAAGCACAUCAUGAACUCCCCUUUGUGGGAUUUUCCUUAUUUUUUCUAACUCACCUUCCCACACGCGUAUAGUUUUUUUAUGCAAAAAAGCUCCCAAGACUUUGAGGGCUAAAGGCAGACCUUGAGCAUAUUCUACAACACGAUUCGAGAGAUCAUAAUAAUCUCUGUUGGGUUGGUCAUUUUUGAAGGCGUACUGCCAAAAGAGUUCCAGAGCUCCAUAAUAACUCAAAGUCCGGGGAUUAUAUAUCACAUCAGUUAUGCUUAGUAACUGCGAAUCUCUACUUGUUAUAAUAAUCCUACUUCCAACACCAAAGGAACGUUUCUUUCCAAGUAAAGCUUCAAUUUGUUCUGAUUCGUCCACAUCAUCAACAACAAUAAGAACUUUUCUCCGACCAAGUCUUUUUAACAUCUUCUUAAAACCAUAUUUUGAUAUGUCAGAACUCCCCACCUUGUUGUUCGAUAUACUCGAUAGAAGUUGUGUCUGCAUAUGUGGUUUGCCAUGCUUCAUGAAACCCUCCUUGACGUUUUCAAGAAAGCAAGAAGCUUCAAAUCGACAUGCGAUUUCAUCAUAAACUGCUCUAGCGAUGGUUGUUUUGCCUAAACCACCCAUACCCCAUAUUCCAACAACGCGAACAUUAUUCGCUUCACCUCCGGGAGGAUAUAAUAAUAAAUGCAUUUCAUGCAUGUGAGAAUCCAUGUCAACCAAGCCAUUAUCUUUGCUUGAUGUUGAUGAGAUGUCGAUCAAUUUCCUAUAAACAUAUUCUACAAUUUCCUCAAUAAGCUCUGCAUCAUUCCUGUCAAAUUAAAAAAAACAAUAUAAUAACACCACCAAAUAAUAAUUAAUGGGUUUUUUCAUCUGUUAGUUAAAAAAAAAAACAGAAAUUAAAACUAAAAACUAGAUAUUUAUAAAAUUACCGCAAAACGUUACAAAAAUCCCAAAAAUUAAUAGGAAACUAAAACAAAUUAGAAUUUACUCAUAUUUUCGCGAAUCCCAGCCGGAUAAACUGGUGGCAGUUGUAAGAGCGGAUCUCCAGCUCUGAACCUCUUCCAUUUCAGCGUUAGAAUCACGAUCGUGCUGAGCAAAAGCUUCCUCGAAUUUUCUCUUGAGUUUACGAACGUCAGACGGAUCAACUUCAUAGAAAAUGGGGAGUACAAUCUGGUUAUUGGUAUCCUUGCAUUUCAAGAUUUGCACGAGUUCUUUCAAGCACCAAGUGGAAGAAGCAUAGUCUUGAGAGAAAACUACAAUCGAAAGCCUUGACUCUCGAAUCGCUGUCAGGAGCUCAGAAAGGUGGUCGCCUUUUCUGAGCUUCUCGGCAUCAAUGAAGGCGUUGAUUGGUUUCUUAACCAGAGCGUUGUAGAGAUGGCUGACGAAGCCCCUGCGAGUGUCUUCCCCUCUGAAAUUGAUGAACACAUCGUAUUUGCAACCAAGGCCAGAAGAAGAUGAAGAAGAAGAAGCAGCCAUUAUUAAUCGAUCGCACCUGGUCAGCGACGAUCGAGCAGCUAAGACUAAGAGAAUUGUAAGUACAGAGAUACUCAAUAGAUCUACAAAUUGGAUCACCGGAAAUUAGUCUGAUCGAUACCAAGUCAAUGAGUCAAUGCAAAAGGGAAAAAGGGGAAAGUGAAAUUAUGCUUUAUGUUUUUUCACAUCUUCUUCGGGGAAAUUUCGGUGUGAAAGGAAUCUUAUCCUUUUGAUUUUUUAACCGAAGCAAAUGCGAAGAAAAGGGUCAAAGUGGAAAAUUGAAUAUACACUUGCCUAUCCAACAACCUCUUAAUUUAAUAUAUUUAAUUGAGAAAAGUAGUUUAGAGGAAUGAUGGUAUCUCCUUUUCUUCUCACUCAAUCUUCCGGCAUGCGAUUUAAUCAUUAUUAAAGCCAAGCUUAAUAAUAGGUCGUAUUAUUUAGGUCGUAUUGGAUUAUAAGUUUUUGUUGUGAACUUGUGAUACGAUAGUUGAAAAAUUAAAAAAAUUAUAAUUUAAAUGUACGCGGUGAAAUCUGUUAGAAUUUAGAUUCAAAAUUGAAAAUUUUAUUAACUUCGUUAAUUAUUAGCACACGAAGCUCACAAAUGAAAUAAAAUAAUAAAAUGUAAUCUUCACGUGCUAACAAUUAAUGGAGAGUUUCAUUUUAACCUAAAAUGUGUGGCUUACGUACUAAUAAUUAACGGAAUGUUGAUAAAAUUUUCAAUUUUAAGCAUAAAUCUUAAUAAACUUCAUCACAUGAGCUUAAAUCCUAAUUCAACUAUCUUCUCACUACCUUACCUUACCACUAAAAAAAUUAUUAAUCAAAUUAAGCUUAUUACUUACUUACAAAUACGUAACUAAAUCACUGAAAGCUAUCUCCGUUUCUUUGCUGGGUGGACAGCUGUCUCUUUGUCUUCUUUUGGCAGAUAGCUACUAGACUCCUAGGCCUCGUUUGUUUGACGUCCUUAGCUAGGACUGGACUAGCUAGGACUAAUAACCCUUGUUUGGUGCAAGCCGAGAUUGAGUUUAGUGGGAUUAAGUAGGACUCGUGCCGACUAAAUCCUUCGUUAGCUGGGCUUAGCGAGAGCCCCCGAAAAGGAGGGGAUUGCUAGUCCCGUUUCCUCGUCUUCCCUCUCACGCCGCGUCCUCGUGCUCGUCCUGCACGACUGCACCAUCUCUGACGACGACUCGUCUUCCUCCACCCACCCCCUUGCCGUCUGCAACUCCAAUCCCCACCCAUGGAAGAACAAGUGAAUUAAAGCAGCUAAUUUGCAAGAACAAGUGUAAUCAGAGCAAAAAAGUCAAUAAAAAUUCGAACGGAAGAGAGUAGAGAGAUGAGUGGAGCCUACCUCCUCCUCGUCUCGUAACACACGGACUGGAUCCAUCUUUGCUCCUUCCAAUCUCAGAAUUUUUUGUUUUUCACUUUGACGGACGACAAAUUCAAACACAAGCCAAGAUCAUAUUCAGUCAUGCAUUUCCUCAGAAGGCGGCACACUGCGAGAUGAACUUGAUUGGUGUUUUGUUUUUGGGAUUUGACCAAAAUCGUAAAGGCAGAUUUUCUUCAUCUGAGAACUGGAGAAAAAUUGGGAAAGUUUUGUUUGUUGGGAAGGGAAAGGAACGGUAGAGAUAAGGGAGAAAGAAUUAAAAUGAACAAAAGAAAAAUAUCUGAAUUUUAAAAAUAAUUUAGUCCGGUACUGCACCAAACGCUUCACUAAGUUAGUCAUGCUUAGUCUAGUCCAAGCCAGUCCAGCUUAGUCCCUGAACCUAGUCCAGUCCGAGAUAGUCCGGUGCAACAAACGCACCCCUAGUGGCCGGCCUAUUUUCCACAGCUGGUAUAGGACUCAGUUGCUAUACAAGAAGUGUUAUGUUGUAAUUCACUAUUGAUGGAAAUCCAACAGAAUCUUCUUCGACUUGUUGUGAGGAUUUGGGAUAUUUAUGAAUCGUAUCCAUUUAUCGUAUAUUGUGGGAUCAGUUUUUAUUAAAUAGUAUUUGUGUUUAAUUUUAAAUAAAAAAAUUUAAAAUAAAAUUUUACCGCACGAUAUACUAUGAACGAAUACAAUUCAUAGAUCUCCAAGAUCCUCACAAGGAGAAUCCAAAAAGGAUCCGGAUUCAAUGGAAAUAUUCGUAAAUGAUCCGGAUUCAAUGGAAAUAAGCUAAUUUUGAAUCAAAUAACAUUACUUUAUUUUGUAAGUAAAUUAAUUUUAAAUCAAACAACAUUAAUUUAUUAUGUAGCUAAUUAAUUUUGUAUGUGUCAUCAUAUAUAUUAGGCGCAUUUUAUUAUAGGUGAUUUUGUGGUAUUCAUCUUCAUUUAUAAGUAAAAAGUCUUAGGUUCGAUUCUCACAAAAGUGAAUUUGAACCAUAUUAUUGCUAGUCCAUUAUGAGGCCUAACCCACCCUCCUCCCCCUUAGUGUAGAUAGAUCGUUUGUUCAAAAAAAUAUAUAAUCAAAAUAGAACGUGAAGCGAAACAAUAGAUCAACAAUAUUUAUGUUAAUUAUAAAUAGGUCAACUAUGUAUGUGAUACUUAAAUUCAUUUAAAAUAAAAUAAAAUUACAAAAUCUGCCACUACAGUUGGCACGCACUUCAAUUAACAUUUUCUUUCUCAUAAUUUUUAUAUUUGGAAUGAGUCAUACGAAUCAAAUACUGCAAUGUAUUGUCUGUUUUCUGAUUCUAUUUUUUUACAUUUGGAUUCAGACACUGUGUUGUAGUGUCCAUUUAUUGGUUUCGUUUUUUCCAUCAGUCACACGCCUCCUACAUGUUCCUUUGUACAUUUGGAUUUAGACAAUGCAAUGCAGUGUCUGUUUCUUGGUUUUGGUUUUCCCUUUUGGAUUCAAACGCUGCAUUGCAAUGUAUGUUUCCUAGUCCUAUUUUUUUCAUCAUCCACACGUCUUCUACACUUCACACUUUCACGCGACUCCUGAUUUUUACAUUCAGAUUCAGACAUUGUAAUGCAGUGCUCAUUUCCUACCUCUGAUUUUUACAUUUAAAUCUAGGGUUAAACUCUGUUUACUACCCUCAUGUUUCGUGGUUUUCAACAUAUAGUACAUCAAGUUUUUUUCAUCCCAGUCAUACCUAAAGUGUUAAUUUUGGGACAGUCUCGUAUAUCUGUUAGUCAAACUGUUAGUUCUCCCGUUAAGUGAUGACAUAGCGCCCAUGUGGACAAUGACUAGGCCCCAAGUGUCAUUAAAAAAUAUUAAAAUAAUUAAUUAAAUAAAAGUUAUAAAAAAAAUCAUCCCUUCUCUCCCUUCUCCCCUCGCUGUCACACCCCGAUCCAGACAUACGUCCAAAGAUCGACACGUGACGUCACUAAAUGCCCGUAACUCAACGUACCCUGCCUUUUGGAUAUGUACAAAAUAUAAUUCCAGAUCCAGAUGCAUAAUAAUUUUGUGUAUACUUUAUGGCUGCAUCUAACCUCUUCGUUAGACUGCCUACGUACCCUCAAUAGGGAUCAAGUCAUUCGUAGUUCAACUUUUCACUACACUCGAAUAUUUAUCACAUAAAUUGCCAUAUUUCAACAUAAUGCACAAUUCAGAGCAUGCAACAUCUCAAGGAACAAUCGACGAGGUGCAAUAAUAAUCUAUAGCCAUAUUGGUCAGCGGUAUAUCAUAAUCAUAACAAUUACAUCCAACAAUCACACCAAAUAAUAACACAUACAACACACUGACAUGCAAGGCUAGAACGACGCAGUUCGGCUGAAGCCUACAUCUCUGAAGCUGAAAUCAAAUCCAAUGAACCAAGUCACCAAAGGGAUUCUGGACCACUCAACGGAAUCAAACUCAAGAUACGAUUCCGGACCAUCACUCAACGGAAUCGUGGAGUAGUAAGGAUUCCAAACCAUCACUCAACGGAACCGGGGAGUACCAUGCAUAUAGAACCACCCAAUGUAAUACAAGCUGGAUACGAUUCAGGAUCAUCACUUAACGGAACCGGGGAGUACCAUGCAUAUAGAACCACCCAUGGAAUACAAGCUGGACACGAUUCUGAACCAUCACUCAACGGAAUCACAGAAUAGAAGGGAUUUCGAACCAUCACUCAACGGAAUCCGAGUCAGGGUACGAUUCCGGACCAUCACUCAACAGAAUCGCAGAAUCGAAGGGAUUCCGGACCAUCACUCAACGAAAUCCGAAUCAGGAUACGAUUUCGGACCAUCACUCAAUGAAAUAGAGUGGAAGAUCAAGGGAUACAACAACGGCUUGCAGAAACAAUACAAGAACCAAGUACUUAAUUUAGAAUGGCUGAAUGAAAAUAGAUCAAUCCAAUCAUACAUUACAAACCCCAUGACAGUAGGUUAACGGUCCACUACUAGCCCUCACAUUUCAUCACAUCAAUCCAAUCAUACAUUACAAACCAUAUUUCCAAAACACAAGUAAAAUCAUACUUAAUGAAAAUAGAUCGAUGGCCAGAAAUAAAAAUAACACUUCAAUAGAAUUCACAUUCAAUAAACAUAGGUCUAUGGUGUGUGUGUGUGUGUGUGUGUUGUGUUUCACAUUUCAAUAGAAUUUCAUUUAUAACCUAUAUCUUAUUCACAUAUGAUAUUAAUAUAAGAAAUCAAGGUAAUAGCUAUAUCACAUAUAUUCAAGUCACUCUCAAACCAAUGUGGUCCCACUAGGUUUCACUUAGUUCCCCGUAGUACUAAUUUUAGUAUUUAGAACGUUUCGAGACAUGUUGACCAAAAGCCAAUUCUUGGUCGACAGUAGGAUCCACAACGCUACAAAAUUUGAUCCAGAAGAUCCGAACAUCAUAAUCAAGAUCCGUAACUUCCUAGGGUCCACAUUAUUCUCAAAGAACAACGUACUAAAAUCUCAUCGCAAUCCAACGGUCAGAUCUCCGCCCAUUGCUAGAAUUAGGUGGCGGUUAACAAUUAAUUUUACUAACUUAGAAAUCUAAUUCAUGAAGAUCCGUACAUCAGAUUCCCGAUCUGUAAGUUCUUAUGAUCCCAAAAUAUUACGUACUAUAACAUAUUAAAGUUUGGUGACGAUUCAACAGUCGGAUCGUCGAUUUCUAUUUUGACUUAUUCACGUAUCAAAAUGAAACUAAGUCCAAACAAUCAAAUUACGUCAUACGGAUAUCAAACAUGAACCCAGGGCAUCUAAUAGUGCUUAAAAAGACAUCAUUGGCCCACAGGCCACGCGCCGCCGUGGGUGGCGGUCGGCCACCCCAACUAAUCGAAAAAUUCAACUAUUUUAAAAAUUCUCAAAAAAUUACAAAAUUGAAGAUCUCAAAGAGUAGAAUAAACUUUAUAUCUAUGGCCAAGUCCAAUUUGGCCUAGAAAGUCCCCAAUGUUGUGAAAACCGUACGGAAACCUUAGAAUGGGUGUGUUCGAUUUAACCUCCAAACUUGCUCUGACGCCUCCACCACUGCUUGGGAUUUGUUCAUGGGUUAUAGGGGAGUGCUUUGGUGGUAGUAGUUGAAGAGAAACAUUUCACAAUUGAUGGAUUUUGAGCAAUGGUUCCCGCGUCACCCAUGGUGCUUGUUCCCCAAAUUCCAAGACUAAUUCCACUCCAAUUUUGGGUGGAAUAGGUAGAAGGAAUGAUGAGAGAUGACUUGAAGGGGGAUGACACUGGGCUGGAUCUAUCAGCAGCGAAUUCCCCAUACAAAUAGAGGCGCCUAUCAAAAAGAUACUCCGAAGACUUCGAGAUUGAGGUAUCAUUAGCCGAAGAAGGCCUUGGCCAAUCCACGUGGCCUGCUUGACGAACGUCAGCGACAGAGACAUCAGGUGGUGGGGGACCUUCAUCUCGCCGGAAAUUGGCCGGGAGACCAUGAAUCCCGCCGAUUUGUGUCUCACGGGUCAAAAGACCCGUUUUCCACCCCCCACCUUUUUUUUCUUUUUUCCUUUGUCUCGCCACUCCUGUGGCUUUCUUUCAUUUUCAUUUUUUUUAGCAACAACUUCAAACGUCCGUAACUAUACCGUUAUAAUCCGGACUCGCAAACGGCUUUCGCCUAUGCAUUCGUGAUCUCGAUAUCUAUUCAACAAUAUAAAUUGUGACCUCGAAUGGUCUACGGAUUUUAAAUAAUUAAUUUCCCGAAAAAUAAUAUAAAAUCUCUAUAAUACCAAUAUGUAGAUUAUAAUAAUGAAAUCCAAGAAUGAGAUUUCACACUCGUCCCCAACCCAGAAGAAGAAGAAGAAAAAAAAAAAAAACCGAAUCUGCAACCCAGAAGAAGAUGAAGAAGACAUGUUUUGAAAAGUAAACUUUAAUGCAGGAAAUCAAUACUACAAAGGAAGUAGCUGAGCUAUAAAUACAGAGGAAUGUUUGAACUACAAAGGGAGUAUGUGAAGAGUAGGAUGCAAAGCUUUUUAGAAGUCUUUUUUAAUAUGUUGAGUUAAGUGUCUUUUUUUUUCAACCUUUUUGCUGCCUUUUAUAGAACCGCCAUUUUCUUCUAGAGUAAGCCUUUCCUCCUCGAUUCAUUCUCUCUGGUGCAAGCAGCUGAUAUGAUUUGUUGUCAAAGGAUGAGUUCCCACUUGUAUACUUGAGCUUUUGAUCCCCUUGAAACGUAUCAUCGUUGGCGCAUUCAUCAUAGAAGCUCCAGCUUCAUACUAUCAUAAACACCGUACAUUUGAUAUUUAUUACAAAAUUUUCCUUUCUUCUUUUGCUUUUUCUAAUAAAAAAAUUAAGGUUGAACACAACAGGCUUUGUGGUUCAAAAAUCUAAUGGAAUAUUUGAUAGAAGGGUUGGAUUGUUAGCUUUGGGCUAAUGGAGAGUUGACAAAAAUAUUAAUUUUUGGCUUGAAUCCUAACAAACUUCACCACAAGGAUUUAAAUCCGAUUUUUUUUUUUCACCAUAGGGGUAAUCUUCUUAUUAUCCUAUCACCACGGGGACCAUUGAUCCAAUUUAGCCACUAAAUCAUAUUGCAUCAACUGAACAAAUAUAUUUUUUGUAUUGACGAAGAUAGAUAUAACCGUUAAUCGAUGGAAAAUUCGUUAUUCGGUGGGUAUAAUUAUGGAUAAUUACUGAUGAUUAAUUUACGUUUAUGGAGUGGUUAUUUUCAUGGUUAUUGGGAUGGAUAUAUCAUUUCCGUCCCAAACCAAACCGUUGUCAUCCCUAUAUUUGUUUAUGAGAAAAGUUAAUGAGACUUUCUCAAAAUGAGACUCUCCAUAAACGAUCUAUGCUAACUCAUGUUUUUUGUACAAUACUUUAUAAUGUUGGCAUGAAAAUUAUGCCAAAAACAUUUGAUGGUGGAGAAUCCAUAAAUAGUACUACUUAUGAAAGAGUCUCCUUAACAUUUUUCAUUUGUAUAUAGGCUAAAUAGCCAAAAUGGUCCUUGAGAUUUGCAUAACUCAUCACUUUGGUCCCUAACAUUUCAAAUCGAUAAAAUUGGUCCCUGAGAUUGUCCACCAUCCAUCAUUUUGGUCAUUCCAUUAAAAACUCCGUUAAGUGUCUCGGAACUCUUGGCCGGAAGUUUGGACAAUUUUCAAAGCUUCGUAACUCAAUCGUUUCUUAACCAAAUUCGACCCAUAAUAUAUGAAAAUGAAGAUAGAAAAGUGUAGAAUAAGAUUAUACUUAUUUAUAAGCCCAAUGGCUACCAGAGAUAGCCGGAAAAUAGUCUCAAAUUUGACUGGUCUGAAGGAAAACUGGAAAACUCGCCGGAAACUAGGUAAACUUUAAACGUUCAUAACUUUUUCAAUACGCAACGAAAUCAAGUGAUUUAAAAAAAAAAUCAUACUUCUCAACGAGAAGAAGAGAAUGAUAUCUUUUUCGAUGGCUAAUGCACCGUGGUUUGGCUGGAAAAUGGCUCAAAAGUGGCUGUCUUAGUCUCAAGUUAGCCACUUUCGAGCCAUUUUUCGGCCAAACCACGGCGAUUUAGCUGUCUACAAAGGUACCAUUCUCUUCAUCUCAUCAAGAAGUAUGAUUUUCGUUUUUGAAUCACUUGAUUUCGUUGAGUAUUGAAGAAGUUAUGAACGUUUAAAGUUGACCUAGUUUCCUGCGAUUUUUCCAGUUUUCCCUCGGACCAGUCAACUUUGAGGCUAUUUUCUGGCCAUCUCCAGCAUCUAUUGGGCUUCCAAAUAGGUAUAAUCUUAUUCUACACUUUCCUAUCUUCAUUUUGAUAUAUAUGGGUCGAAUUUGGUUAAGAAACAAUUGAGUUACGAAGGUUUGAAAAUUUCUCAAACUUCAGGCCAAGAGUUCCAGGACACUUGUCAGAGUUUUUAACGGAAUGAUCAAAAUGAUGGAUGAUGGACAAUCUUAGGGACCACUUUUAUCGAUUUGGGAUGUUAGGGACCAAAGUGAUAAGUUAUGCAAAUCUUAGAGACCAUUUUGGCUAUUUAGCCUUUGUAUAUAUGAUGGGUAAUAUUAGGGAGAGUAAAUUUAGAUACAAAACUAGCAAAUUAAAUGACAAUAAAAUGAGCAUGUUUAUCAGCGCUUAAGUAAUAAAUUAAUCAUCAACUUUCACGUUCCUGUUGUAAACAUUCCUAGUUUAAGUAUGAUUGUGUAAAUCCUAGAUAAGAUUUGAUUCUAGUUAUCCUUUCCUAUUACAACUUGUAUUACUUGGAGGAGAAGAAAUAUCUUCUCUACCUUUACUACUAUAAAUAAAGGCACAAUGUAGGAGGGAUAACAACACAUACAUUCCCCUACAAUUCUACAAACACACAUCUCUCUCAUCUCUCUCUCUGCCGCCGGCUCUAGUCUCUCUGUCAGAUAAAAUAGAUCACAACACAUUAUCAGCACGCUCCUACCGCUGCACUUAGGAAUCUGACGUUGGAGAUUUUUUUUUCUGCAUCAAACCAGUUCAUCCAUAUCAUCACGCAAUCAGGUUCUUUCCAAACAACGGUUUUUAACUCGAUAUUUUGCAAGCCCUGAUAGCAUGAACAUUCACCAUGAUGCAUGACCCAACUUUAUGUUUUACGUAUUUUAGAUUCUACAUAAAUUGUGUAUGCUUCAUAACCAAAAUUGCUACAAUUAUGUGAAUUUGAUAUUUGCCAUGAAUUGAAUCUUACAUAUGUACAUGCAUUGAAACUAUUAUUUGCAUAUGGAUCAACGUAAAUAUGUGAUUCAUUAAAUUUAUGCAUAUAAUAUAAUUGAAUUGAAAAAAAAAUAUUUUUUUUGCGAUUUGGGAAUUAGGGUUCUUCGAACCCGUGCACUUGCACCAUGCAAGCUGCAAGCCACCAGGCCAGCAGCUUGCGAUGGCCCAGCUUGGUUUCCUCACCAGGCCUGCAGCCUGCAUCAAGUCCCCACGAGGGCUCCAACCCAGAAACCCGACGUCGUUUAUGGCGUCUCUCCCAUUGUAGGAUGGCUUGCAGCCCAUCCUCACACCUCGGGUUAACUUGUCUAACAGCCUGAAGCUCGUCCUUGACAUCGAUUGACCGAGAUUCAAUUGAAUCUCAUCGGUUUUUAAAAAAAAAACCCAAUUCGAAAUUUCUAGGGUUUGAUUGCAACAAUUGAGAUUUUAAUUUCUCCAUGUUGUAAUCAUAGUCGAAAACACCCCAGAAGGGUACCUCCGAGUCUUCCCGUCCAAGUUUUGGCCACCUGCAGUGGUGGCGCCGAUCAUCUUCUCCGAUGGAAUCACCUAACCUCGCUAGGAUUUCUUGGAUCCAGCCCGAUCCCAAAUUUUUUGGGCCUGGCUUCGACUCAGGCUGAAAAAUAAUAAAUUUUUUUCUUUUGGGCUCGCCAUUGCAAGCCCAGUUCGACCCCCUCAUUUUUUCAGCCUAGCGUUACAUCACACCAGCCCAAAUGGGCUCUGGUGUUCUCCCAUGCCCCAUACUGCAGCAGAACCCAGCCCGUGUGGCUGUUGUGCUUUCCCUGCAUCGUGAUACACACGAUUGAGGCAUUCUUUGGGCCUUUGCCACCUGGGCUUACCUGAAGCAGCCCGUGAGUGAAAAAAAAAAAAAAAAAGAGAAAUUUUUUUUAGGGCUGCACACAGCAGCCCAUUCCCCUCUUCUCACCCCGUGGGCAUGCAACCUACACCCGAGGGUCCUCGGCCUAUAUUUUUAGACCCCGAGAUUUUAUUAUUUAAUACUUUUAAAUAAUAUGGGUUUUUAUAUUUUCACCCACACUUUAAUUUGGCCCCGAAGACCAAAAAUAAAUUAAUUCACUUAUCAUUAUACAAUAUUUCUGCAUAUAUUCUUUGCAUAUUUGUUUGCAUAUAUAUUUGUGUUUGCCUGCAGGAAUAUAUGAACCUAAAGUUCAUAAUUACUUUGAAACCCGAAGUUUCUUCUAAACAUGCCUUGUUUGAAAACCUGAAGUUUUCACUUAAACAUAUCACCCAUGAAACCCGAAGUUUUUCAUGCGAAAUUAUUAGUUUUUGGAUAUUAAGUUUUUAAUCCUUGAAUAAAUGAAAUUAUUUUGAAUUGAUACUUGUUUUUAUAAACUUUUAUGCAUGUGACCGAUUCAAAUUAAUUUUUCAUUCUAGGUAUGACUAGUGGGAAAGUUAGUUGUCUGGCAGAUAGUGCAACCACGCAUACUGUUUUGCGUGAACGCAUCUAUUUCACUAACUUCGUACCUAAGAAUGCACCUCUGACAACCCUCUCAGGCCCAUCCAACCUGAUCGAAGGAUACGGUAAGGCACGUAUAAUGUUGUCCAAUGGUACAAUCUUGACCAUUGCUGAGGCACUCUAUUCUCCACGUUCCGGAAGAACGUUACUAAGUUUCAAGGACAUUAGAGAUAACAAUUACCACGCUGAAACCCACGUAGAAAACGGAGUUGAAUUUAUGUGCGUAACUUCCUACGAAUAUGGCCAGAAGCGUAUUCUAGAGAAGAUGGAGCGUAACCCGAGUGGUCUGUAUACUACGACCAUACGCCCCAUAGAAUGCCACUAUGUGGCCGGCCCUACCACAGGGACUGCGCACGAAAUUACACUUUGGCAUGAUCGUUUGGGACAUCCUGGACGAAUAGCGAUGCGCCGUAUCCUCAAAACUUCACACGGGCAUCCACUAACCCGAAGCUUAGGUUCGAUCCAUGAAAUUGCAUGUCAAACAUGUUCUAUAGGAAAGCUUAUUACUAAGCCUUCUUAUGACAAGAUUCGUUCGAAUCCUCCCAUUUUUCUACAACGGAUUCAGGGGGACAUUUGUGGACCGAUUCAACCUCCUUGCGGACCAUUUAGAUAUUUUAUGGUUUUGGUUGACGCUUCUACACGUUGGUCACACGUGUGCUUGUUGUCCACAAGGAACGCUGCAUUCUCCAAACUGUUGGCUCAGGUUAUCAAGCUCAGGGCUCACCACUCUGAUUAUCCGAUCAAAUCUAUUCGAUUGGAUAAUGCUGGAGAAUUCAUAUCUAAAACUUUUGAUGACUAUUGCUUGUCGGUUGGGGUUAACGUUGAACAUCCUGUACCCCAUGUUCACACCCAGAACGGCCUGGCAGAGGCUUUCAUUAAGCGUUUACAAAUGAUUGCUCGAUCGUUGGUCAUACAUACCAAGCUCCCGAUCGCUGCUUGGGGCCAUGCAAUAUUGCACGCAGCAAAGUUGGUCCGCCUGAGGCCUGCUGUGACACAACCAUUUAGUGCCCUUCAGUUGGUCACCGGAUGCGAACCCGACAUAUCGCAUCUGCGCGUUUUUGGUUGUGCGGUCUAUGUGCCGAUCUCGCCGCCCUUACGUACAAAAAUGGGGCCUCAGCGAAGGAUGGGAAUCUAUGUCGGAUAUGAUUCUCCUUCGAUUAUUCGUUACUUAGAACCUUUGACAGGCGAUCUGUUUACCGCUCGUUUCGCGGAUUGUCACUUCUAUGAGACAGUCUUCCCGUCGUUAGGGGGAGAUAAAAACGUCAACGUUCCUAAUGAACGACGUGAAUUAUCAUGGACGACUCCCACUUUGUCUCAUUUAGAUCCCCGCACCGCUCAGUCUGAAGCUGAAGUGCAGCGCAUAUUAGAUCUCCAGAGCAUAGCUCAGAGCAUGCCAGAUGCUUUCACCGAUCUAGCGCGCGUGACAAGAUCACAUAUUCCAGCUGCGAAUACGCCUGCAAAGAUAGAUGUACCAAAUGUACGACGGACUACUCUCCUGGAAGCCCGGGACGCAAAUUCUGGUGAUCCACGUACAUUAACGGCUAGCCAAUCAUCUGCCCCUACACAAAAGCGUGGCAGACCCCUUGGUUCAAAUGAUUCACACCCCCGGAAGAGGAAAACCACGGCACAAGGUCCUGAAGAGCCUACCGUGAAUCCGACUAUCGCUUACUCAUUUUACCCAACUCAUGAGGAAAUUCUAGAUUAUGGAAGCGUCCUUGAAGAGACGAAUCCUCCUCCCGAGAAUCGUGAGAUUUCGGUCUAUUAUGCUAGUUUAGAUGAUGUGUGGCGUAGAAAUGAGAUGAUUGUCGACGAUGCAUUAGCAUUUGCAGUAGCUACUGAGAUCAUGUUGAGCGAUGACAUUGAACCGCGUUCCGUUGAUGAAUGUCGACGUAGAGCUGAUUGGUCAAACUGGAAACAAGCAAUCCAAGUCGAACUUGAUUCACUUGCGAAACGUAAGGUGUUUGGACCUGUAGUUCCUACUCCUCCACAUGUGAAGCUCGUUGGCUACAAAUGGGUUUUCGUUCGGAAGCGUAAUGAGAAGAACGAAAUUAUGCGUUACAAAGCUCGUCUUGUAGCACAAGGUUUCUCACAACGUCCCGGGAUUGACUAUGACGAAACUUACUCACCCGUUAUUGAUGUGAUUACUUUUCGAUACCUUAUCAGUUUGGUAGUUUCCGAAAAACUAGAUAUGCAGCUAAUGGACGUAGUAACCGCGUAUCUCUAUGGGGAUCUUAAUAUGGAAAUUUAUAUGAAAGUUCCCGAAGGACUUACAUUGACUGGUUCAAAUAUUUCCAAACCCCGGAACACGCUCUCAAUUCGGCUGAGGCGUUCACUAUACGGUUUGAAAUAAUCCGGAAGAAUGUGGUAUAACCGUUUGAGUGAGUAUUUGACUAGUCAGGGAUAUGUGAACAAUGAACUAUGCCCUUGUGAGUUCAUUAAGAAGUCACAUUCCGGAUUUAUGAUUGUUGCAGUAUAUGUCGAUGACAUGAAUCUCAUCGGAACUCCUGAAGAGCUCGCGAGAACUGCUUCGCACCUGAAGUCGGAAUUUGAGAUGAAAGAUCUAGGAAAGACUUGAUACUGUCUCGGUCUCGAGAUAGAGCAUUGUUCGGAUGGAAUCUUAGUACAUCAAUCGAACUACACCCAGAAGAUGUUACGCCGUUUUAAUGAGGAUAAAGCGAAGUCUUCGAGUACUCCUAUGGUCGUUGAUGCGUAAAAUAAGUUAACACACAAAAUUAAACCCUCUUUUUGACAAUUGUAGUAUAGAUGUAAGUAGGGUAUCGUUCUAGGCCGGGGAUUAGGAGGGAUUGCUAAUCUAUUAAAUUAACUUAAAAAUAUUAAAUAAGACUCAAGGACACAAAACUAGGCUAAAAACUCUAAUAACUCGAAACACACUUAAAAUGACUCAAAAUAAUGAAAACAAUUAAAUUAAAUACUAGGAACUGAAAUGGACGGAAAUUAAAUUAAAAGACUAACAAUAAAGAAAACUAAAUAAAUAAUAUAAUUUAAUAAUGGAUGGGUGUUUGGUUUUGAUGAAAAGUAAAUUAAACUUAAUUAAAUUACAGAAUUGACAAAAACAUGAAAUUAAGGUGAAAUGAUAAAUGACGGACUAGCUAGAGGGUUCUUCUCCACACAUGACACAUAUGCAACCUAAAUUGAUUUUCAGUUGUUCUUUCAAUAAAUUGUGAAUCUCAAUACUCCAGAUUAACCGUGAAUAGCACUUUUUUAAUCUUCAAGUUUUCCUUAAGUUAUUGAAUUGGACGGAAAAAACGCAUACAACAAUUCAAAACAUUCUUCAAAAGUCCCCUACGUGAAAAGCACAAUAGCGAUACAAUCAAAGAUCAUUAAACUUUGUGAAAACUAUAAGCAUUGACGAGGCAUUCGUAACUAUGAAAAGCAUGAUACUCUUGCCAAGAAUUUACUUAACGUGAUUGUGACUAGCAACCUUUACUACUUGUGAAAAUAAGUUCAUAACGAUUAGGUGAAAUUCACUUAUAUUCUAGCAUCAAAUUCAUGCAUGUAAAUUAAGCGUACACUCUCAACCAACAUACACAAAUCAGUUUUUAUACGAACGGAUAAGUAAAUUGAAAUCACAACUUAUGAAAUCACAACCGAAGGUAAUCAAUUCAUAUUACAAAUAUAUUCAUGGUUUCGAAUUAACCUCUAGCCAAAAUAAAAUUAAUUACACAUUAUUAAAAUAAAAAUAAAAUAGGAGUUUGGAAAGAUUAAACCGAAAGAAAGGAUCUGCUGCUUGGACUCUGAACUGCAUUUUCAUGCUGACCUCCUGUCCUCCUCGCCACUGACUUCCCUUCUCUCCGCAGCUUCACGCUGCCCAAAGGGCAGCCCUCUGCCUUCCACCAAUUCCCCCCCUCCUUCUCUCUUCUGCCAAUCCCAUCUAUAUCCUCAUGCUCCUGACCUCCUCCUUAUUUCUUUUUUUUCUAUUUUAUUUUUUUUUGUUGCUGUCCACCACAUUCUCUGCGCCUACUGCGCUCCCAGCUGUCUCUCCUGCUUUCCACUGACUUUUCCCGCUCCCACUUCUCUCUAUCCUCUUUCUGCUGCCGCAAGGCAGCUGUCUGCUUGCUGCUUCUCUCUCCCUUUUUCUGCUUGUUUAUAUUUUUUUUUUUCUUCUUUUCCUUUUCCUUCUUUUCCUUUUCCUUUCUUUUUCUUUUCUUUCUUUUUCUUUUCUUCUUUGCCGUUCCUUUCUUCUUCUACAAAACAUGAAUCAUGAUGAUGUUUCAAACAUCAUCAUGACUUGUUAUUAUUAUUAUAUAUUUAUUUAUUUUUAAUUUUAUUUAAAAGCUGAUCUACACAGACAGUUUUGACGAAUUUAUUACAUAAAAUUUCACUUGUUCUAUUUUUAUUUUCUUUGCAUAACAAAUCCUAUAAACACAAAAAUAACGUAAAUAGCUCAAAAAUAUAAGGAACUAACUAAGAAAAGACGAGUGAAUUCGAAGUAAAAAUAUAUAUAAAUAUCAUCCGAUCAAAUACCCCCACACUUAACUUUUGCUAGUCCUCGAGCAAAACAAAGAAAACUAGAACAAGAAGUAACAAGAAAAACAUUAGCUUCCCCCUAUGUGACCCUCAUAGAAUUUCAUUCGAGAAAACAAAUCAUCAAGAACCAUAGCUAGCAUCAAGGAAAUAAUCCAAGUUCAUCUUCCUUAUUCAAAUAUUAGCAGUAAUCUUUAAAUCAUCCUUGAAGUGUAGUGUGUGAGAUAGCCAUGCUAAUGCAAUUUCAAGUUUUUAUUUUUAAAAUCAUCAUAUGCAAACUAGCGACCUUCUCACGGGAUAUGCACUCAAUCACACAUGUGUUUAGUUUUAAUGUGUUUCGCUCAAAGAAUCAAAUGUGAAAUUUCUACCAUAAGCUUGCAUAAAGAUCACUUCUCCACAGUCAUAAUUGCAAAACUUAAAUCAAGAGGACUUUUAUUGGAUGUAAUGAGGCUUAGGGAUAGGGUUAUUGAAAUGAAAGAAUAGGAAAACACAAGUUCCAAGCUAUAUUGCAAGCAAUUCUUUUGUUUAGAUUUAUAAGAACUCAAUUUUUUCAGCGAUUCUUCUAGCACCUCCAACCAUACCCUUAAACUGAAACUUUAAAAACUUUUUAUUUUCUUUGUAUACAAUCUUUCUUUUUCUUUUCUUUUUUUCUUCUUUUUUUUUAUUUUUUUUUAUUUUUAUUUUUUUUAUACAAACAUGAAAUACCCCCACACUUAUUCUUUUGCCAAACACCUUCAAAGUACUUCACAAACAUUUCUCAUAAGACAAUCUCACAUUGCUCACUUGGAAAGGGUAAGGAAAAAAUGUUUCAGGCAUAAGGGUAGACAUAUCUGGUGAUAAGAAAUAAAAGGCUCAACAUACACGGCUCAAAUUGGCAAUCUAAUGAUAUCAUUUUCUUUGGGAAACAUAGUUAUUUGGGCCAUAGUGGUAAACCUAAUGCCUCUAUCAUUUCCAAGUUCAUGCAAUCAAUGACAAACAUUUCGAAAGAUCGUUACGCAAGUUCUAGAGAUGUAUCUCACAUAAGUUCAUCACACAUGAAAGAAUAGGAGUGUAUGAAAAAUGCACACUUUCAAUAGGCUCAAAAACUCACAUAGGAUGUAUAUGGUCACUAAAUUCACAUAUGAAGCUUUAAGUCAUACUUUAGUUUCACAUUAACAAGGCUAUGUGCAUUUGGUUUUUCAAAGAUGGUCAAACAUGUACAAAACUAACAAGAGAAUUAGGAAUUUCACCAAAACACAUGUUAACUAAGUUCUUGAUGAUCAUGGUUCAAAUUUUUGAUCCAAUUAUAUCAUUGGGUCGGGAAACUAACAAAAAUCUGAUUCAGAACAAUAAGGGAAACAAGACAAUAUUUUUUGGAUUUUUAAAUUUUUCGAUUUUUUUUUUUUUUUUUUUUUUUUUUUUUAAGAAAACAAAAACUAACAACACAGAAACAAAUGAAAUUCUAGAGAUUUCUACCCCCACACUUAAACUUGACAUUGUCCCCAAUGUCAGAAAACACUAUAACGCAAAUAAAAAUAAAAUAAAUAAAUAAAUAAUAAGAAACAAAAUAAAAACAAUGGGACUGAAAACUUCCCUAAUUUGCAGUAAAAUCAAGCGAUGACCCCCAAGCUAAAAUUCUGCAAUCAACUUCAAGGGUGGAAAUAACCAAAAGUUUCCUGCAAAGAAAAGAAAUAAUACAGUUAAGUACGCAAGAAAAUUAAUUAAAAAAAAAAAAAUUGCAAACGAAAAAUUGAAAAUUACGAUAAAAAGAUAAUGAAUAAAACUAAUAAGUAAUCAUUGGUCGUGCUUGUUGACUUUCCACAGCUUUCCUCUUGAACAGGGUGACACUUAGCUUUUUUACUAUUUGAUGAUAUUGUACGGCGGAGCUUUGCUCUUUGGGAAUGUUGCAGUUCCUUAUUUGUUCUCCAAGCAGAUGUGGCAGCUUCUCUAGUUCCUCAGUUCGGACUCCUUCCGCUGGGAUGAUUGUGCAAGCUGCAUUCUUCUCUGCUUGUUUCUUCUGCACAACGGGCAGGCACGAGGGAAAGGUGUUGGUCCUUAUUUCUUUCUUCAAUCUUUCCAAGUGCCCACCUCUUGCUUUCUUUCUCCUUGUCCCUAGCUGAAUUGUCUCCACAUGCUUCGAGGUAUCAUUUUCACUUUCCUUACUGUCCCCCAGGCAGAUGUGGUAGACGAAGAGAAAGCAUAAAAUGAUGAAGAUGAGUACUCGAGAGCAAGGCUAGGUAAGCAAUCAGGAAAGGGUUCCAGGCAGUUGGCUCCAGAUUGGAAGAUUGAUACCAAAUGCUGGCUGAUUGCUCUCUUUCUCCUUGUCGGAAAACAAAGACAAGGAGAAGGACAUGGAGAAAGCAUGAUAUGAGAUACUCUUGCUUUCAACCUUUAUGAUAUGAAAUACUUUUGCUUUGAAUGGGUUGUUCGCAGGAGUAUCCCAAGGAAUGAGGAACACAGAGUGACUCGAGAGGAUUCUUUGGGAAUGCAUUUUCGGAGAUGAAGAGGUGUUGAGAGGGUGUGCUGAGAGAGUGUGCUUUUGCUGUGGAAGGCGAAGGUAGAAACUUAUAGGACUUGUCUUCACAACCGGAACUGUUCUCUCACUUAGUGUCGGCAGCCGGUGGAUGGGUGAAGAAUACAAAUUACGCGCUUUCUGACAAAGCUGCCCGUAAUUUCCGCAAAGCUGCCAGUUGCAUGUGACAAGUGCUGACUAGGCUGAGAGAGACAGAUGGUUGGAAUCGGCACUUCGACAGACUGCCCGUGAUUUUCGCAGAGCUGAGUUUGCGUGUGACGGGUGACAACACGUCUGGACGAAUUGAUCUUGCGAAAUCCGGGGUUCGGCUCGUGGUUUCUGAGCAAGCCCAACUUUUAAGAAAUGAACGCCUCUUUUGAGAAAAGAAUCCGGCUUUUGAGAACGGAAACUCCUCUUUUGAGAAAAGAAUCCGGCUUUUGAGAAAGGAGCCCCGACUCUUCGAUUUGCGAGAUGACGCUUCUCUGAGGAGCGCCUCUUUGAUUUCUUCUUUUUAUAGAGGCGUUAAUUUUGUUCCACAACACACUUGAGUACCCUCCUGUAAACACUCCCAUCUUGCACUUGUUUAAUCUUGAUCAGUCCAACUCUCUUCUUUCUUUACCACCUCUGAAAAAUGUCUGGCCCUUCUGAUCGUCGUUUUGACUUGAACAUUGGUGAAGAGGCAGCUCCGCCUUCACCAGACAACAUAUGGCGGCCAUCCUUCAUAUCCCCUACCGGUCCCCUUACCGUGGGGGAUUCGAUGAUGAAAAAUGACAUGACCGCUGCGGUGGUGGCCCGAAACCUUGUCACUCCCAGAGAUAACAGACUGCUCGCAAGGCGGUCUGAUGAAUUGGCGGUCAAGGAGUCUCUGGCUCUCAGUGUGCAGUGUGCGGGUUCCGUAUCCAACAUGGCCCAACGCCUAUAUGCCCGAACCCGUCACGUUGAAUCCUUGGUGGCUGAAAUACAGAGUCUCAAGUAAGAGAUUAAAGGGCUCAAGCAUGAGAAUAAGGAAUUGCACAAGCUCGCACACAGCUAUGCCACCAGCAUGAAGAGGAAGAUUGACCAGAUGCAGGACACCGAUGGUCAAAUUUUACUUGAUCAUCGGAGGUUUGUGGGUUUGUUCCAACAACAUCUGCCUUCGUCUUCUGGAGCGGCACCGCGUAGUGAAGCUCCAACUGAUCAACCUAUGCCGCCUCCUCCUUCUGUGGCCCCGCCGACUGCUGAAGCCCCGCCCGACCAAUGAAUACUAUUAGUUUACAUCAUUGUAAAAUAUUUGUACUUUUUUUUUUUUAUUUUUUUAUUUUUUUAUAAAUGUAAAUUAAUGUAAAGAGACUUUGGUUAACCUUCCCACACUUAAACUAAAUAACACAAACUCACAGAAAUCAAACAAAUAACACAACUAACUAAACAAGACAAAAUGAAAGCAUUAAAGAUAAGGGUGUAAAAAUGCAAAUCUGAUUGGGUUAGCGAUUCCAAAGUCUCCCUUCGUUGAAUGCUUGGGUUGCCUCCCAAGAAGCGCUUGAUUUAACGUCUUUAGCCGGACGCAUCUUUCCUUUAAAUUUCCCUCGGCUCCAUUUGAACCUAAAAUCAAAGAAAGAAAAAUAAAUCAAAUAUCAAAAGUAAAAUACACAAACACCAAUAUAAACAUAAACAAAAACAAAAAUAAAAGGAUUAGCAAAGUUGCUAAUCCCCGGCAACGGCGCCAAAAUUUGAUGCGUAAAAUAAGUUAACACACAAAAUUAAACCCUCUUUUUGACAAUUGUAGUAUAGAUGUAAGUAGGGUAUCGUUCUAGGCCGGGGAUUAGGAGGGAUUGCUAAUCUAUUAAAUUAACUUAAAAAUAUUAAAUAAGACUCAAGGACACAAAACUAGGCUAAAAACUCUAAUAACUCGAAACACACUUAAAAUGACUCAAAAUAAUGAAAACAAUUAAAUUAAACACUAGGAACUGAAAUGGACGGAAAUUAAAUUAAAAGACUAACAAUAAAGAAAACUAAAUAAAUAAUAUAAUUUAAUAAUGGAUGGGUGUUUGGUUUUGAUGAAAAGUAAAUUAAACUUAAUUAAAUUACAGAAUUGACAAAAACAUGAAAUUAAGGUGAAAUGAUAAAUGACGGACUAGCUAGAGGGUUCUUCUCCACACAUGACACAUAUGCAACCUAAAUUGAUUUUCAGUUGUUCUUUCAAUAAAUUGUGAAUCUCAAUACUCCAGAUUAACCGUGAAUAGCACUUUUUUAAUCUUCAAGUUUUCCUUAAGUUAUUGAAUUGGACGGAAAAACGCAUACAACAAUUCAAAACAUUCUUCAAAAGUCCCCUACGUGAAAAAGCACAAUAGCGAUACAAUCAAAGAUCAUUAAACUUUGUGAAAACUAUAAGCAUUGACGAGGCAUUCGUAACUAUGAAAAAGCAUGAUACUCUUGCCAAGAAUUUACUUAACGUGAUUGUGACUAGCAACCUUUACUACUUGUGAAAAUAAGUUCAUAACGAUUAGGUGAAAUUCACUUAUAUUCUAGCAUCAAAUUCAUGCAUGUAAAUUAAGCGUGCACUCUCAACCAACAUACACAAAUCAGUUUUUAUACGAACGGAUAAGUAAAUUGAAAUCACAACUUAUGAAAUCACAACCGAAGGUAAUCAAUUCAUAUUACAAAUAUAUUCAUGGUUUCGAAUUAACCUCUAGCCAAAAUAAAAUUAAUUACACAUUAUUAAAAUAAAAAUAAAAUAUGAGUUUGGAAAGAUUAAACCGAAAGAAAGGAUCUGCUGCUUGGACUCUGAACUGCAUUUUCAUGCUGACCUCCUGUCCUCCUCGCCACUGACUUCCCUUCUCUCCGCAGCUUCACGCUGCCCAAAGGGCAGCCCUCUGCCUUCCACCAAUUCCCCCCCUCCUUCUCUCUUCUGCCAAUCCCAUCUAUAUCCUCAUGCUCCUGACCUCCUCCUUAUUUCUUUUUUUUCUAUUUUAUUUUUUUCUGUUGCUGUCCACCACAUUCUCUGCGCCUACUGCGCUCCCAGCUGUCUCUCCUGCUUUCCACUGACUUUUCCCGCUCCCACUUCUCUCUAUCCUCUUUCUGCUGCCGCAAGGCAGCUGUCUGCUUGCUGCUUCUCUCUCCCUUUUUCUGCUUGUUUAUAUUUUUUUUUCUUUUUCCUUUUCCUUCUUUUCCUUUUCCUUUUCUUUUUCUUUUCUUUCUUUUUCUUUUCUUCUUUGCCGUUCCUUUCUUCUUCUACAAAACAUGAAUCAUGAUGAUGUUUCAAACAUCAUCAUGACUUGUUAUUAUUAUUAUAUAUAUAUUUAUUUUUAAUUUUAUUUAAAAGCUGAUCUACACAGACAGUUUUGACGAAUUUAUUACAUAAAAUUUCACUUGUUCUAUUUUUAUUUUCUUUGCAUAACAAAUCCUAUAAACACAAAAAUAACGUAAAUAGCUCAAAAAUAUAAGGAACUAACUAAGAAAAGACGAGUGAAUUCGAAGUAAAAAUAUAUAUAAAUAUCAUCCGAUCAGUCGUUCGUACGCUAGAUGCAAAACGAGAUCCCUUCCGUCCGAAUGAGGAUGAUGAAGAGAUUUUGGAGCCUGAAGUUCCUUAUCUAAGUGCGAUAGGCGCUUUAUUGUACUUAGCUCAAUGCACUAGACCCAGCAUCUCAUUUGCUGUUAAUCUUUUGGCAAGAUACAGCAAUGCACCAACACGCAGACAUUGGACUGGCGUGAAAGACAUCUUCCAUUACCUUAAGGGUACUAUGGAUUUGGGCUUAUUUUAUCCCUACGAAUCCUCGAGUGAUGCCGCACCCUAUGCUCAUCGGGUUGAUUCUCGCCUUGUUGGUUAUGCCGACGCUGGAUACUUAUCUGAUCCGCACAAGGCGCGUUCUCAAACGGGUUAUGUCUUUACCGUUGGAGGCACCGCAAUAUCUUGGAGGUCAACUAAACAGACCUUAGUUGCCACUUCGUCUAACCAUGCUGAAAUUCUCGCCUUACAUGAAGCAACUCGGGAAUGCUUUUGGUUGAGAGCAGUAAUGGGCCAUAUUCGAAGCUCCUGUGAUCUUCAUCCUGCCGUUAAUGCCCCGACGACGAUUUUUGAAGACAACGCAGCUUGCAUCGAACAACUCAAGAAGGGUUACAUCAAAGGAGACAACACCAAGCAUAUUGCGCCGAAGUUCUUCUUUACACAUCAACAACAAGAACAUCAGAAGAUUGAAGUCACGCAAAUCCGAUCACAAGACAAUAUGGCCGACCUCUUCACCAAAUCACUACCGAAGGCGACGUUUCAGAAGCUUGUUCAUGGAAUUGGUAUGCGUAAACUUUCUGAGUUGUAACUUUGCUAUUUCUCUUUGGAAUUAUGUCAAACUCAGGAGGAGUAUCCUCUGGAUACUUGCUUGAUCUUAAUGUAAUUUUUUUCCCUAUGAUUAGGAGCAUUUUUCCCACUGGGUUUUUGCUACCUAACUAGGUUUUAACGAGGCACCCACCUUGGGCUGGUCAUAUCCCUGAUGACGUCCUGUAGAUGUUUCUUUUGACUUUGCAUUUCUCACACAUUUUCCUUAGACUAUGGAUUUUGUCCCUACUCGGGUUUUUGCCAUAGCCUUAGGGUUUUUUAGUGGGACUUACUACUUAUGCAAGUUCCUACCUUAUUGAGAAUAAGCGUUGUUCCUUGGAAUCAAUGCCGACGAGUCAACUUCCUCAACUUCUGCAUGAUACUGAAUCUACCUUGAGUAUUUACACACUCAAGGGGGAAUGUUGUAAACAUUCCUAGUUUAAGUAUGAUUGUGUAAAUCCUAGAUAAGAUUUGAUUCUAGUUAUCCUUUCUUAUUACAACUUGUAUUACUUGGAGGAGAAGAAAUAUCUUCUCUACCUUUACUACUAUAAAUAAAGGCACAAUGUAGGAGGGAUAACAACAUAUACAUUCCCCUACAAUUCUACAAACACACAUCUCUCUCCUCUCUCUCUGCCGCCGGCCCUAGUCUCUCUGUCAGAUAAAAUAGACCACAACAGUUCCUUAGUUUUCAAAAUUUUAUUUUCAUAUUUAGUCUCCUAACAUUGUCCAUGAAAUCACUUUAAUUUUGAGAUUAGAAGUGUCAACGACUCAGCAAGAUUAUUUCGCCAUCGCAAUUCCAGCAGAUUGAUUGGCAAUUAACAUGAAUUGAUUGAGUAGUAUACUAUAUUUUAUAACACAAAUCAAAAGAAAUUAACGAGAAGAAGCAACCCACUAGCAACAGUGCCGAUAAAAGCAAACCAAACGAAAAGGUGUGUGAACAUCCGAGCCAAAGUUACACUCACCUUUCAGGAGAAGCGAUAAGGCGGUGAAGAUAAGUGAAAGCCGAUCCGAACUGCAAAGUCAAUGAUGGAUGAAGCCGAUCCGAAUUGAGGAACUUGGAGGGAAACAUGGAUAAAGGUGGAAGAAAAUAGGGGGAAAAGAUGGAAAAGGUGGAAGGAAGAUAGAUGGAAGGAAACACGGAGAAAAAGUAGUCUUUAAAUUUGUCCCGCCAACAACUUUUUUUUCUAUUUUUUUUAACAAAAACGAUAAUAUCUACCAUAAGAGAGGGGUGUGCCAAAAUGACAAAAAUAUCCUUCAUUUAAUAAACAAUGGGCUAAAAUAAUUUGAUAAAAAAUAAGAGUAUUUUUGUCAUUUUUUCCUUAUUUAAUAGUGAUUUUUCACGGAAAAAUCAAAAUGAUCGAUGGUAAACAAACUCAGGGACUAGUUCUUAGAUUCUAAAUCUCAAGGACCAAAAUGAGGACUUAAAACCAAUCCUAGAGACUAUUUUGACUAAAAAGCCAUUAUUUUACCAAUGACACCAAUUUUAUUAAUCUAGAAAGAGGUGAUUCUAAAUCUCAAAGACUAAAAUGAGGACUUAAAUCAAUCUCAGAGACUAUUUUGACUAAAAGAACCAUUAUUUUACUAAUGACACCAAUUUUAUUAAUCUAGAAAGAGGUGACUCACCAAUUUGAUCUAUCAAACCUAAAAUGAAAAACAACGUAGUUUGGUCAUAGCACAAAAGAACUUGUGGGGUAAACCAAAUAGGUGGAGCAGUGUGUUCGUCUCUUAACACUUAAUUUCAAAUUCCUAUACCUAUAUAUUUGAGUAGUGGAAGUAAACAUUGUAAACCAGAGUGGUCUAACACCUCUUGAUCUGCUAAUCUUCCCGAGUGAAGCCGGCUAUAGGGAAAUUGAAGAGAUCCUUCGUGGUGCCGGAGCUUCGAGAGCACAGGACAUACACCAUACUCCCUCUCAUUGUCCCAUGGAAACAAAUUGUUGAACUAUAAGUAUUUGAGCUGAAAUGUUUUAGAAUAAGUUUUGUUUAAAUUGGUGAAUCCACUUGUGCAGAAUGAGGCAAAGUGUAAAUGUCUAGUUUUGUAAAAAGGCCAUGAGUGCCAUGUGUUGGUAGAUCCAUGAAAUUAGAGAGAUGUGUGUCUAGGAUGAAAUGUAGUAGUUUAUGUGGUCCCAAGUUAAGGACCUUCAGUUAAUGUAAAGCACGUGAGUGCUCAUUUCUGAAAAAAAAAGAAGCAAUUUUCCUCUGUAAAGUUUCUGCAGAGAAAAGAACAAGAAACCGUUCGCUUUCUCCAACCUUUGUUCAUCGUGUGUUUUCUGUACAGCUCCAUCUUCAUCAAAACUCUCAUUGAAAUCAAGUUACACUAACAUGGCCUCAGAGCCAGGUUGGGUCUAACAAUCUGGGCGUAAAUCUGUGAAGCUAUUUUUGAGCUCAAUCGAAGCUCUCUUGAAGCUCCGUGAACGUUGUCGAUUCAGAUCAAAACAUGUCUGGAUCUGGAGGCUCGGAAGUGAGGACUCCAAUUUUCUCCGGUGAGAACUACGAGUUCUGGAGAAUUAAAAUGGCAACGAUAUUCAAAUCCCUUGGGUUAUGGAACCUGGUAGAGAAGGGGAUUGAAACCUCCAAUCCGAAGAAGAAGGAAGCUGGAGAAGCAUCGAAGGAUGAUGAAGAAAUGGUAGCUGUUCUGAUGAAAGACACAAAGGCUUUGGGAAUCAUUCAGAAUGCAGUCUCGGAUCAGAUCUUCCCACGAAUCGCCAAUGCCGAGUCAGCUAAGAUGGCAUGGGAUUUGUUGUACGGGGAGUAUCAUGGUGGUGAUCAGGUACGAUAUGUGAAAUUGCAGAAUCUUAGGAGAGAGUUUGAAUAUGCUAGGAUGAGAGAUGAUGAGUCUUUAUCUAGCUAUCUUACACGGCUGAAUGAGCUAAUUAAUCAAAUGAGAACAUUUGGUGAAUCUCUGUCGAAUGAGAGACUGGUGCAAAAGGUUUUGAUUAGUCUUAGUAAACCUUAUGAUUAUAUCUGUUUGGUUAUAGAAAACACAAAGUGUCUAGAGACUGUAGAGUUGCAGGAAGUAGUUGCAAUCUUAAAAAGUCAAGAACAACGGUUUGAUCUGCAUACUGUUGAUACUACUGGGAAAGCAUUCUCAUCUUUCUCAAUGAGUUCAAAAGAGCAGGAUAGGGGUGAAGGUCAAUCUGGUUCAUCUCGGUUCCAGAAAAAUUGGAAUAACAAGGGCAAGAAAUGGGGUUCAAAACCUAAGUUUCAGCAUAAAUUUCCUGCUAAUCCUGCACAUAAUGCACAGUCAAUGAGGCAGAUAGGUACAAAACCACAGUGCAGGGUAUGUUCUAAGUUUCACUUUGGAGAGUGUAGGUAUAAAGGGAAACCUAAAUGCUAUAACUGUGAAAAGUUUGGUCACUGGGCUAGAGAGUGCACAGUAGGUAAAUUAGUGCAAAAGGCAAAUAGUGCUAAUCAGGUAGAGGUGACAGGGAACCUGUUUUAUGCAAAUAGCACAAUCACUGAAUCAAAAGUGAAUGGAGAAUGGUAUGUAGACAGUGGUUGUAGCAACCAUAUGACAGGGGAUUCUAAGUUGUUGAUAGACAUGAAGACAAAUGUGGUUGGCAAGGUUCAAAUGCCCACAGGGGAACUCAUGAAUGUGGCAGGUUUUGGUACACUUGUGAUAGACACUAGCAAAGGCAGAAAAUAUGUCAAAGAAGUAAUGUACCUACCUGGGUUGAAGGAAAAUCUGUUAAGUGUGGGGCAGAUGGAUGAACACGGUUACUACCUGUUAUUUGGGGGAAAGAUGUGUAGUAUCUUUGAUGGACCUUCAUUGGAUUGUCUUGUACUCAAAGUUGAAAUGAAAAAGAACAGAUGUUAUCCUUUGACACUGAUACAAAAUGAUCAGGUUGUACUGAGAGCAGGUAUUUCUAAGUCUACUUGGAUAUGGCACAAGAGACUAGGCCAUCUGCAUUUUAGAGGUCUUCAACAGCUUAAGAACAAAGAAAUGGUGCAUGGUCUCCCAGUUUUAGAAGAAAUGGAUGAAGUUUGUAAAGGUUGUCAGUUUGGGAAACAGCAUAGAGAGUGGUUUCCAAAGAAUCAAGCGUGGAGAGCAAGUAAACCUCUAGAACUGGUGCAUGUAGAUCUGUGUGGUCCUAUGCAGAAUGAUUCUCUUGCGGGCAACAAAUAUUUCAUGCUUCUUGUAGAUGACUGUACAAGAAUAAUGUGGGUUUAUUUUCUGAAAUACAAGUCAGAUGCAUUGAUCUGUUUUAGAAAAUUCAAGUCCAUGGUGGAAUUACAAAGUGGUUUUAAGAUAAAAUGUUUGAGGAGUGACAGAGGGGGUGAAUUCACAUCUUGUGAAUUCAACAAACUGUGUGAAGAUGCAGGGAUUCAAAGACAGUUAUCUAUGGCCUAUACUCCACAACAGAAUGGAGUGGUAGAGAGGAAGAACCGAGCUGUGGUUGAGAUGGCAAAAGCUAUGCUUCAUGACAAAGGACUACCAUACUACUUAUGGGCAGAAUCUGUACUCACAGCUGUCUAUAUAUUGAACAGGUGUCCUACAAGAGCUCUUGGAGAAGUAACUCCAUUUGAAGCAUUCAGUGGUCGAAAACCUGGAAUUGCACAUCUUAGAAUCUUUGGUUGUCUGUGUUAUGUACACACACCAAAUGAGUUGAGACAGAAACUAGAUGCAAAGAGUGUCAAGGGCAUAUUUGUAGGUUAUGCAACCUGUGAAAAGGGGUACAGAGUGUAUGAUCCUCUUAGUAAAAAGCUUAUACUCUCAAGGGAUGUUGUGUUUGAUGAAAAUGCAGCCUGGGAAUGGAAGACAGCUCCUGAGAACUAUGUAACUGUGUUUAAUCCUAUUGAGUUAUCUGUGCUGCCUAAAUGUAUCUCAUCAGAGACAACUCCAGAGGAAAAUGAUUAUGUUUUGUCACCAAAUCUGGCAUUUUCUCAUGAAUCUGUAAGUGAUGUGGACAGCAGCAUGAAAAUGACUCAAGCCUUUGAUCACACUCCAUUGAAAUGGAGGAAUCUAGAUGAUGUCUUGGCACAAUGCAAUCUUUGUAUUAUGGAACCUGAAAAAUUUGAAGAGGCAGCCAAAGAUGAAGCAUGGAUGAAGGCUAUGAAAGAUGAACUGUCAAUGAUUGAGAAGAAUGCAACAUGGGAUCUGGUGAACAGACCAAGUGAUAAACCCAUAAUUGGGGUUAAGUGGGUGUUCAAGACCAAGCUUAAUCUCGAUGGGACAGUGCAAAAGCAUAAGGCAAGAUUGGUAGCCAAAGGAUAUGCUCAGAAACCAGGUGUGGAUUACAAUGAAACGUUUGCACCUGUAGCUAGACUGGAUACAAUUCGGACUCUAAUUGCUUUGGCAGCUCAGAAAAGUUGGAAAUUAUACCAACUAGAUGUGAAAUCUGCUUUUCUGAAUGGAGUACUCGAAGAAGAAGUUUAUGUAGAACAACCAGAUGGUUUUGUGAUCAAGGGGAGUGAAGACAAGGUGUACAAGCUUUAUAAAGCUUUGUAUGGUCUAAAACAGGCACCAAGAGCCUGGUAUAGUGAAAUUGAUACCUAUUUUGCUCACUAUGGGUUUGUGAAAAGUCAGAGUGAAGCUACUCUUUACAUCAAAGUAAGGGGAGGAGAAAUUCUGAUUGUUUCAAUCUAUGUGGAUGAUAUAGUGUAUACUGGGAAUAGCACUGAGAUGUUGAAGGAGUUCAAGGAAGACAUGAUGACAAAAUAUGAGAUGACAGAUUUGGGGCUCCUUCACCAUUUUCUUGGUAUGGGAGUGAUUCAAACUCACACAAGCAUAUUUAUCCAUCAAAGGAAGUAUGCUGGUUCUUUGUUAGAUAAGUUUGGUUUGAAUGAGUGUAAAUAUGUGUUUACACCACUGGUUUCAUCAGAGAAGCUAUGCAAAGAUGAUGGCAGUGGUUCAGCAAGUGAGGAACAGUAUCGAAGAAUUGUUGGAAGUUUGUUGUAUCUCACAGCAACUCGACCAGAUAUAAUGUAUGCUGCAAGCCUUCUAGCUCGAUUCAUGCACUGUCCUACAAAUAAACAUCUUGGAACAACCAAAAGAGUGCUUAGGUACAUCAAGGGAACUUUAGAUUAUGGUUUAGAGUAUGUAAAGGGAAAGAAUGCAAUGCUAAUCGGAUUCUGUGAUAGUGAUUGGGGAGGAUCUGUUGAUGAUAGCAAGAGUACUUCUGGUUAUGCAUUUUCCUUUGGCAGUGGAGUGUUCUCAUGGGCCUCAGUGAAGCAGAAUUGUGUAGCACUCUCUACAGCAGAAGCAGAGUACAUCAGUGCCUCUGAAGCAACUGCUCAAGCCAUUUGGCUUAGAUUUGUUCUUGAAGAUUUUGGUGAGAUGAAAACUGAAGCAACUCCAGUACACUGUGAUAAUACAUCAGCAAUUGCAAUUACUAAAAAUCCUGUUUUCCAUCAGAAAACCAAGCACAUUGACAGAAGGUAUCAUUUUAUCAAGAAUGCACUCCAGGAAGGGAUAAUCGAUUUGGUGUACUGUCCAACAAAUGAGCAGGUGGCAGACAUAUUUACUAAGGCUUUGUCUAAGGAUCGAUUCAACUAUCUUCGAGAUAUGCUUGGUGUGAAAUCAGCUCAAAACUUAAAGGGGAGUGUUGAACUAUAAGUAUUUGAGCUGAAAUGUUUUAGAAUAAGUUUUGUUUAAAUUGGUGAAUCCACUUGUGCAGAAUGAGGCAAAGUGUAAAUGUCUAGUUUUGUAAAAAGGCCAUGAGUGCCAUGUGUUGGUAGAUCCAUGAAAUUAGAGAGAUGUGUGUCUAGGAUGAAAUGUAGUAGUUUAUGUGGUCCCAAGUUAAGGACCUUCAGUUAAUGUAAAGCACGUGAGUGCUCAUUUCUGAAAAAAAAAGAAGCAAUUUUCCUCUGUAAAGUUUCUGCAGAGAAAAGAACAAGAAACCGUUCGCUUUCUCCAACCUUUGUUCAUCGUGUGUUUUCUGUACAGCUCCAUCUUCAUCAAAACUCUCAUUGAAAUCAAGUUACACUAACACAAAUACCCUUCAGCUGCAGCAGCCAAACGACCCGAUGGAAUACUUCAAGUUCAAAAAGGGCAGAGACUCUCCCAGCGAUGCACGCACGGCGCUGCUAGUUAUUGCUGUACUAGUGGCCACCACCACCUUUCAAGCCGGACUCAGCCCUCCGAUGGGCAUUUGGCAGGACAGCCCUGGAUCAAACAUGAAUGGGACUGGCAGUGGGAGCAAUGAACCAGCGCACACAGCAGGGCAGUCCAUCAUGAGUUCUUACAAGAUAUUAGGAUUUUUCUUCUUUUACACUUCCAACUCGAUUAGACUUUCGUUUUCGCUUUACAUGAUCCAUGUCCUCACCACCAAUUUCCCUCUGCAGUUGGAGCUUAACAUUUGUAUGUUCACGAUGUUCUUGACGUACUGUUCUGCAAUUUCCGAAAUUGGACCGGAGAUCAUGUCCCACCCUGUGUUCGCUUUAACUAUGCCAGCGUUGGUAGCGUUGGUAAGGGUGUGGUAAGCGUAAUGCACCCGCUUAGAUGACCUGCAGUAAAUUGGACUCGAAGGCUCAUUUUAAAAUAGUUGUACAUUACACGUCUGUUUCCAGGAUCAUCGUUGGCGCAUUCAUCAUAGAAGCUCCAGCUUCGUAUCAAAGUCAGUCGUGACUAUCAUAAAUACCGUACAUUUGCUAUGUAUUACUAAAUCUUUGGUGUGGACUUCUUAUAUGAUAUAGCGUUAAGAAUUCAGUACGAAAACAGUAAAACAGAAUUAUUUGCACUAAUUCUUCCUCUUGAUUUAUGAUGGUGUUAGUUCUAUAAGUCGACAUCUUUGCCAGCCGCAAUUGAUACUGCCGUUUGAUACUGCAAAUGAAAGCCCGGUGGAUGCGCAAAAUUUCAAGCCAAUCUUACAGAUUGUAUGAAGAAAGGAACAAUGUAGUUGGUAGCACAGAAGUUUAUAAUCUUCUAGUUGGAGUAAUCUAAUUAAGGCUAUAAUAUUCAUACAGAAGGUUUUACAAAAUGAUCAUCUUUCGACAUGUAUAACAAUGGCGAUCUUUAAUCACAAUGACUUGUACAGCUCGAUCAAAUGAGAAGCAUGGAGGCACCACGUAGGAGCCACGGUGCAGCCCAAACUUUGCAGAUAAGAAAUCUGGUAAUUCACAGCAUAAGAAUCGAAUUACCGGGUCUCCUGACCAUCCUACGUACCAAUGUGCGCACAAGGAAAUGAGUAAGGUAAUCAAAUGCUGAGUCCUGCGUACCUGUUUCGGUGUUGGUUCGGAUGAACCCAUUUAGUUCUCAAUCCGUAACUUCUGGAAAUGCUCCUGAAAGCAUAAAUUUAAGCACAUCAUGAAAUCCCCCUUGCGGGAUUUUCCUUAUUUUUUCUAACUCAUCUUCCCACUCGCGUAUAGUUUUGUUACCAAGAAAAGCUCCCAGGACUUUGAGUGCUAAAGGCAGGCCUUGAGCAUAUUUUACAACACGAUUCGAUAGAUCAUCAUAAUCUCUGGUGGGUUGGUUUUUUCCGAAAGCGUGCUGCCUAAAGAGUUUCAGAGCUCCAGAAUCACUCAAAGUCUUGGGAUUAUAUAUCACAUCAGCUACGCUUAGUAAUUGCGAAUCUCUAGUUGUUAUAAUAAUUCUGCUUCCACCACCAAAGAAAUGUGGCUCUCCAAGUAGAGCUUCAAUUUGUUCUAAUUUGUCCACAUCAUCAACAACAAUAAGAACUUUUCUCUGGCCAAGGCUUUUUAACAUCACCUGAAAACCUUUACUCGAUAUGUCAGAGCUCCCCACCUUGUUGUCCGAGAUACUAGAUAGAAGUUGUGUCUGCAUAAGUAGUUCGCCGUGCUUCAUGAAACCCUCCUUGACAUUUUUAAGAAAGCAACAAGCUUCAAAUCGACAAGCGAUUUUAUCAUAAACAGCAUUAGCGAUGGUAGUUUUACCUAAACCACCCAUACCCCAUAUUCCAACAACUCGAACAUUAUUCGUUUCACCUCCGGGAGGAUAUAAUAAUAAAUGCAUUUCAUGCAUGCGAGAAUCCAUGUCAACCAAGCCAUUAUCUUUGCUUGAUGUUGAUGAGAUGUCGAUCAAUUUCCUAUAAACAUAUUCUACAAUUUCCUCAGUAAGCACCACAUCAUUCCUGUCAAAUUAAAAAAUACAAUAUAAUAACACCACCAAAUAAUAAUUAAUGGGUUUUUUCAUCUGUUAGUUAAAAAAAAAAACAGAAAUUAAAACUAAAAACUAGAUAUUUAUAAAAUUACCGCAAAACGUUACAAAAAUCCCAAAAAUUAAUAGGAAACUAAAACAAAUUAGAAUUUACUCAUAGUUUCGCGAAUCCCAGCCGGAUAAACUGGUGGCAGUUGUAAGAGCGGAUCUCCAGCUCUGAACCUCUUCCAUUUCGGCGUUAGAAUCGCGAUCGUGCUGAGCAAAAGCUUCCGCGAAACUUUUCUUGAGUUUACGAACAUCAGACGGAUCAACUUCAUAGAAAAUGGGGAGUACAAUCUGGUUAUUGGUAUCCUUGCAUUUCAAGAUUUGCACGAGUUCUUUCAAGCACCAAGUGGAAGAAGCAUAGUCUUGAGAGAAAACUACAAUCGAAAGCCUUGACUCUCGAAUCGCUGUCAGGAGCUCAGAAAGGUGGUCGCCUUUUCUGAGCUUCUCGGCAUCAAUGAAGGCGUUGAUUGGUUUCUUAGCCAGAGCGUUGUAGAGAUGGCUGACGAAGCCCCUGCGAGUGUCUUCCCCUCUGAAAUUGAUGAACACAUCGUAUUUGCAACCAAGGCCAGAAGAAGAUGAAGAAGAAGAAGCAGCCAUUAUUAAUCGAUCGCACCUGGUCAGCGAUGAUCGAGCAGCUAAGACUAAGAGAAUUGUAAGUACAGAGAUACUCAAUAGAUCUACAAAUUGGAUCACCAGAAAUUAGUCUGAUCGAUACCAAGUCAAUGAGUCAAUGCAAAAGGGAAAAAGGGGAAAGGGAAAUUAUGCUUUAUGUUUUUUCACAUCUUCUUCGGGGAAAUUUCGGUGUGAAAGGAAUCUUAUCCUUUUGAUUUUUUAACCGAAGCAAAUGCGAAGAAAAGGGUCAAGGUGGAAAAUUGAAUAGGACAAGGAUUGUCAGCCCUUCCACAUCUGGUGCUCUUCCGUGCCCUUUUGUUUAUGUUGUCACGGUUAAACCACAUUAACAUUUUAUAUUACUAUUUAUUUUUGUCUUAUUAUCUCUAUAAAAAAACAAUAUAAAAUGUUGACGUGACUUAACCGUGACCACACAAAACAGAAGGGCACGAAAGAACACCGAAAAUAGGAGAGCUGACAAUCCUUGUCCAAACUUAACCGUAAGACUUUUUGUAGUGAGCUACACCGGAUGACUUGAUAUAUUAUGACGAAAUAAACUAUUUAAAUAUACGGCUUACAUUGCGCAGUGCGCAUACUGGAUAAACAAUUAGCGCACCUGAUUGUAGGGAAUGGUGAUGCUCAUCGCUUAAUUUCGUUAUUGGAUUAGUUUAAGUUUUGAGGUUUGUGAAAUGGACAGAUAUAAAUUUUAAAAUUUAAACUCAGUCAAUAAUAAUAAAUAUGGUAGUGAGAAAAAAUGCACCAGUGACUUGUGGUUUAGAGACACACUCUCAAACUUAAAUAACAAUUUUCAUGCUUUCCAACAACACAAAAAUUUUAUAACUAAAAAUCAAUCAAAACAUAAUAAUUGAAUGAACGAAGAAAGCGUAUUAAAAUAAGGUUUUCUGACAUAUUUUGAGUGACACUUGCCACAAUAACGAAGAAAGCGUGGUAUUGUUGCACCUGCCAUAAAGUCAAGCUUGACAUUCUACAGUUGGAAGGCUAGCUGGCUGACUAGAAAUGGCCAGCCCGUUGGCUUGAUUUGGGGGUUUUGGCCAGAUGGGGCCCACAAGCCCUUUGGCCUAGCCUUCGAUUGAAGAUGGUUUUCGUGUCAUUCCGAGCUAUUUUUAGCCCUAUGACCUUUUGGCUGGGUCAGUUAGAGAUGGCUUUAGGUGCGGUGAUCGUAAUACCCUGAAAAUUUAAAUAUAUGAAUAUGUUGGGAAAAAUUGAAAAAAAAUCGAUUUAUGGUUAUGGAAAAUUUAAUUGAGAACUUUUAAAGUUUUUCCGGAAAUUAUUAUAAAUUACGUAUUUGUAUUCUUAAGAUUUUAUAUGAAUUUUCAAGAAUUUAUAAUAAUUUAAUUUAGUUUAGUUUUAAAUUAAACUAGUUACAAAGUUGGAAGUUUGGAAAUUAUUUAUUUAAAAUAUGUAGACCAUUCGAGGUCACAAUUUAUAUUUUUGAAUAGAGCUCGAUCUCAUGAACGCGUGGCGCAAACCGUUAGUAAAACGGAGUUCUAACGAAGAAGUUAUUAACAUUUAAAGUCAUGAAAAUUUUGGUAAUUUUAUUCAUUUUAGAAGGCUCCAGAAAAUCUAGAGCAAUGAGUUGUGCCACGUGUGUGGCUGGGAUGAAAACAAUUGGAGAGAUGGAUGGUUGUGAUUAAAGGAAAAUAAUAGAAAUGAGGGUAACCAAUGGGGAGAGAGAAUGAGGAGGGGAAAGGAGAAAAAGGAGAAGGAGGGGAACCCGACCCUCUCCUUCGACCCGGUUUUCUGACCCGAGCCCCACGCACACCCAACACCGAUUUCGGUGUUUUUUCCCGGUGAAUUGAGCGCCGCCACCACCCCUCCUGACUCCUCUCAUUGUCACGAACGGUAUCCGUCCACAUUUGGCUCAGUUUUGAUCAUGAUUUCAGAAGAAAAGGGAGAUGGACCCGUGAGGGUUUCAGAGUUUUCCGACGACAAAUCCGUCGUCUCCGGUCUCCACCGUUCCCACCACCACCACCUCCAGUUGAUUUCACUUGAACCCAGGAGCAAGGCCUAAGCACUAGCAGGGGCAUCGGAACAUCAAUGGAGUCGAAUCGAAUCCCACCAUUUCUAGGGUUUCCGGCGAGUUUGAGUGAAAUUGGGGCACUUCCACGCCAAAUUGGACUUAGCCAUAGGUAUGAAAUUUACUCCACUCACUGAGAUCUACUUGCCUGUAAAAUUUGGUAAUUUUUUGAAAUAGUUGAAUUUUCCGACAAGCCGGAGUGGCCAACCUCCACCCACGACUGCGGGUGCGGCGGCGCACGGUCAGGGAGCCGACAUUGUGUUAUUAUGCGAAUUUCGUUAUUCUAAUUAGGCUUUUGAGACCUAACUUCUGUGGUUUGAAUAUUAAUACGAUUGUGGUAUAUGUUGGAUUAAAUAAAUAUAUUCGGAUUUGGUUUGAGUUUUGGAAAUGUGAACUACGAAUGACUUGAUUCCUGUUUAGGGUACAUAGGUAGUAUAACAAGAUGUUAGAUGCAGCUAUACAAUAAGUUAGAUUAAAUAAACGAGACAAAGCUUUGAUUGAGAAAGUGAACUGAGUAAGGAGUUUGGAAUUUUAUUAUAAAAGGAAAUCUUAUGUUUUGUACAUAUAAAUUCUUGUUAUAAAUUGUGUGAACGUUUUAUAAAUUUAAGCAAGAAAUUAUGUAAUUAUGAUAAUUGGACAAUUGAGUUUGAUCUCUUGUUGGGAAAUAGAGUCGAUAUGAAGGUAUUGGUGUUGAAGUAAAAAUAUAAAUGUAUGUUUUGCUAAGUAAGUUUGGUGGAUACUUAUGUGAGUAGUUAGGAAAAUUUUUUUUUAAAGAAUAAAGUGUACCGAUAAUAAAUCAAACAAGAGAAGUGAAUUGGGCCUAUCAUUGGAAAUAUUUCCUGAAAAUAAAUAUUUCGGGGUUGGGGCGUUUCAGUGAUUGUCUUUGAGAUAUCGAAGGUUCUGUGUGAUCGAAUACUUCGUCCUCCUCCAGAGCCGCCACUGUUGAGAGGGUUACUUGCCUCAUGCAAACAUUAUGAAUUGUAAGUGAUGAAUUGUUCUGAUGAUGAGGUUUAUUUUUUAACUCAUUAUGUUUUGAGUUUAAACAUUUUUCCCUCUCUUUAAUGUAUAUAAGAUUAGUGUAAAAUAUUGUUCGUAAUAAAAAAAUAUAAAAAUGAUACAUUCUCAUUCAUAUAUAAGAUGAUCAAGUGUGGAAUUAAUACUUUUAACGAGUGACUCAAUUAACCAUUUUCAUUUCUUACGCAUUCAAAAUUAGACAAAUUCUUUGCAUACAUUUAAAAAAAAAAAGAUAUUCAGGAGACUUUGAAACUAUUACAUUACGGGAGAGGGAAUUUUGAACUCGGGACGCAUGAGUAGAACCCAAACGCUUCUCCACUAGGAUAUUAGACUAGUGCCGGUCCUGAAUUUUUUGGUGCCUGGAGCGAAUAAUGUGCCCUUUUCAAGUACAACAACAUAAAUUAAAAAGAAAUAUUUAAAGAGGGUUGGAACCCAGUCGAAGCCGGGGGGCUAGGCCCUCACGCCCAUAUUAUAUUACUCUGAAAACAAAAAAACAUACAACAUGGGAACAUAGUACUGAAACCUCGACAAUCAAAAGCAAAAUCAAAUACAACCACUCCAAGCAGUUAACAUAGCCAUCACAUAUUGAAUCCAAAAGGUUGACUACCCAUUCGCUGCAUAUAAUGUGCAGAAGAUAACAAAUUCUGAAGUGAUAUGCUCCCAAGUAUGAUAUUGGGCAGAAAAGAGCGGCGGCUUCAACCACUUCUUCAGCUAUAUCCGGCUGGGUGAGAGCAGCUAAAGACAUGAUUGUUCCCUAAUUACAUGAAUACAUGGAGUAAACACCAAAAGUAGCAGCAAGGGAAGGAGAUUUGAAGUAGAUGAAGAGGUGUGAAGAGUCUAAAGACCUGUGAAUGUCCAACAACAAAGACUUCGGAGCUUGUUGUCGAAUAUAUGCAGCGUAUCAUUUCUGACAGAUCAAAUCGAGCCAAUUCCUGCCAACUCCAAUCCCAAAAAUCCUACAGUAAAGCAUAAAUCUUAUUCUUUUCUGAUAAAGAUGUGCCCCUAACUCCAAUGUGUUUGACGCACAAUUCCUACCCAUACAUAGAAACCUUCAUCUGCAAAGACAAAUUCCAGCGAUUCUUCUGGAGAAUUUAAGAACCAUGCAUCACCUGGUUAGAGCCUAAUUUAAAAUGUAUCCGAUGGAUGUUCAUCAAUUUACACAAUAGUUAGUUUCAAGAAAGGAAAUUUCAACAGAACCUGAAAACUUCAGAUCAGGGGGCACCAAAUAGUGAGCUAUACAUUCAAAAUUUAAAAUAAUCAACUUAGUAGGACCAAUAUGUUGAAAAAAUUAGAAGGAGCUAUGAAAGUAAGGCUUUUCACUAAUCAGGCGUCCAGAGAAUCAAUAUUUUACUCACGUAUCAGUUACGGGGAACAAUCCCCACCAGAGCAAUCUCAUUAGUUCUUCACAUCUCAACCGUACAGAAAUUACACUAACAAACACGACUCCUGUUAGUCCUUCACAUCUCAAAUCCAGGAAGUACCCAUCUUUCGUCUGAAUCUGGAAAAUAAGCAGCACUCAAUUUAACAAUCUGGGUAUCUCAAAGUUACUCACUUUAAUCACAAAUUUAACAAUUAAACAUAUAAAUGGGCAUUUUCUAGUGAAAUAUUAGUAUAGUACUCACUGUGUGCUCGGAGCAAGAGCACCCAGAAAGCUCAAUGAGCUGUGCAGUGAGGGACUGUAGCGGUGAAUGACGGCAACCGAUUCUGUAAAAUUCAGUCGAGUUUUAGGCGAUUUCGGAGGUCAAGAGGCUGAUGAGGAAAGCUGGGACGGAAGGGCACUGGUCUGGAAGAAAGGCUCUGGUCGCCGCUGUCGCGAUUUGCAAAGGAAGAAGUGACAUUCUUCCAAAUAGGAAGAUGAAAUCGUUAAGGCUUUUAUUUAUUCCUCCUCUUGAUGCGCCCUUUUAGACUGCCAAUUCCAGACGAUCCAAUCUCAUAUAUCUUCCCUGCAAAAGCAUGUGUGCCAGACUUCAAGAUCAAAAUUUUCCAACAAAAGAAACUUAAAGAUCAAACUCGUUAGCGGAAUAAAUGGUGCACAAAGGGAGUUAAAAUCUUGACAGAUGUAUAUUUUUGGCAGAUUUUAUGUGAGCAUGCAAUUUUCUGUAGAACUUAAAAGCUGCAUAGCUGCUCUUGUUCGUUGUAUUGAAUACCAUGGUUUUACUGAUGAAUGCAGAGUUUGCUGACGAUUCAUACGACAAGCAAAUGAAUCAUCCACUGUAAUUUGCAGAGUUUACUGAUGAAUGCCCCACAUAUACCCAAAAAAAAAAAGUCAUUUAAACAAAUUCAGAGCGUUCAUCCACUGUAAUUUGCAGAUAUAGACACGUUAAGAUAAAAGGAAAUGCAAAGUACCUUUCACCCAAAUUGGAGGAGCAACGGUGGCAUUAGCAAGUUAGCAACGGGAAUUGACAUACCAACAUCUUCACAGUUUCUGCACAAGCACAAAUCAAUAGAAUCCGGCGGUGGAGUUAUGUACCUCUCCUUGGAAAAUGCCACCUCUUGGGAUUUCAAAAUAUGCGGCCGUGGCUAGCCAUCUGACAACGCCAAUUCCACCAAAGCCGCCGCAAUGGGGCAUAGUGUCCGAUUGAUUGCUUCAAACAGAGUACCCAAAACCCCUGAAAAUUAUUUCUUUAUUCAGAUAAUAAAAUUUCCCAAAUUUCGAAUUUUAAUUCCGUAUCAAAAAUAGGGUUUGAAUUUUGAUUACCUAGAAAUUGGAGGGUUGGGGCGAACACGGAGCGUGUCGGGAAUACCUACAAGGCUUUUGCAGUGUAUCAGAUUUAAAUACUGAAGCCCCGUAAGCCGUUCAAUCCAGGGGGAAAGCUCUUUGAUAGAUGUUCCAUCCAAGAAAAGCUCUCUUAAUCCUUCCAUAUCUUCUUUAAUGCUUGGAAACACCUCAAAUUUUGUACAACCGGAAAGAGAGAGAGAGACAAGGGACUUGAGCUGACAAAUGCUGCUUGGAAGACUCUUAAGUUCCUUGUAAUUUUUUAGUUUCAAAUGAUUCAAUCCUGUGAGAUUAUUAAUUGAUGAUGGCAAUUCUUUAAUUUUUGACCAUGAUAAAUCAAGAAUUUUUAACCCCUCAAUCACUUCUGAAAUAUCUGGAAACAUCUCAAGAUUCCAACAACCAUAAAAAUAAAAGGUUUUGAGAGAUUUCAUACGAAUGCUGCUUGGAAGACUCUUAAGUUUUUGACAAUUUGAUAGGUUCAAAUGAUUCAACCCCGUGAGAUUAUUAAUUGACGAGGGUAGUUCUUUAAUUUUUGACCCGGAUAAAUCAAGCUCUUCUAACCCCUCAAUACCUUCUGAAAUCGAUGGAAACAUCUCAAGGCUGGAGCAAUCAUAAAGAUUAAAGGUUUUCAGACACUUCAUAUGAAUGCAGCUGGGAAGACUCUUAAGUUCCUUGCAAUCUUUUAGGUUGAAAUGACUCAACCCUGUGAGAUUAUUAAUUGACAGGGGCAGUUCUUUAAUUUUUGACCAGGAUAAAUUAAGCUCUUCUAACUCCUCCAUACCUUCCGAAAUCUCUGGAAACAUCUCAAGACUAGAGCAGCGAGAAAGAUUAAAGGUUUUGAGAGAUCUCAUACGAAUUUUGCUGGGUAGAAUCUUAAGUUCCUUGCAAUUUGAUAGGUUCAAAUGACUCAACCCCGUGAGAUUAUUAAUUGAUGGGGGCAGUUCUUUAAUUUUUGACCUGGAUAAAUUAAGUUCUUCUAACUCUUUCAUACCUUUUGAAAUCUCUGGAAACAUCUCGAGACUGGAGCAGCCAAGAAGAUUAAAGGUUUUGAGAGAUCUCAUACGAAUUUUGCUAGGUAGAAUCUUAAGUUCCUUGCAAUGUGAUAGGUUCAAAUGACUCAACCCCGUGAGAUUAUUAAUUGAUGGGGGCAGUUCUUUAAUUUUUGAAUAGGAUAAAUUAAGUUUUUCUAACUCCUCCAUACCUUUUGAAAUCUCUGGAAACAUCUCAAGAUUGGAGCAGCCAGAAAGAUCAAAGGUUUUGAGAGAUCUCAUACGAAUUUUGCUGGGUAGAAUCUUAAGUUCCGCGCACCAAUUCAGAUCCAAUAAAACAAGGUUUGUAAGAGUCGAAAUAGACGCGUGAACCUCAACUAAGCUUAUACAACUUCGAACAAUUAGCCUCUCAAGAUUUGGCACAUUUGUGAAGUCAGGGGUUUCCUUAAGGGAUUGACAAUGACUUAAAUUGAUGAAUUUCAACUUUUCCUGCGUCUGUUAAAACAUUCAGGAAAACAUGCAUUACUUAAUAAGACAUCUCACUCAAAGCCCAAACAUUUAAAAGAAACAAAUACAUGUAAAUGAUUGUACGUACCUGGGUUCCUUCCCAAAGUCGAUCAAUGAGACUAUAUUGCAUGUCAAGUUCAACAAGAUUUUCGAAUUGAAAGUUGGAUGGCAAAGACUUGAGAGGGAAAUCAAGCCAGGAGAGAUACCUCAGGUUAAGCAACUUUAAGGACCCAAACAGGUAUUGUUUGCAGUACUCAUCUUUAAAAACGAAGUGCCUAUGACUGAUCUCGAGAAGUCUUUGUUGAGUCCUUCCAACAACAGCUUCAGCAUUUAAGUUCCUAUGAUGACUGAUCUUGAGAAGUCUUCGUUGAGUCCUUCUAACAACAGAUUCAGCAUUUAAGUGCCUAUGACUGAUCUUGAGAAGUCUUAGUUGAGUCAUUCUACCAAAAGCUUCAGCAUUUAAGCAUGGCCAGCCUGAGUACGAGAAAUCCACAAUUAUGCUUUCAACUGUUUUUGUAGCCUGUGCAAAUCAAAGUAAAGGAAAAUACAGAGAACCUUAGUUUUGAUUAUGAAAUUAAUGAUUGUUUCUUAAGGAGCCGUCUGAUAAUCAUUUCAUUUUCUGUUUAAUUGUUUUCAAUUUCAUUAUUACAACAAUGAAAACUAAAAAUUGAAAACAAAAAUGGUUAUCAAACGGGUCUAAGAAAUUGAUUUUGAUCAAAAGUUGAACCUUUCUACUAACAAUUGCAUAAGAAAAAUAUUUCUCACCGCAUUUUCAGUUAGCACCUGACGAACAUCUUCAUAACUCCACAACCUACUUCGUCUCCCAGGAUCUUUGAUAGAUUCUUGGCGGACAAUUUCCCAACCCAUUUCCUCUAAUGAAUCAUGCAUCUCCAAUUCCCCCAACCUUGAGACAGUUAUGAGAGAUCGAUCGAUUAGAACUUUUAUUCCUGUAUGAGGAUGGAAACCACAACUGUCCAGAAUUUCAGUUGCCUGGUCUUCCUUCAUCCCUUUAAAGAAACAUGCAAUAUCUAGAAAGAUGUCCUUCUGCGUGUCAUCUAGUCCAUCGAAGCUUGUUUUAAGCACAUCAUGAACUCCCCUUUGUGGGAUUUUCCUUAUUUUUUCCAACUCACCUUCCCACACGCGUAUGGUUUUUUUAUGCAAAAAAGCUCCCAAGACUUUGAGGGCUAAAGGCAGACCUUGAGCAUAUUCUACAACACGAUUCGAGAGAUCAUCAUAAUCUCUAGUGGGUUGGUCAUUUCUGAAGGCGUGCUGCCUAAAGAGUUUCAGAGCUCCAGAAUCACUCAAAGUCUUGGGAUUAUAUAUCACAUCAGCUAUGCUUAGUAACUGCGAAUCUCUACUUGUUAUAAUAAUCCUACUUCCACCACCAAAGGAAUGUUGCUCUCCAAGUAAAGCUUCAAUUUGUUCUAAUUUGUCCACAUCAUCAACAACAAUAAGAACUUUUCUCUGACCAAGGCUUUUUAACAUCACCUGGAAACCUUUACUCAAUAUGUCAGAAAUCCCCACCUUGUUGUCUGAGAUACUAGAUAGAAGUAGUGUCUGCAUAUGUAGUUCACCCUGCUUCAUGAAACCCUCCUUGACAUUUUUAAGAAAGCAACCAGCUUCAAAUCGACAAGAGAUUUCAUCAUAAACAGUUCUAGCGAUGGUUGUUUUGCCUAAACCACCCAUACCCCAUAUUCCAACAACGCGAACAUUAUUCGUUUCACCUCCGGGAGGAUAUAAUAAUAAAUGCAUUUCAUGCAUGUGAGAAUCCAUGUCAACCAAGCCAUUAUCUUUGCUUGAUGUUGAUGAGAUGUCUAUCAAUUUCCUAUAAACAUCUUCUACAAUUUCCUCAAUAAGCACCACAUCAUUCCUGUCAAAUUUAAAAAACAUAUAAUAACAACAUCAAAUAAUAAUUAAUGGGUCUUUUUCAUCUGUUAGUUAAAAAAAAAUAGAAAUUAAAACUAAAACUAAAAUCUAAACGUUACAAAAAUCCCAAAAAUUAAAAGGAAACUAAAACAAAUUAGAAUUUACUCAUAGUUUCGCGAAUCCCAGCCGGAUAAACAGGUGGCAGUUGUAAGAGUAGAUCUCCAACUCCGAACCUCUUCCAUUUCGGCGUUAGAAUCGCGAUCGUGCUCAGAAAAGCUUGUGCGAAACUUUUCUUGAGCUUACGAACAUGAGACGGAUCAACUUCAUAGAAAAUGGGGAGUACAAUCUGGUUAUUGGUAUCCUUGCAUUCCAGGAUUUGCACGAGUUCUUUCAAGCACCAAGUGGAAGAAGCAUAGUUUUGAGAGAAAACUACAAGCGAAAGCCUUGACCCUCGAAUCGCUGUCAGGAGCUCGGAAAGGUGGUCGCCUUUUCUGAGCUUUUCCGCAUCAAUGAAGGCGUUGAUUGGUUUCUUAACCAGAGCGUUGUAGAGAUGGCUGACGAAGCCCCUGCGAGUGUCUUCCCCUCUGAAAUUGAUGAACACAUCGUAUUUCCAACCAAGGUUAGAAGCAGCAGCCAUUAAUCGAUCGCACCUGGUCAGCGAUGAUCGAGCAGCUAAGACUAAGAAUAAUGUAAGAACAGAAAUACUCGAUUGAUCUAUAAAUUGAAUCACUGAAGAAACUGGUCUGAUCGAUACGAAGUCAACGAAGACAAAGAAAAUAAUGCUUUAUGUGUUUUCACAUCUUCUUCCGGGAAAUUUAACGAAAAUAAUUUUCCUUUAGGCAAAAUUGACUUCAAAAUAUAAAAAUAUUCUUUCAAUUAUGGACAUAUGACAUUUCGGUGUGAAACGAAUAUGCUUAUUUGGUUUGGUUUGGACCCAAGAAAGGACAAAGAUUGUCUGCCCUCCUACUUCCGGUGCCCUUCCAUGCCCUUCUGUUUGUGUAGUCACGGUUAAGCCACGUCAACAUUUUAUAUUACUAUUUAUUUUUGUCUUAUUAUCUCUAUAAAUAAGCAAUAUAAAAUAUUAACGUGGCAUAAUCGUGACCACAGAAAACAAGAGUUGGCACCAAAAAUAGGAGGACAAACAACCCUUGUCCCCCAAGAAAAUGCUAAGAAAGGAUGGUUUAGCAGCUGUGCAUGAGGGGACUGGGUCAAAGUACCCUGUUGAAUCCACUCUUGCCUACCCAACAACUUAUUUAGUUAUUUGUAAGCCCGAAAUAUAUCCCGAUCUUUCUAUUCACACCAAAAGUAAGUAGAGUGAUAAGAAAUAUUUCCGGUUAAGUAUAAGCAUGUCAGUCUGCAGCAGCAUAGCCACGUUAAGGGCUACCGUGGGCUGUAGUCUAUGUAAUUUUCAGUGAAAAAUAAAAUUUUACAUGUAAUUUUUAUUGAUUUUCAAAUAUACUUCUUCAUAUAUACAGUCUUUAAUCUGAAUUAUCUCAUUUUAAUUAUAUAAUUAUAUAAUACAGUUUACAAACUGUCUCUUUUUCUUACAUCAUUUUUCUCACCGCUUCUUGCACAUGUACAAGUUUGGAUUUUGUUUGAAUUUUAACACGUAUUUGUUUAAAAACGAAAAUCCUUGGCUUACAUAGUGAAAAUUUUCUUAAGUUAGCUGAUACUUUGAAAAAUACAGGAUCAAGUUUCUUUGUUUAUAAAGAUUUAAAUCUUUAAGCUAGCCCACCCGGUGAAAAAUUCCUAACUCCGUCAUGCAUUUUACAUAUAAUUUUUAUUGAUUUUCAAAUGUAGUCCAUCAUAUAUACCGUCUUUAAUCUGAAUUCUCUUGGUUUAAUUAUAUAAAAUUAUAUAAUACAGUUUACAAACCGUCUCUUUUCUUACAUCCUUUUUCUCACUGCUUCUUAUACAUGUACAAGUUUUGAUUUGUUUGAAUUUUAACACGUAUUUGUUUAAUAACGAAAAUCAUUGGCUUACAUAGUGAAAAUUUUCUUAAGUUAGCUGAUACUCUGAAAAAUACAAGAUCAAGCUUCUUUGUUUAUAAAGAUUUAAAUCUUUAAGCUAGCCCCCUGGUGAAAAAUUCCUAGCUUCGCCAUUGAGCAUGUGGUAUAUCCUAUGAUAUCAUGGACGGCAAACGAGCGAUUAAUGGUUGUUUGGCAUUUAAUUUGAUGUCACGGUAGUAACGGUACUCUAAAAUCUUUGAUAUACUUGCUUUCAGCUACAAAACUACUAGAACUCCGAAAAUUGCUUAUGAAAAUAAAAAUAUUGACUAGAUUUGAACUUGUAUAAUCUAUGUCUUCACUACACAUUGUUGUGUUCGCUCGUGUUCUAAAGUUGACGCUAGCUAGAAGGUCACAGCAAGAAGCAGAGGAGGCUAACUAUUGCAGAAAUUUGUUUAUUCAAAAGCAUUUGUAAAAACACAUAUUGAAAUUAAUUCACGCCAAAAAUAAAUAAUACAGUGGUGGCAGGCACACUACAACAAUAGGGUUUUAACCCUAUGCAUUUUUAUAUUGGCUUUUGUGUUAUCAGUUGCGACCGCUCGGUGGAGAGAGCAUUUUAUGUUAUGAAUAAAAAUACCACUGCGUAACAAAAUAGAAGAUUAAUGGUUGAGUGAUAGCUGGUUUGUUUGCAAUGAGAGAGAUGUUUUUGCUUUUAUUGAUAAUGAAUCUAUAUACGCGAUGUUUUCAUAGCAUAAAACAUCGCCGACAACAAUUGUAACUUUUUGUGUUGAUAAAUUAGGAAAGACAUUAAUAUUUUCUAAUAUCUAAAAGAAUUUGGAUGUCUACAUUUUUUUGGAAAACUUUUUACCCUUCUAAAUUUCGCGCCUCUCCCGACAAUUCCUAGCUUCGCCACUGCUAUAGUCAACUCCAAGUCUUGUCCAUGAUAUCAAUAUCCCUACUGUAAACGGUGACUUCAAUAUAAGCUAACAAAAAGUUUGUAUAGAGAAGAUAUAUGCAUGAAAAAAUGGCAGUGUUUGUGUUGCCGAACGGAUGAUACUGAAAUACCUAAACCCAAGUCAAGCUCCUUUAGUCCACAAAAACAAAAGUUUAGAAUACAAUAAUGUUUGCAUAUAGAUUGGAGAAACGACAUACCACCGGCCAGGAAGGUGCAGUGAAAGAGAGAGGAAAAGAGGAAAGAAACAAAUACGAAAUGACAAAGACUAUCAAAUAGAUUAUAACAAUGACUUCUUAGCGGUGAUCACAACUAUUCAACUAUCGAUGAUGCUUUAUUUUAGAUUGAGAUGUGGAAGCAUCUGAGAAGUAGCAUGUCAACAACCAUUACACAAUAAUAUUGUCUAAUAUCUAAAAGAACUUGGAUAUCUACAUUUUUUUAGAAUCUUUUACCCUUAUAAAUUUCGCACCUCUUCAGACAAUUUCUAGCGUUGCCGCUGCUUCAGUCAACUCCAAGUCCUAGUGGUUCUUGUCUAUGAUAUCAAUAUACCCAUUGUAAAUGGUGAUUUCAAUAUACAUAGAGUGUGUACAGGGGAGAUAUAUGUAUGAAAAAAUGGCAGUUGUUGUAUCUGUGUUGACGAACGGAUGGUACUGGAAUACCUAAACCCAAGUCAAGCUUCUUCAGUCCACAAAAACAAAAUGUUUAUUAUAUAAUAAUGUUUGCAUAUGGACUUGCGAAACAACAUACCGCCGGUUGGGAAGGUGCAAUGAAAGAGAGAGGAAAGGGGGAAAUAAACGAACAAGAAAUGACAAAGGCUAUCCAAUAUAUUAUAAAAUGACUUCUUGGCAGUGAUUAAGCUAUUCAAUUAUCAAUAAUGCAUUAUUCUUAAAGUUUAUAAUAUAAUAAUGUUUGCAUAUGCACUUGCGAAACGACAUAUCGUCGACUGGGAAGGUGCAAUGAAAGAGAGAGGAAAGGAGGAAAUAAACGAACAAGAAAUGACAAAGACUAUCCAAUAUAUUAUAAAAUGACUUCUUGGCAGUGCUUAAGGUGUUCAACUAUCAAUAAUGCAUUAUUCUUAGGUUGAAAUGUGGAAGCAUCCGAGAAAUAGCAUGGUAACAACCACACAAUAAACAAAAGUGAUUAGAGAAAAGAACCAAAUGUGAAAGGAUAAUUAAAAACAGUUAUUCAAGAUCGGCGGUAAAUCAUUCAGCUAUUUACAAGAUUUGAACUUAGAACCGCAAUCUACUAGAUUGUUGUAUCAACUAUUAAGUGGUGUUCUAAUAUAAUUCUUAGGAAUUUCAAGGAGGCAUAUGGGGGUGGAUCAUUUUUUUUCUAAAUUCGACAGUACAAAGAAGAAUUUAAUUGAUAACGGAAAAAAUAAGUUACAUAUAGAGCUGGAGCAUAUAAUAGACCCAAAUUGACCAUUUUUAGGCUCCACUGCUAAGAACUAUUGCAAAAUGCUCAUUAGGAUUACCCUGUGAACUCCGUCCUUCCACACCAAGCCUCCAAACUCAGUCCGAUAUGUUGCAGCUAGUUUAGAUACUUGUCCCCUGCAUGUUACAGAAUCACAAGAGCAAGCUUACAAAACUGCAGUUUUUACUCAUAGUUAUUGCAAAUGAAAAUACAGGUUGGUGCCAGCAAUUAUCAGUGUAAUUCUCUAUCCGACGGUAUUUCUCUCGCCUUCUCUUGAUAAUUUCGGAUGUGACAUGUUUAAGAUAACUCUUCCAAACACGUUGCUUAUGCCUAAUUUUUAAUACCACCAUAUCAUAUCAUAGUAAAUCCAAAUAACUAUCGAAUGGCAUUUAGGCAUCUAGAAUAUCAAAUGCAUUACUUUACAUUGAAAAUUCAUUUAUUCAAUAGCAUUAAUACACUAGUAAAAAAAACACUUUGCACGACGUAGGUCCUUCGUCGCGCAAAGUCAAAACAUGUCGCGCAAAACUUUGCCCAACGAACCUUCGUCACGCGCAAACCGUCGCAGCAAGGCAGUGACAUAAGGCUUUGCACGACGAAGGGUUACAUGCAUCGCGCAAAGCCACUUUGCGCGACGCAUGUAACCCUUCGUCGCGCAAAGCCAUUUUGUGUGAUGCAGGCUGCGUCGCUCAAAGUGGCGUCACGCGAAGAUGCUUUGCGCGACACAUGUCAUUGAGUUGCACAAAAUGACUUUGCGCAACGUAACCUACGUUGCGCAAAGUGUAUUUUUGGUUUUGGUCAAAAAUAUUAUUUUCUUAAUUUUUAAUAAUGUUGUAAUUAAAUUCUAAACAAUAAUUAAUUAACCAAAAAAAGUAUUUAAUUAUAAAAUAUAUGGAAAUGUACAUACAAGAUGUCCGAAUAAAAAAGAAAAAACUACAAGUAGUCUUCUAGGUGAAGUGGCUACUGGGUAUCAACAUGGUGAAGUGGCUUCUAGGUGAAGUAACAUUUCGAUGACGUGAAAAAGUUUCAAUUGGUCAUCUACAAGUGUCAAACCUAACACAUUUUACUUAAAAAAGAAAAAGGUAAUAACAUAACUCAAAACGAAAAGCAAAAGGGAAAAAAAAAAACUUUGCGCGACAUAAGUACAUAUGCAUCUCGCAAAGUUUUUUUUUCCCCCUAUUGCAGAUACAAAUAACAUCAUCCUUUUGCAAGAAUCAGUCUCUGCCCUCUCGCCCUCCCUCUCCCGCUCCCUCUCCUUCUCCUUCUCCCCUGUGUAGUUGUUGGUUGUGUUGUACGAAGUCGUCCCUCUCCCUCUCCCAUGUGUUGUUGUUCGUUGCACAAAGUAUUUUGCCCGAUGCAGGUGUACCUACGUCCCGUAAAGAUUUUUUUUUUUGCCCUUUUGCUUAUGAGUACAAAAUAAAUAAAUUAAAAUCUACUUACUAAAUCAACUAUGGAGCUUUUGACUUGUGUUAGAACACUGGAAAGAAAGACAAAAAGAGACAUUUUCAUGUUGACUUUGCACGACGCAUAGUACAUCAUGCGUCGCGCAAAGCUGUUUUGAGUGACGUAGUGUACCUGCGUCGUGCAAAGUUGGAAAAAAAACGGUAAAACAUUCUUGGUUUGGCCCCAAAAUCUUGCGCGGCGCACAAAACGUCGUGCAAGUGGUCUUUAUGCGACCAUACUUUGCGCAACGAAGGAGUGCGUCGCGCAAAACAGUUUUGAACGACAUAGAUGUACCUUCGUCGCGCAAAACAAUUUUGUGCGACCCACUCCUUCGUCGCACAAAGACCACUUGUGCGACAUCUUGUGUUUAGCGUUGCACAAAGUAUGUUUGCGCGACGAAAUUUGCUACGUCACGCAAACAUGUUUUUGUACUAGUGAUAACACACACAUUGAAUCUCCACUUGCCCACCCAAAAACUUCUUUGUAAACUAGAAAUAUAUUCCAAUCUCCCUAUUCACAUGAAGAGUGAGUUAGAGUGAUUGGAAAUAUCUUUGAUUACGUGUACGCACACCACAUAUGUGCCAUAUCCAACGGUAUUGCGGACAUAAAGCAAGCAAGUAAUGGUUGUUUGGCUUCUAAUCUGAUGUCACGGUAGUGACGGUACUACUUUGAAAUCUUUGAUGUAUAUGUUUUUAACUACAAACUACUAGAACUUCACAAAUUGCUUAAAUACAAGUUCAAGCAAUAAUAAGAAUAUUUCCAAUAGAACACCUUUCAUAGGGCCGGUCCAGAAAUUUUUGAGGCCCGGGACGACGUAAAAAAAAGUGCCCUAACUUCAUGUAAGAAAAUUAUUUAUUUUCACACGUAAGACAUCGAUAAAAUUAUACUUAGAAAAACACUUCAAACUUAAUAAUUUAAAAACACAUAAAGACUAAUUUAUUUUGUAUUGAGAGAGGGAAACAACAAAACUUCGGGCUUACAAGUAGAUAGAUGAUGAGUUUUGUUUUCCAUCUGAACUUUGAAUGUGUUUUUGAAUAAAUCAUGAGGUGUUUUUUUCUUAUUUACUAAUCUUGUCAAUAUGGGACUAUAAAAAAAUGAUGUUUUCGAGUCUUUAAUUGAUAUGUAUUAUUAAUGAAUUGGCACUAAAUUAAACAUUUUGAUGACAUGUCAUAUAAUUUGCAAAUUUGGUCUACGUAUUAUUCUUUGUUGAAGAUUAGACUUGAAUUAAAACGAAUAUUUAAAAAUAACAACCCACAUAUCUACUAGAUAGUAACUAAAAAUAAAUUAACAACCAAACAAAAAUUUGUAAAAAUUGAAAAGAAUAAACAUGCACAUAGCACUUCAAACAAAAAUCAUUGUUUCUAAGGGGGGUGUAUUCAAUUGAGAAUGUGAAAGAUUUUAAUGGAUUUAUAAAUCCAUGGAUUUUUAUGGAGUUUAAUUGAUUUGUAGAGAUUCCAUAUAAAAUUUUGAUUCAAUUCCUUCGAAAUCUCAUGGGAAGAGGUGAGAUUUGUGGAUACUUAAAAUACACUACGAAAUCUCUCCAAUUCCCUCUAAUUCUUUAACUUUCUCAAAUUCUUUAAAAUCAAUUUCUAAUUGAAUACACUUGGAAUGUUAUAAACUUCUUUAAAAUCUUAAUUGAAUACACCUGGAUUUCUAAGGAUUUUAAUAAACUAUUUUGAAAUUCUAAUUGAAUACACCUAGAAUUUCAGAGAAUCACUUAAAAUCCUAAUUGAAUACCCCUGGAAUUAUUAAUUCCCUGAAACUCUCUCAGAAUCCUAAUUGAAUACACCCCUCUAAGUAGACUUCUUGAUCCUUUUACCAAAUUUUAUAAAUUUAUUCUCUUAUGAAAAGAAAUUUGUAAAAAAUGAAAUGUAAAUAAGCACACAUGGUGUUUUGAACCCAAUACCUCCUCAUUAUUUUCAAAUGACAAACCACCACUUCUAGUUAAAUUUCUAUGUCUUUGAACCAAAUUUUAUAAAUUUAUACUCUUAUAAAAACAUACAUAAAUUGACACACCCCAUCCCGAAGGAGGGCAUGCUGGCCGUCACGUGAGAGUGACGUAACCAUUUGCACAGUACGGAAGCUUUAAGAUACAAUUUAUAAGUUGAUACACCCGAAGGUGAGUCCUAAUUUUGUCCAAUCUGUCAGAACACCGUCGAAUUCCUCGUAGUCACCACACCUUUGUGAUUCUUGAACCUGGAGGGGCGCAAAACCAAAAUUGAGUGGGUCAGUAAAACAAUUCUUUUCCAAAUCCAAACAUUUCUCAAAACGUUGUAACCCCUCUCCGUAAAACCUGUAUACUUUCCCAGAAAUGUAAAAUAUAAAUAUACAUAUAUAUUCUCAAAACUUCAUUUUUACUAUCUCAACAUUUUUCUUUAUCAAUCAUGCCAUGCCAUGUCUAAUUCAACAGUUAAAUAUGGAUGCAUCAACAAUAAUCAUAUCAGGUGCAAGAAAGUAAUCAACCGGAGGCCCUCUAAUAGCCCUGUACGGUUGAACCUAGAGCUCAAAAUCUAUCACUAUCACUCUACCGGAGUCACCUCUGUGACCCGUCCGGCCUUCUGCACACAAGUUAUGCUCUAGUGCUUUCUCAUCAAUCAUCUGUGCACAUAAUCUAAGGUCACCCACCAGUCGGAAUCUCACUAACACUCUCGCGACUGGCCUGUCGUACCCACUCCGCGUGGACUGUACGACUAGCAUCUACUUGGAUCCAAGGCGAGCGUGCGAUGCGGUGAAUACUAUAAGCACUAAACCAUUGGUGCAGGAUUUGAGCUCAAUAUAUAUCAACAUCAUCAUAACAGUAAUUAAAUACUCACCUGAUACUCACCUGUGCGUCCGCCGCACCAUUCAUUCAUAUGCAUCAUAUCUCAAUUCAUACUUUUCAUAUCAUUUCAUGCAUGGCAAUUCGAUUCACAUUUCUAUAUACUUUUCAUAUACUUUUAUGCAUGGCAUUUCAACUAAUAUAUCUCAUAUACUUUUAUACAUUUUCAUUAAAAACAUAAUUUCAUGCAUUUUCAAUUUCUGGGAAACGGCAAGUAUAUAUGUAUACGGAAAACAAAACUGCCCACUCACCUGGAGUUCGCCCUACAACUCCCUAGCACAAUACGCCAAGGCGUCAUGACGAUCGGCGCCUAAAAACAAUAAUUAAUUCCAACCUCAGAAUUCAUAGUGAUAGAAUAUAUAACUUAUAUAAAAUACGUCACUACGUAGUUCGAUCCGGAAGAUCUGCCACUCAGAUUUUAAAUCCAUAACUUCCAGAGGUCCACAAUAUACCUCUAGGACAACUUCCUAAAAUUUCAUUACCAUCCAACGGUCGGAUCUCCGUCAAUUUCCAAAACUAAGUGACGGUUAACAUUUUAUUUUAUGAACUUACAAUUCCAAUUCCGGAAGAUCCGUAACUCGGAUUCCCAAUCCGUAAGUUCCAAUAAUCCUCAAAUAUUACGUAUUACAACGUAUCAAAGUUUGGUAACGAUCCAACGGUCGGAUCGUCAAUUCACAUUUUCACCAAAACUAUAAAACGUUAUUCGAACACCUAACCAACAAUCCUUAAUAACUUUCUCAUACGGUGCUCAAAUUGGGUAUAUGAAUAUACCACGGUGAUCUACUCGACGUCACGGACGUCGACAUAUUUUUAAAAUAAUUUUAUUUAUUUAUUUUUUUUAACUGUAGCACCUUCUUCUUCCUUGGGUCGCCGGACUGGUUUUUCCGGCGGCCGUUUUCCGGGCAGUUUUUCAAAUUGUCAUAACUUUGUCAUUUCUCAACGAAAUCAAGUGAUUCAAAAACGAAAGUUGUAGCCCUUGAAGAGACAAAGAGAAUGGUACCUUGCACAACACCUAGUUCGCCGUGGUUUGGCCGGAAACUGCCUCGAAAGCCUCGGAGGUCGCCGGAAACUGGGUAUUUUUCAAAUGAGUAUAACUUCUUCAAUACUCAACGAAAUUGAGUGAAACAAAAAGGAAAGUUGUAGUACUUGACGAGACGAAGAGAUUGAUACCUACCUCGACUCCUAACUCGCCGGGGAUUCGCCGGAAAAUGCCUCGAAGCUCCGGCCAAACUUUGAACUUGUCGAUCUCCGUGUUCUUACGUCCAAAAACUUCCAACGAAGCACUCCGAGCUUCCUUGGAACCUCACUAAGCUCACUGUGAGCUUGGAUUGUCCUAAAACAAAGUCAAUUCGAAGAUCAUGAACAGUGCACUUUCACGGGGAGUUUAGAAUCUAGGUUUUUCCGAAGUAAAACUUACCUGAAAUUGGUGUCUACGUGAUCGUGGAGUCUCCAGGAGUUCGAUGGUGGUCUUAACUCCGUCGUUGGUAUAGAUUUAGGGUGGUUUUGGAGCUCGUCUGUGUGAGUUUGAAGGAGAGGGAGAGAGACAGAGAAUGAGAGAUUGUGAGGGAGGAGAGAGAGACAGGGUACGGGAAAUAGGGAGGGAUUUGAGGUGUGUGGUCCUACCUAACCCCAAAUCAUAAAAUUCCAUCUCCAAAUAACUUAGAAACAUAUAUUUCACCAAUAUAUGAUUCACAUAUCUUAAUCACGUUUAAGGGAAAUUCCGUCAAUUUACAAUCACGAGUGUAAAACUUUGGGACGGGCUGUGACAUAAAUAUAUCACCCUAAUAAUUUUGGUGCCCCUAAUUUUUCUGGGCCCUGGACGGUCGCCCUGCCUACACUGGGCCUAGGCCGACCCCCUUUCACAAUCCCUGGAGAGCUAGUUCAUUAAUAGACCGAGGAAUAAGUAAAUUGACUCAUUCAUAUAUUUAGAUCAUGAAUGUUUGGAAUCCAUAUUAUGUAAGGAGACAUUGCUUUUGCUAUUAUGAAAUUUAAAAAAAAAAAUGACUAGAUUAGAACUUGCAUAAUCUACGUUUUAUUCAUGGCAUGCGAUUAUUAAUGAUUAAAGCUAAGCUUAAUACUAUGGGAGGUAAAGUAGUGGAAAGCAAAUCCUUGGCACUCAUGGCACUUAUGGAGAAGAUGAAGAAAAGAAACCUAGGUCGUAUUUAUAUACAAACAUGUGACUAAAUUACAGAAAUGAUAACGAGAGAGCAUGUGAUUGUUGACAACCAGUGACAUGAGAAACACACUCUGGGAUCAUAUCCAUCAGAAGCCCAAUUCCAUCCUGUGUAAGAAAGAGAGCAUGAGAACACGAACAUGAAAAAUGAAAGAAUUGUAUUCAGCAUUUUGUCAAGCUAUCAAUUGGUACACAAGCAUUAUGAUGUAAUAAUCAUGUUAAAAUAAAAUAUAAAUAGUAAAACUACACGUCCAAGCUUUAAUCCAAAGAAUUCUCACUUAGUAGUCCAAAGCUAAUUGAUUACCAUUCGGUUGAUCCAGAAACACUCAACCUAUCCAACUAUUUUGCGACGUUACCAAAAACUACUACUACUUUCCAGGUGAAACAUGAAGGGUGAAAAAGCAAACAUGAAUCACUAGAUUUACUACAAAUGAUAUACCGAACAAUCUAACAGUAAAUAUCAACAAGACCAAUCCAACGUUAUCACAAAGCAUAUAUCAAUAAGAAAAAUAUAAAAAUAUUGUUACCUUACUGAAAGCUCCAAUAUUCGGUAAGGUAACAUUGGAGGUCACUAUCAUCUUUCCCGCGAUCAGUGAAUAAAAGCCAAAGAUCUGACUCUUGGAUUCGAGUCAUGGGUUUGGGUCGCAAUUCUCUCGUCGCAUGUUUGAAUACCAAGUUCAUCUUAACAGACUUGGUUUUUUUUAUCAAACAUCUUAACAUAUUUAGGGGUGUGUUCAAUUGGGGAUUUAAGAGAUUUUAAUAGAUUUAUAAAUUUAUAGAUUUAUAUGGAGUUUAAUUGAUUUGUAGAGAUUUCAUGUAAAAUUUUGAUUCAAUUCCCUCGAAAUCUCAUAAGGAGAUGUGAGACUUGAGGAUGUUUAAAAUACACUACGAAAUCUCUCCAAUUGAAUUCCUCAACUUUUUCAAAUUCUUUAAAAUUAAUUUCUAAUUAAAUUCAAUUGAAUGUUGUAAAAUUCUUUAAAAUCGUAAUUGAAUGCAUCCAGAUUUCUAAAUAUUUUAAUAAACUAUCUUAAAAUUCUUAUUUAAUACAUUGAAUUUUAGACAAUUACUUAAAAUUCUUAUUGAAUACCUUUAGAUUCAUUAAAAAAUUUAAAAUUUUUCAAAAUCCCAUUUGAAUACAUCACCCUUAAUAAAUUGUACAUUACAUUAUAUCCCAUUUGAGCACAUUAGCUUAUGCCUCCGGAUUCUGCAUAUCGGGUCGGGUUCCGAAGUUCGAGCUCACAUUUGAUAAUCAAAUUCAUCACAUUUGAUCCAACGGUGGUAAUUGGCAAACCCACCUCGGAGUCAAAAGAUGCGGCCCACGCUCCCUCUCUUUUCCAAAACCCUAGCAAAACCUCGGCCCUAUAAAUACCUUCCACAUCCGCCGCAGGAGGCACCCAAAUGCCCCUUUCUCUUCCCUUUCACACACUAAUCCCUCGCAGAGGCGAUGGGAUUCCCAGUUGCUUCUCCGUCGGAGAAACCUUUCCAACUGCUCCAUCUCUUUGCACCAUCGCCUCUGUUUCUUUUUUAUUUAUUUACUUAAUUAUUUGAGCAAUUUCCUUUAUCCUUGCCAUUCAUAUUUCAGAUUUUCAGCUUGUUUUUUUUUAUCCGAAAAAUAAAAUCGAAGUUGUAUGAGUUUUUUGCAAUUUUGUUGGGUGAGGCCGGUGAUGAUCGAAACAUAUUUUGCCUACAUUGCUUGAUUAUCUUAUUUUAUUGAGAUAAUGAUAAAAUCCGAUGUAUCUGAGGCCUUCCCGGAAGAACGAGCUUUAUUUUAUUUUUUAUUUUUUGGGUAAAAUGUAUUAUUUCAAAUCUUAAUAUUUCAAAAAACUGAAUUUUUAAAUUUCGACUAAAAUGAUGAGUUUUGUUGAUAUUUGCGAUAUAUCACUUAAAUAGUGAAGAAAUUCUUAAUUUCGUCUUAUUAAAUAUGUCAGAUUUUGUUUGAUAUUUUCUCGAUGUCAGAAGUCGAACUUAGAACUCUUAACCAUAAGAAUUGAAUUGAGCUACACUGGAUGCGUUGGAGAAAAUAUUAAUAACUGAAGGAGGAUUUAUGUUAUAACAAAAAUAAAAUAAAAAUGGUAUUCCGGUGCCAGGAUUCGAACCUGGAUGAAAACUCUUAACCAAUAAGACUUUUUGUGGUGAGCUUCACCGGACGACUUGAUAAAUCAUGGCGAAAUAAACUAUUUAAAUGUACUCCUUACGUUGUGCCGUAGAUAAACAAUUAGUGCACAUAAUGUAGUUAUCUGAUUUGUGGGGAAUGGUGAUGCUCACCGCUUAAUGUCGUCGUUGGAUCAGUUUAAGUUUUGAGAUCUGUGAAAUGAAUAAAUACAAAUUUAAAAAUUUAAAUUUAUUUAAUAAUAAUAAGUAUGGUAAUGAGAAAAAAAUGCAUCUUAUGGUUCAGAAACACACUCUCAAAUUUAAAUAACAAUUUUCAUGCUUUCCAACAACACAAAAAUUUUAUAACUAAGAAUCAAUCAAAACAUAAUGAUUGAAUGAGCGAGGAUUUCUUUUAUUUUUUCCAAAUUUUCUGAAGGUUUUUUCUAUAAAAUUUAUGGUGUCAUGAUUGCCUUAAAAGAAUCGUAAAUGUGUUCCUUGAAAAAUAAUAUGAAACCGUAUUUUGAGUUCUUAUGUUUAUUGUUUUAAUUCGAUCUAUCGUUUGAAGCCGCCUCCACCAAAAUAAAUUCAUAUCUAUAUUUUUUCUAUAACGAGUGAUUAAUAAAUCCAACCGUUUUUCAGCACCACAAAAUAAGUUACAACCCGAACACUAACGAGCGAUUAAUGGGUCCAACCGUUUUGCCACAUAUAUAUUUUCUUUUUAUCAAAACAUGCAAAUAUCUUCUUUACCAACUUGAAUCUCCCAUCGUUUGUUUUCUCUUCAUCCACAGAUUUGAUCUGUCUUUUUUGGUGAUCAAACCAAAAUUUUCUUGGACAUGAUUGUACAUACAACCAUUAAUAAACUAUCUCCAACAAAAGCCUAAACAUAGCCUCGUCCAAAAUUAUAGUCUUGCAAAAAAAUAUUUUUUUAAUAAACGAUGUCAAACUAUACUCAUGUACUAUCUUUAACCUGUAUGAAACCUUAAAAUGUAGUGAGCUUCAUCAGUUCAUGUUUAGUGCAAUUAUAUAGAACAAAAUGGUUGUAUUUCAUUUAGGAUUAGGACUUAUAUGUGUGACUUGUAAGGGAUUUAGAGCCACAAAGGAGGGAAACUUGAAGUUACAAUUAUUUGAAUUUGGCGACAGUUAAUCGAAGGAAAUUGCUUGUAACUGCAUCCUUGAUGGGAGGAUGAGUUGCGGAACGUACAUAUAUAUAUAUAUAUAUAUAUAUAUAUAUAUAUCACUUUGAUCUCUCUUCUUAGGUGUGUGUGAUCCCUCACGUAGAAAUAGUCCCAUUGAGUGUUCUUGGAUCAAUUUUGUGACCAAAGGAAGAGAAGAUAUCACAUCCUGGCCCGGGACGGACCACUUCCCGGGCCCACUCCACCACCGUAGCACGAUAUUGUCCGCUUUAGGCCCCGAUUAAGCCUUCACGGUUUUGUUUCUGGAAACUCACGAGCAACUUCUUAGUGGAUCACCCAUCAUGGGAGUGCUCUGCCCACCUUCUCACUUAACUUCGGAGUUCAGACAAAACCCGAAGCCAAUGAUCUCCCAAAAUGGCUCGUGCUAGCUAGGGAUGAGAAUAUACAUUUAAGGAUCACUCCCUUGGACGAUAUGGGAUGUUACAGAAGACAAAUGAUCAAACUUGUUGUCAAUGUCUUCUUCUACAAGUAAGUAAAUUCUCAUUACUUGUUAUAAUCGCUGCAUGCAUAAUGACACAAUAAAUGCAACAAUUAUCAUUCAAUGUUAAGAUUUCUGAACUAGGAUCAUGGUUUAAUUGUUAAUGAUAUAUAUAUCCAAGCAUAACCGAAAUAGCUAAACAUAGCCCCAUAAUAAUUUAUUAUUUUAAACCUUAUACUUUAAAUUAAUUAAUUAAUUUAAUUUAAUUAUCAUUGUAUGUUUUCAAAUUUAGCCGUUUAAUUUGAAUUAAUUGUUGCAACUGAGGAGCUGGAUCCCCAAAAAGGGCUAAGAGGGGUUCUAUAUUUGACCAACUUGAUACCCCUUAGGCUAAUAAUCAUCUGGUGGGCUCCAUAAAAUUAUAGUCUAGUCAUCGGUUGGAAAUAAAUUUUUAGAUAAAUCAAGGUCAUUUUUAGUUUUUAAACCUUUAGUCAUCUCAAUUGAAAAUGACCUUAUGUCUUUAUACGAUGUGCCUCCUAUUUCCAGCUUCAACUCCAACUGAAGGAUGUAAACGUAAUUAUCAUCUAUAGAGAUUCAUCAGAAUUUGAGGGGUUAGAUGACCCCUACUUGCCUCUUAAUGGAUUGGCCUAGGGGUGGGCAAACGGGUAUAGGAACCGCGGGUCGGGGCGGGUACGGACCGGUUCUUAUUUUGUAAAAAUAAAAAUGAGGCGAGGUAGGGCGGGCUUUUGAAAUUUUCGGUUCGGGCUGGUUCCUGAAGUAUGGUAGCGUUUGGUACGUGGGACGGGACGGGACGGAACGGGACGAGCCGUUCCGUCCCACGUUUAGUGCGCCUAAAAACUGUGGAACAGGUUGUUCCAUGGGACAAAAUUUGGCUGAUUUUUCGUUCCACCUCUUCCCCCUGGAACGACCCGUUCCACAUCUGUGGAACACAAAUUUAUAACAUUUUAUGACAAAAUUUCUCCUUAUCUUUUUCAAUAUUUACAUCAUCUGUUCCGUCCUGUUCCAUCUCGUCCCGUCCAGUCCUGUUCCGUCCCGUUCUGUCCCAUCUGCGUACCAAACGGUACCUAUAGGAACCGCGGUUACCCGGACCUGCCCGUUUGUAGUUAGAAUGGACGUAUAAGAUUGAAGAGAUCAUCUCUCCAUCCAAUCUGAAUCGUUGGUUUUAGGUUUGCUCAUCCUCAAACUUAUCGAAUUCAACUGUCACUCUUACUCUGUUGAUCGAGUCUCUCUCGCCGUCUCCAGUGCGUCGUCUCCUUCCCUCCACCACCCCGACAACACGACGGCCCAGACGACCACCAUCUUCUCGAUUUGUCACCUCUCUCUCACCUCUCUCUCGCCAUCUCGAUUUGACAUCCCAAGGACCCAGACUUACAUAACCCAGCCACCCCACCACCCAUCUUCUCGAUUUGUCACCUCUCAUUUGCCGUCUCGAGUGUGUCUUCCCCUCCUUCACCGAGGAGGACGAGAUUCAAAUCCUGCUGGUUUACUCCAAGGAGAUUAACAAGCGCAUGCUCGACACCGUCAAGUCCAGGAACGCCAUUGCUUCCGCUGCUCAAAACGGCGCCAUGGAGUCCGAGACUGUGAGCUCUGCGGUGGAAUGUACCGCUGUUGCCGCCAAUGAAGAUGCUAAGGCUGAAGAGCACAGAUCUCUCCAUGUGUGUUAGGUCACUCUUAGCUUCAUAUUAGCCUAUUAGAGCUUUCAUAUCGAGAUCUGUUCAUAUUUAUCAUGGAUUUCUUGUGAUGCCUAUAUACCUAAUGACCUGUUAAAUAUUUAAACUUUGUUAAUUUCGCUAUGCGCUUCAAUUUUCUGUGGAUUAUAUUAUCUGGGUUUCUGUUGUGAGUAUUGAUCUACUGAGUCUUGAUCUGCUUUGUUCAGAGAUGUUUAUGUUGAAGAUUUUAUAAGGAAGUGGGUGCAUUUGGAAUUGGAAAAUUAUCGAAAUCUUUCCUCUUGCAUUAUUUAGGUUUCCUAUUGCAUAAUCUGCUGCAUUAGUGAAUCUGUGCAAAUUCCAAUUUUUUUUUUUCUAAACAAAAAGAAAACCAAGAACCCGUGGACCCGGCCUGAACCGGCCCAUUUCAACCAGGCCGAGUAAGGUCCAAUUCCUAUAUAAGAAAAUGUAAUCCCCAACUCGGUCCGGCCCAUCUCCUUUGCACCUGGAUCCACCAGUGGCCAUAUGCUAUUGCCCUUUUAUUUUCUUUUUUCUCCUGCCAUGGGCGCAGUCAUGGGUAAGUAGGUAAGUUUGAUUACGCAAUUAAUUGGGCACUCUAGGAGACGCGUAGUGUUAGUGCAGGCUCAAAAGUCAAAAGGUUAAUGAGGAGUGUGGAUGGAAAGCCUGCCCUAAAUACGUUUGUAUUCCUUUGCUGAGUUACUGUACUCUGCCCUUUUCUCCUCUCUUCCUGGAAAAUUCACUCUAUUGAUCUCUGGCCGUGUUUUGCGUGGCAUGAAACAAAACGGUCAAGUAGUGUAUAACAAUUUCAAAAAAAAAGGUCAAAUAGUGUAUAACAAUUUAUCAUAUAGAAAGUUGAUGGUGCUGCAGAUGAUUAAUGAGAGUUUUAACGAAAAACUCACAGCACUGUUUACUUUAACGAAAAGCCACAUUUUUACAUUAAAAAGUCAAACCUAGUACUAUUCAUUUUAUCCUUUAUUUUGUCUUUAACAUUAAAACUCAAAGUUUUCAAACAUUUUUCAUUAGUUUUCCUAUGAUUAAUUGGUGUCCGUAGAAAUUACAUGAUAUCACUCAGACUUUAUCCAACAUAUUAGGCCAUCUCCAACAAAAGUCUAAACAUAGCCCCAUCUAAAAUUAUAUUCUUGUAAAAAAUUAUCUUUUAAUGAAUGAUGUUAGACCAUACUCAUAUAUCAUCUUUAACCGAAAUGGUUAAACACGGCCACUUAAUAAUUUAUUAUUUUAAACCUUAUACUUUAAAUUUAUUGGUUAAUUUAAUUAAACUACCAUUGCAUGUUUUCAAAUUUAGUUGUUUAAUUUGAAUCAAUUAUUGCAACUGAGGAGCUAGAUCCCCAAAAAGGGCUAAGAGAGGGUCUAUAUUUGGUAAGCCUGAUACACUUUUGGCCAAUAAUCGUCUAGUGGGCUCCACAGAAUUAUAAUCUAGUCAUCGGUUGGAGAUGAAUUUUUGAAUAAAUCAGGUAAUUUUUAGUUUUUAAUCCUUUAGUCCUCUUAGUUGAAGAUGACCUUAUGUCUUGCUUUAUAUGAUGUGCCUCCUAUUCCCAGCUUCAACUCCAACUGAAAGAUGUAAACGUAAUUGUCAGCAAAGAGUUAGAAACAUACCCGAAUCCACGUUUUAUAAGCAGAAACUACACUUAUUUGACAUGUUUCCUCAUUUUUUUUACUUGCAAAUUCAAAACCGUCUUGUCGGACCAGUAUAACAAAAUAAUGUUUACGAACAACUGUUAAAACUAAUCACAACAAGUUAAUGCAUAAAGAACUUACGGAUACGGAGGGUGCUAUGAGGCCACCGAAAAGGGUAAACCCCGCAAUAAAUGAAUUCACCUUGUGAUUAAUACUUUGCACAACUUUUUAUGAACCGACAAAAGGCUACAACAAAUUAUGGCUAAAACAGGUCGGGGAUAUGAAAAUAAAUGUCUUCACAGGGUCAGCAGCUUACCAGGGGAGGCAAAAAUGGAAUGAAUGAUGGAAAACUUGAUCUUCAUUUACCGCUCCAAGCUCUGCGCGUUUAAUCCGCUGUUGUAUCCUCAGCCUGCGAACCUACGCAUAUCGAAGCUCAUUCUUAAAGAACACAUUUCUAAUGGCAAUUGGAGAGUAAUUUAAAACAUGCUAAACUGAGAAAGUGGUAGCAACAAGCAAUUGCUCUCACCUCCUCCAUAUGCAAGAAAAUUUUGUUGCGACGACUCCGAAUAUUAUCUUGAAUUUCCUGCAGCUCCAUUGUCGCAAGGUCCUGCACUGUUUCAGGCCCCUCUAUGAUACAAAAUCUGCACAAUUAAGCAUGUAAAAACAAAAAUUUACAGGCUACAAAGCAAUUUCCAUAAUUUUUGGGUUAAUUAACAUCAACAGCAGAUAAAUCACAUGGGUUUUUCACAUAAAGUUACAAACUUUCAAAGACCAGUAAGCUGUCUGCAAUCUCAUAAAUUUCACAGUGCAAAGUAACAAUCCAAAGCUUGGAAAAUUUUCAUUUUCUGUUAAUUUCCUAGAGAGAGAGAGGGGGGAGUACCCGGCGGGGUUUGUAUCGGCGGCGGGAUUGGGAUCAGAAUCGACAGACGGAGCGAAAGAGGAGGAGUCGGGCUCCGAAGCCAUGGCCAGGGAUCACCAUCUGGAGCUGCUUGUUGAUAUGGGGCUUCUUGGGUAGCUGAAUUUGGAGCAGCCGGAGCUACGCAGUUUGUACGGACAGCACCGAUUUACGGGGAAAGAAACGGCAAAAAGUCUGCCGGAGCAGAGCAUCUCUCUCUCUCAAACCAGAAGGCAGAGCUUUCUGUUUCUCUACAGGUUUCUUUCACUGGUAAAUUCCGGAGAAGCAGAGAAGAAGGGUCAAAGGGCCAUGUAUAGUUUUAUAGUCAUACAAAAAAUUAUAUUUUAAUAAAAAAUGUAAGGCCAUAUUUUAUUAGGAAAAUUAAUGAAAAGGCUUGAAAACUUUGAGUUUUAAUGAUAAGGACAAAAUAAAGGGUAAAGUGAAUAGUACCAUGAUUGACUUUUUAGUGUAAAAAUGUGGUUUUUGGUUAAAGUAAACAGUACCAGGUGCUUUUCGUUAAAGUUCCCUAUUUUAUUCCAUAUCCAACUUAGUGGGCCAAUGGACCGUAGGCCAAACAUAGUCAUUUGACAAAAAUCUUAUCUCUAACCGAGAGAGCUAAAGGACCGUAGGCCGAAUAUAACUCCUUAAUAAUUUACUUUUAACGAGUGACUCAAUUAACUAUUUUCAUUUCUUACACGUUCAAAAUUAGACAAAUUCUUUGCAUACAUAAAAAAAAUAUAUAUAUAUUAAGGAGAGAGUAUUAAACUAUUACAUUACGGGUUUCGAACUCGCGAGAACCCUAAUGCCUCUCCACUAGGAUAUUAGACCAGUAAAUUAAAAAGAAAUAUUUAUAGAGGGCUGGAACCAGUCGAAGCUGGGGGGCUAGGCCCUCACGCCCAUAUUAUAUUACUUGAAAAAAAAACAUACAACAAGGAGGACAUAGUACUGAAACCCUGACAAUCAAAAGCAAAAUCAUAUACGACCACUCCAAGCAGUCAACAUAACCAUCACAUAUUGAAUCCAAAAGGUUGACGACCCAUUCGCUGCAUAUAAUGUACAGAAGAUAACAAAUUUUGAAGUGAUGCUCCAAGUAUGAUAUUGGGCAGAAAAGAGCGGCGGCUUCAACCACUUCUUCAGCUAUAUCCGGCUGGGUGAGAGCAGCUAAAGACAUGAUUGUUCCCUAAGAACAUGAAUACAUUGAGUAAACACCAAAAGUAACUGCUAGGGAAGGAGAUUUGAAGUAGAUUAAGAGGUUUAAUACCUGUGAAUGUCCAACAACAAAGACGUUGGAGCUUGUUGAAUACAUGCAGCGCAUCAUUUCUGAUAGAUCAAAUCGAGCCAAUUCCUGCCAACUCCAAUCCCAAAAAUCCUACAGUAAAGCAUAAAUCUUGUUCUUUUCUGAUAAAGAUGUGUCCCUGACUCCAACGUGUUUGACGCACAUUUUCUACCCAUACAUCGAAACCUUCAUCUGCUGGAGAAUUUAAGAAUCAUGCAUCACCUGGUUAAGAUCAAGAAAAGCCAGUAACCAAUUUCAAUUGAGUUUGAAGCACAUUAGAGCCCAAUUUAAAAUGUAUCCGAUGGAUGUUCAUCACUUCACACAAUAGUUAGUUUCAAGAAAGGAAAUUUCAACGCAACCUGAAAACUUCAGAUCAGGGGGCACCAAAUAGUGAGCUAUACAUUCAAAUUUUGAAAUAAUCAACGCACAAUAUGUUGAAAAAAGUUGGAAGGAGCUAUGAAAGUAAGGCUUUUCACUAAUCAGGCGUCCAGAGAAUCAAUAUUUUUACUCACGGAUCAGUUAGGGCGAACACUCCCCACCAAAGCAAUCUCAUUAGUACUUCACAUCUCAAACCAAACAGAAAUUGCAGUAACAAACAUGACAUCUAUUAGUCCUUCACAUCUCAAAUCCAGUAAGUACCCAUCUUUCGUCAGAAUCUGGAAAACAAGCAGCAGUGGAUUUAACAAUCUGGGUAUCUCAAAGUUACUCACUUUAAUCACAACAUAUAAAUGGGCAUUUUCUAGUGAAAUGUUAGUGUAGUACUCACUGUGUUGCUCCGAGCAAGAGUACCCAGAAAGCUCGAUGAGCUGAGCACAGAGGGACUGCAGUGGUGAAACGGCGACCGAUUCUGUAAAAUUCAGUCCGGUUUUGGGUGAUUUCUGAGGCUGAUAAGGAAAGCUGGGACGGAAGGGCACAAGUCUGGAAGAAAGGCUCUGGUCACCAUUGUCGCGAUUCGUGGAGGAAGAAGUGCCCCAAAACAAUUUCAGUCCUGAACAGGUGCACCGUUUGCACUGGGCCAGGGCCGACCCUGAAUCGCUAUAGCGUCCUUCUCCAAACAGUAUAUAUACAGAUGCUAGAAAUAUCUACCAGAACCAUUCAAAUCUAGCAUCUACAGCUUUAGCAUUUAGUUGGUACAAGGUACACUCUUCCGAAGGGAGAUGAAAUCAUUGAGGCUCUUAUAUAUUCCUCCUCUUGAUGUGCCCCUGUAGACUGCUAAUUCCAGACGAUCCAAUCUCAUACAUGUUCCCUGCAAAAGCAUGCGUGCCAGACUUCAAGAUCAAACUCGUUAGCGGAAUAAAUGGUGCACAAAGGGAUUUAAAAUCUUGACAUAUGUGUAUUUUUGGCAGAUUUUAUGCGAGCAUGCAACUAAAACUGGCAUCACUAUCAAUGGUGCACAAAGAUCGGCAGAAAAAACGUAAAGAGAAGCAAUCACAACGCAAAAUGUACGAAGUAAUCUGUCCACGUAUUGGGAAAACAUUAACACUGGAUGAGGGGAAUAAACAUGGAAUUUUGAUAAAAGUCAGAAUUUAUAAAUUGACAUGCAGUAAUUUUCUUGUUUGGAUUUAUAAACAUAUAAAUUUAGAAUUUCCGCGUGGGAAAAACAAAACUUGGAACUUAUGACCUCCAAUUCUCAAGUUUAAAUUUCAUGUAAAUAUGUGUCAUUUCUAAAUUUCCAUGAGAGAGUUUAAAGAUAACAAAUACUGUUAUUUCAAUUUCUAUCAUUUUAAAAUUUCUUAGUAAUCUUAAAUUUCCUCUUCCAAACAGAGUGUAACAGUUUGUAACUUCUCCAUUGUAUUUGUUCAACUAUGCAAUUUUCUGUAAAACUUAAAAGGCUGCUUAGCAUCUCUUGUUCGUUGUAUUGAAUACCAUGGUUUUACCGAUGAAUGCAAAGUUUGCUGAUGAUUCAUACGACAAGCAAUUGAAAAUCCCAUUAUUAUGCCCCACAUCAUUUACACAAAUUCAGAGGGCUCAUCCACUGUAAUUUGCAGGUACAGAAAUGUUAUGAUUAAAGGAAAUGCAAACUACCUUUCACCCAGAUUGGAGGAGCACCGGUGGCAUUAGCAAGUGAGCAACAGGAAUUGACAUACCAAUAUCUUCACAGUUUCCGCACAAGCACAAAUCAAAAGAAUCCGGCGGCGGAGUUAUGUACCUCUUCUUGGAAAAAGACACCUCUUGGGAUUUCAUAAAAUCCGGCUGUGCCUAGACGUCUGACCACGCCAAUUCCACCAAAGCUGCUGCAACGCGGCGUAGUGUCCGAUUGAUUGCUUCAAAACAGAGCUUCGUAUCCAUGUGUUUAUAAGCACAGAGUACCCAAAACCCCAGAAAAUUAUUUCUUUAUUCAGAUAAUAAAAUUUCGCAAAUUUCGAAUUUUAAUUCCGAACCAAAAAUAGGGUUUGAAUUUUGAUUACCUAGAAAUUGGGGGUUGGGGUGGAGAGGGACUGAGGCCAAGACGCAGCUAUGUGUCCGUGAUCAGGUGUGCCAAUUUACAGAGGGUGUCGGGAAGAUGCACAAGGCUUUUGCAGUUUCUCAGAUUUAAAUACUGAAGCCCCGUAAGGCGUUCAAUCCAGGGGGAAAGCUCUUUGAUAGAUGUUCCAUCCAAGAAAAGCGCUCUUAAUCCUUCCAUAUUUUCUUCAAUGCUUGGAAACACCUCAAACUUUGUACAACCGGAAAGAGAGAGAUAGACCAGGGACUUGAGCUGACAAAUGCUGCUUGGAAGACCCUUAAGUUCCUUGCAAUCAUCUAGCUUUAAAUAACUCAAUCCCGUGAGAUUAUUAAUUGACGAGGGCAGUUCUUUAAUUUUUGACCCGGAAAAAUAAAGAACUUUUAACCCCUCAAUCACUUCUGAAAUCUCUGGAAACAUCUCUAGACUCGAGCAACCAGAAAGAUUAAGAGUUUUGAGAGAUUUCAUACGAAUGCUGCUUGGAAGACACUUAAGUUCCUUGCAAUCAUCUAGGAGCAAAUGACUCAACCCCGUGAGGUUAUUAAUUGACAGGGGUAGUUCUUUAAUUUUUGACCCGGAUAACUCAAGCUCUUCUAACCCCUCAAUCACUUCUGAAAUCUCUGGAAACAUCUCUAGACUCGAGCAUCCAGAAAGAUUAACGGCUUUGAGAGAUUUCACAAGAAUGCUGCUUGAAAGACACUUAAGUUCCUCGCAAUGAUCCAAGCUUAAAUAACUCAACCCAGUGAGAUUAUUAAUUGACGAGGGCAAUUCUUUAAUUUUUGACCCGGAUAAAUCAAGAAAUUCUAACCCCUCGAUCACUUCUGAAAUCUCUGGAAACAUCUCUAGACUCGAGCAACCAGAAAGAUUAAGCACUUUGAGAGAUUUCAUACGAAUGCUGCUUGGAAGACACUUAAGUUCCUUGCAAUCAUCUAGGUGCAAAUGACUCAACCCCGUGAGGUUAUUAAUUGACGGGGGUAGUUCUUUAAUUUUUGACCCGGAUAACUCAAGCUCUUCUAACCCCUCAAUCACUUCUGAAAUCUCUGGAAACAUCUCUAGACUCGAGCAGCCAGAAAGAUUAAGGGUUGUGAGAGAUUUCAUACGAAUGCUGCUUGGAAGACACUUAAGUUCCUCGCAAUUAUCUAGGCUUAAAUAACUCAAACCACUGAGAUUAUUAAUUGAUGGGGGCAAUUCUUUAAUUUUUGACCCGGAUAAAUCAAGAACUUCUAACCCCUCAAUCACUUCUGAAAUCUCUGGAAACUUCUCAAGACUCAGGCAGCCAGAAAGAAAGGAAUUUAAGAGAUUUCAUACGAAUGCUACUUGGAAGACACUUAAGUUCCUUGCAAUCAUCUAGGAUCAAACGACUCAACCCCGUGAGGUUAUUAAUUGACGAUGGCAGUUCUUUAAUUUUUGACCUAGAUAAAUCAAGCUGUUCUAACCCCUCAAUCACUUGUAAAAUCUCUGGAAACAUCUCAAGACUCCAGCAGCCAGAAAGAUUAAAGGUUUUGAGAGAUUUGAUACGAAUGUUGCUUGGAAGACUCUUAAGUUCCUUGCAAUUUUCUAGGUUCAAAUGACUCAACCCCGUGAGAUUAUUAAUUGACGAGGACAGUUCUUUAAUUUUUGACUUGGAUAAAUCAAGCUCUUCUAACUCCUCCAUACCUUCUAAAAUCUCUGGAAACAUCUCAAGACUGGAGCAGCCAGAAAGAUUAAAGGUUUUGAGAGAUUUCAUACGAAUGCUGCUGGGUAGAAUCUUAAGUUUCUCGCACCCUUUCAGAUUCAAUAAAACAAGGUUUCUAAGAGUCCUAAUAGACUGGUGAACCUCAACUAAGCUUCUACAACCUUGAAGAAUUAGCCUCUCAAGAUUUGGCACAUUUGUGAAGUCAGGGGUUUCCUCAAGGUAUUGACAAUAACUUAAAUUGAUGACUUCCAACUUUUCCAGCGUCUGUUAAAACAUUUAGGAAAGCAUGCAUUACUUAAUAAGACAUCUCACUCAAAACCCAAACAUUUAAAAGAAACAAAUACAUGUAAAUGAUUGUACAUACCUGGGUUCCUUCCCAAAGUCGGUCAAUGAGACUAAAUUGCAUGUCAAGUUCAACAAGAUUUUUGAAUUGAAAGUUGGAUAGCAAAGACUUGAGAGGGAAUCCAAACCAGGAGAGAUACCUCAAGUUAAGUAACUUAAAGGGCCCAAUCAAGUGGUGUUUGCAGUAAUCAUGUUUAGAAAUGGAGUCCUUAUGACUGAUCUUGAUAAGUCUUAGUUGAUUCAUGCUAACAAAAGCUUCAGCAUUUAAGCAUACCCAGUCUGAGUACGAGAAAUCCACGAUUAUGCUUUCAACUGAUUUUGUAGCCUGUGUAAAUCAAAGUAAGGGAAAAUACAGAGAACCUUAGUUUAGAUUAUGAAACUAAUACUUGUUUCUUAAGGAGCCGUUUGAUAAUCAUUUUGUUUUUAGUUUAAUUGUUUUCAAUUUUCAAUUAUUAAAACAAUAAACACUAAAGGUUGUACCCAGUGCACAAGGCUCCCGCUUUACGCAGGGUCUGGGAGAGAUGAAUGUUGGCUAGCCUUACCCCCAUUUAUGGAGAGGCUGCUUCCAAGUCUCGAACCCGAGACCUACCGCUCAUGGGCGAAGGCACUUGUCAUCACACCAAGUGCGACCUCUUAUUAAAACAAUAAACACUAAAAAUUAAAAAUUAAAAACAAAAAUACUUAUCAAACGGACCUAAGAAAUUGAUUUUGAUCAAAAGUUGAAACUUUUUAUUGACAAUAAGAAAAAGAUUUCUCACCGUAUUUUGAGAUAGCACGUGAUGAACAUCUUCAUAACUACACAACCUACUUCGUCUCCCAGGCUCUUUGAUACAUUCUUGGCGGACGAUUUCCCGACCCAUUUCCUCUAAUGAAUCAUGCAUCUCCAGUUCCCCCUCCCCUGAGACAGUUAUGAGAGCUCGAUCGAUUAGAACUCUUAUUCCAGUAUAAGGAUGGAAACCACAAACUUCCAGAAUUCGGGUUGCACAGUCUUUCUUCAUCCCUUUAAAGAAACAUGCAAUGUCCAGAAAGAUGUCCUUCUCCUUGUCAUCUAGUCCAUCGAAGCUUGAUUUAAGCACAUCAUGAAUUCCCCUUCGUGGGAUUUUCCUUAUUUUUUCUAACUCAUCUUCCCACUCGCGUAUAGUUUUGUUACCAAGAAAAGCUCCCAAGACUUUGUGUGCUAAAGGCAGGCCUUGAGCAUAUUCUACGACAUGAUUCGAGAGAUCAUCAUAAUCUCUGGUAGGUUGGUUUUUUCUGAAGGCGUGCCGCCUAAAGAGUUUCAGAGCUCCAGAAUCACUCAAAAUCUUGGGAUUAUAUAUCACAUCAGCUAUGCUUAGUAAUUGCGAAUCUCUAGUUGUUAUAAUAAUUCUGCUUCCACAACCAAAGGAAUGUGGCUCUUCAAGUAAAGCUUCAAUUUGUUCUAAUUCGUCCACAUCAUCAACAACAAUAAGAACUUUUCUCUGACCAAGGCUUUUUAACAUCACCUGAAAACCAUUUUUUGAUAUGUCAGAACUCCCCACCUUGUUGUUCGAGAUAUUCGAUAGAAGUUGUGCCUGCAUAUGUAGUUUGCCAUGCUUCAUGAAACCUUCCUUGAAAUUUUCAAGAAAGCAACAAGCUUCAAAUCGAUUAGCGAUUUUAUCAUAAACAGCUCUAGCGAUGGUUGUUUUGCCUAAACCACCCAUACCCCAUAUUCCAACAACGCGAACAUUAUUCGUUUCACCUCCGGGAGGAUAUAAUAAUAAAUGCAUUUCAUGCAUGUGAGAAUCCAUGUCAACCAAGCCAUUAUCUUUGCUUGAUGUUGAUGAGAUGUCGAUCAAUUUCCUAUAAACAUCUUCUACAAUUUCCUCAAUAAGCACCGCAUCAUUUCUGUCAAAUUUAAAAAACAAUAUAAUAACACCACCAAAUGAUAAUUAAUGGGUCUUUUUCAUCUGUUAGUUUUCAAAAAAAUAGAAAUUAAAACUAAAAACUAAAUAUUUAUCAAAUUACCCCUAAACGUUACAAAAAUCCCAAAAAUUACUAGGAAACUAAAACAAAUUAGAAUUUACUCAUAGUUUCGCGAAUCCCAGCCGGCUAAACUGGUGGCAGUUGUAAGAGCGGAUCUCCAGCUCCGAACCUCCUCUAUUUCGGCGUUAGAAUCGAUAUCGUGCUGAGCAAAAGCUUCCGCGAAACUUUUCUUGAGUUUACGAACAUCAGACGGAUCAACUUCAUAGAAAAUGGGGAGUACAAUCUGGUUAUUGGUACCUUGCAUUCCAGGAUUUGCACGAGUUCCUUCAAGCACCAAGUGGAAGAAGCAUAGUUUUGAGAGAAAACUACAAUCGAAAGCCUCGACUCUUGAAUCGCUGUCAGGAGCUCGGAAAGGUGGUCGCCUUUUCUGAACUUUUCGGCAUCAAUGAAGGCGUUGAUUGGUUUCUUAGCCAGAGCGUUGUAGAGAUGGCUGACGAAGCCCCUGCGAGUGUCUUCCCCUCUGAAAUUGAUGAACACAUCGUAUUUCCAACCAAAGCCAGAAGAAGAAAAAGAAGAAGAAGAAGAAGCAACCAUUUAUCGAUCGCACCUGGUCACCGAUGAUCGAGCAGUUAUGACUAAGAGAAUUGUAAGUACAUAAAUACUCAAUGAGUCAAUGCAAAAGGGAAAAAGCGAAAAGGAAAUGGUUGUGAUAUCCAUACUUUAUUUUACUUUUUUAUACAUUUUUGAUAAUUUAUUUUUGUUAAUUUUUUUUAAUUCAUCUAGUUUUACAUUUAAAAAUUAAAAAAAUUUAUGAGAAGUUGAAAUGUGUGAAUAUCACGUCCAAAGGAAAAUUAUGCUUUUAUGUGUUUUCAGAUCUUCUUCAGGGAAAUUUCGAUGGGAAUGGAAUCUGCAUGCUUUUGAUUUUUAACCCAAGAAAAUGCCAAGAAAGGGGUCAAAGUAGUAAAUUUAAUCUACACUUGCCUACCCAACCACCUCUUAAUUUAAUAUAUUUAAUCGAGAAAAGUAGGUUAGAGGAAGGAUGGUAUCUCCUUUUCCUCUCUCAGUCUUCCAGCAUGCCAUUUAAUCAUGAUUAAGGCUAAAGCUUAAUUAUAGAUCUUGAUUGGAUUAUUAGUUUCCGUUGUAAUAUGGUGGUUAGAAGAUUAAAAAAAUUAUGAUUUAUGCUUUCAUAUGCUAACAAUUAAUGAAGAAUUAACAAAAUUUUAAAUUUUAAAUCUAAAUCCUAACAUAUUUUACCAUAGAAGCUUAAAUCUUAAUUUACUUAUCACAUGGAUUAUUUUAUAACUACCUUACUAUUAAUUCAAUUAAACCUAUUAUUUCUACGAAAACUAAAGAAAAGUUAAAAAAAAACUUUAGUUUUAAUGAAAAAAGAAAAAUGAAUGUGUAGUAAAUAAUACCAGAAAAAAAUAAAAAAAAUAAUUUUUUAUUAAAAAUAAACAGUAUAAAAAAUGUUGCAUUAAUACUCUCAUUAUUUAUUUACAAAUACGUGACUAAAUCACAAAGUGUUAGAAUGAAAGGGAGCGCUCAAAACGAUGAAAAGCAGGAGCACAGAAAGCUAUCUCCGUUUCUUUGUUGAGCGGACAACUGUUUAUUUGUCGUUCUUUUGGCAGAUAGCUCCUAAUGGCCCAUUUCCACAGCUGGUUAUAGGAUUCUGUUGCUAUAUAAGAAGUGUUUUGUUGUAAUUCAAUAUCGAUGGAAAUUCAACAGGAUCUUUUUCAAAAUUUUGUGAGGAUUUUGGGGUGUUCGUGAAUCUUGUUCAUCGUAUAUUGUGUAGUUGUUUUUUAUCGAAUAUUAUUUUUGUUUAAUUUUAAAUAAAGUAAUUUAAAAUAAUUUUUUACUGCAAGAUGUAUGAUGAACGUAUAUGAUUCACAGAUCUCCAAAAUCCUCACAAAGAAAAUCCAAAAAUGAUCUGAAUUCAAUGGAGAUAAGUUAAUUUUGAAUCAAAUAACAUUAGGAAAGAAAAAUAACAUUAGACGCCAGUCGGGCGAAGGAUUGGAGCCUAGUGCCUAGGCAGCUAGGCGAAGCCUGGGCGAUUAGGCGGCUAGGCGGCCUAGACGGUUUUAAAUAAUUUAUUGUAUAUUUGUAUAAAAUUAUUAUUAGCACUUCAAAAAUCUCAUUUUAUACUCCAAAUUUUCUAUAUUAAAAAAGAAAAAUACACUUAUGAUGAGUGUAGAAUGAGAUUUUUGAAAUGCCAAUACACUUCUCUAUUUUUAUUAUAUAAAUCAGUUGGACUUAAAAAAGAAAAUAAAGAAAAUAAAACAUUGUUCAAAAACUAAAACUCUAUAAAUAUAAAAAGUCAGGUCUUGAUUUAUCAUUACAAUUGAUAAAUAAAGGAGUGUGCUAUCUACACAACUUUUUUUACUUCUCACUCCUAAAUAAAAAAAUGAUGUGUGGAUAUCACAUCCCUAAAUAAAAUAUAUAAAUAUAGAUAGUUGGAGGAUAUCCAAGAGACAUUCUUUGGAGGAUUUUAGAGAAGAAAGGAGUACGAGUAUAUAUCCAAGCUAUAAAGGAUAUGUAUGAAGGAGCAAAGACUGCCGUAAGAACUCAUGAAGGACAAACCGAAAGCUUUCCCAUAACUGUAGGAUUACAUCAAGGCUCAUCCUUAAGUCCUUACCUUUUUGCGUUGGUAAUGGAUAAGUUAACAGGACAUAUUCAAGAUGAUAUUCCUUGGUGUAUGCUUUUCGCAGACGAUAUAGUGUUGAUAGAUGAAACUCAGGAAGGGGUAAAUGCAAAGCUUAACCUUUGAAGAGAAGUGUUGGAAUCUAAAGGUCUUCGCCUAAGCCGAUCAAAGACAGAAUAUAUGGAGUGCAAGUUCAGUACAAAUGAAGGCCAAAACGAGUUAGGGGUGAGGAUCGGAGAUCAAGAAAUACCAAAGAGCAACCGUUUUCGUUACCUAUGAUCUAUCUUGCAAAAGAACGGAGAAUUAGAUGGAGAUCUCAAUCAUAGAAUGCAAGCUGGAUGGGUGAAGUGGAAGAGUGCAUCCGGCGUGUUGUGUGACCGCCGUAUGCCACUGAAGCUCAAGGGAAAAUUUUAUAGGACGGCAAUAAGGCCGGUGAUGCUGUAUGGCACAGAAUGUUGGGCAGUGAAGCAUCAACACGUACACAAAAUGGGUGUAGCGAAGAUGAGGAUGCUUCGUUGGAUGUGUGGGCACACGAGAAAGGAUAAGAUUAGGAAUGAGGAUCCGGGGUAAAGUAGGAGUAGCCGAAAUUGAAGGAAAGAUGAGAGAAAAUCGGUUACGGUGGUUUGGACAUGUGCAAAGAAGGCCUACUGACGCUCCGAUUAGAAUAUGCGACUAUGGGACAGAGGUUCAGGGCCGAAGGGGUAGAGGAAGACCUAGGAAAACUUUGGAAGAGACUUUAGGAAAAGACUUAGAGUACUUGGAUCUAACGAAGGACAUGACACAGGACCGAGCACAAUGGCGUUCUAAGAUUCAUAUAGCCGAUCCCACUCAGUGACUUGGAUUUUCCAAGUCUCCAACCGAGAAGUUUUCCUCACUCGGGAAAUUAAGGGAACACUACCUCAACCUACAUGCUCCACUCACAAAGCUUCAACAAAAGAAAAUUCAAAGAACUUAGCGAAGAAUGAUUUGGUGUAUUUAACACAAACGUUGAAAUGAAGGAAAGCUUAUUUAUUGAUAUUCCCGAUAAGCUACAAAUAUGUACAUAUACAUAAGGUUGCUUAGGAGAAGUCUCAGCAGCCGGUAGAGCCCCAGAAAGAGAAGGCACCAGAGGGGGAUCAUUCGGAGCCUCAGAACUGGACAGAACCCUAGAAGGAUGAGGCAUCAAAGGUUGAUCAUUUGGAGCUUCAUUACGCGGUACAGCCCCAGAAGAUGAAGGCAAUAAAUGCCUUUGGAACAAACCCACAAAUCUCUGAUGAUCAAGUAAAACCUGACCAUCAGAUUCCUUCAUCUGGUCAAGCUUCCUCUUCAUGUUUGUAGCAUAGUCAUGUGCGAGCCGGUGCAACUGUUUAUUCUCAUGCUUGAGCCAUCUAAUCUCCUGUUUGAGACUCAUCACUUUAGCCGCCAAUGAUUCAACUUGGCGGGUUCAAGCAAAUAGGCGUUGGGCCGUAUUAGACACAGAACCUGCACACUGAACACUGAGAGCCAGCGAAUCCUUAACAGCUAACUCAUCAGACCGUUUGGAAAGUAGUUUGUUAUCUUUGGGAGUGAGAAGGUUCCUGGCCAUCACCGCAGCGGUCAUAUCAUUCUUCAUUACGAAAUCCCCAACGGUAAGAGGACCAGUAGGGGAGACGAAGGAUGUGCGCCAUAUGUUGUCUGGAGAAGGCGGGGCUGCCUCUUUAACAAGGUUCAAGUCAAAACGACGGUCGGAGGGGCCAGACAUUUUCAAAGGUGUUGAAGAGAGAAGAUGUCGGAUAAAUCAAGAUCUUAGAAGUGCAAGAAUGGAGCUUCUACUGGUGGAUUUCAAGUGUGCUUUAGAACUUAAUGACAGCCCCUAUAAAAAUCUGCACUCGACGGAGCUUCAGAAAUCGAAGAGGCGUUUGCUUUCUCAAAAGUUGGGCUGCUCAAAGACCACGAAGGCCAAUCUCAGAAAUCGAAGAGGCGCUCGCUUUCUCAAAAGCUGGGCUACUCAGAGACCACGAGGGCCGAUCUCAGAAAUCGAAGAGGCACCUACUUUUCCAGCCUUGUCAGCACCUGUCACACGCACACUCAGCUUUGCGGAAAUUAUGGGCAUUCUGUCGAAGACUUCUGGUGAAGUAAAAAGCACAUGAAUCUUACUGUUCAAUCACCCACUUCCCACACGCAACAAUAGCUCAUGGGUACCACAGAUAACUUUGCCAAAGUUGAGCACGUGAAGCUUGCAGCUCCUACUACAUCGCUCUGACCAAGAAGGGUAAAAGAAUAGCAAAGAAACAGCACUAACAAAGUUUAGACCCAUAAAUUUUGAAGGUCUAGCUACCAUAUUAUUACCCACAAGGGUAAAGGAACAGUACCACUGCUGGAUAAUUGGAAAGUCCCUGUGUGUCAACCUCUGUGCUUCGUGGCAAGGUAGACUAGCAAACAUGCCCAACCUUUACUCACAUUCGAGAAAACACUCCCAAUAAGAUUGCUUGCUCCAAAAUCGAAGAGGCACCGUCCUCCGAAUCUCGAGAGCCAGACUCCCAACAUGAAUACUUUCUCAAAAAAAUCGAAGAGAGGGUAAAGGAACAGUACCAUUGCUGGAUAAUUGGAAAGUCCCUGUGUGUCAACCUCUGUGCUUCGUGGCAAGGUAGACUAGCAAACAUGCCCAACCUUUACUCACAUUCGAGAAAACACUCCCAACAAGAUUGCUUGCUCCAAAAUCGAAGAGGCACCGCCCUCCGAAUCUCGAGAGCCAGACUCCCAACAUGAUUACUUUCUCAAAAAUCGAAGAGACACUGCUAUCCCGAAUCUCGAGAGCCAGACCCCCAGCAUGAUUGCUUUCUCAAAAAUCGAAGAGGCAUCGUUCUCCGAAUCAAUCGAAGAGGCGCUCGCUUUCUCAAAAGCUGGUGGGCUGCUCAGAGACCACGAGGGCCGAUCUCAGAAAUCGAAGAGGCACCUACUUUUCUAGCCUUGUCAGCACCUGUCACACGCACACUCAGCUUUGCAGAAAUUAUGGGCAUUCUGUCGAAGACUUCUGGUGAAGUAGAAAGCACAUGAAUCUUACUGUUCAAUCACCCACUUCCCCACACGCAACAAUAGCUCAUGGGUACCACAGAUAACUUUGCCAAAGUUCUCUGCCAAAGUUGAGCACGUGAAGCUUGCAGCUCCCACUACAUCGCUCUGACCAAGAAAGGUAAAAGAAUAGCAAAGAAACAGCACUAACAAAGUUUAGACACAUAAAUUUUGAAGGUCUAGCUACCAUAUUAUUACCCACAAGGGUAAAGGAACAGUACCACUGCUGGAUAAUUGGAAAGUCCCUGUGUGUCAACCUCUGUGCUUCGUGGCAAGGUAGACUAGCAAACAUGCCCAACCUUUACUCACAUUCGAGAAAAACACUCCCAACAAGAUUGCUUGCUCCAAAAUCGAAGAGGCACCGUCCUCCGAAUCUCGAGAGCCAGACUCCCAACAUGACUACUUUCUCAAAAAUCGAAAAGGGUAAAGGAACAGUACCAUUGCUGGAUAAUUGGAAAGUCCCUGUGUGUCAACCUUUGUGCUUCGUGGCAAGGUAGACUAGCAAACAUGCCCAACCUUUACUCACAUUCGAGAAAACACUCCCAACAAGAUUGCUUGCUCCAAAAUCGAAGAGGCACCGCCCUCCGAAUCUCGAGAGCCAGACUCCCAACAUGAUUACUUUCUCAAAAAUCGAAGAGACACCGCUCUCCGAAUCUCGAGAGCCAGACCCCCAGCAUGAUUGCUUUCUAAAAAAUCGAAGAGGCAUCAUUCUCCGAAUCUCGAGAGCCAGAUCAUCAAUAGGAUUGCUUGUUCGAAAACCGAAGAGGCACCACUUUCCCAACUUCAAGAGCCGGAUCUCCUUGGAUAAAGCUUGUCUAUAAUCUUCACACGGAACAUCAGCUUUCCAGAUACCACAGACCACUUUUUCAAAGUGCUCUGACAGAGUUAAAACAUGUGAAGCUGGCAGGUCCCACUACCGUGCUAUGACUAAGCAGGGUAAAGGAAUAGCAUUACUACUUGUUGUUAGGGAGACUCCUAUAUAUGUCGACCUCCAUCCCCAACGACAGGCAGACCUGCAAAAAUGCUCAACCCUUCCUCAUAUCUGAGAGGCCACUCCCAACGAAGCCUUUCAAAAUAUUCAGCUUUCUUCCCCCUCCCCGAUAAUACCUCUGCAAACAAGCUAUACUAGAGCAAGAAUAUCUCAUAUCAUCAGGGUUAAAAGCAAGAGUAUCCCAUAUCAUGCUUUUUCCCUGUCUUUUCCUUUGGCCUUGUUUUUACCUGCAAGACAAGGAGAAAGAGAGCAAUCAGUCAGCACUUGGAAUCAAGCUUCCAGCCAGGAACUGACUGCCUGGAACCCCUUACCUGAUUACUUACCUGGCAUUGCUCUCGAGUACUCAUCUUCAACAUCUUAUGUUUCCAGGGAAGAUUACCGCAUCUGCCUUGAGGAACAGAUAGGGCAAGUGCGAAGGAUACAAGGAAGCAUGUGGAGACAAGCGUAACAGCACACGUGCCGAUACAUCCAUUACUCUGUCAAAAGCAAAAGUAUCCCAUAUCAGCAGGGUCGAACGUACUCUAGAUUUGAUGGACUUGUUUUGACCCUCAAAUUCUUCAGUCGGCCUUAUACUCUGGAGGAAACCAGAAAACCCUCCAGCUCAGUUCAAGAAUAAGCCUGUGGAAAGUUACUUCUUCAAAAGCAAAAGUAUCUCAUAUCAUCUCUUCUCAUUUUUCUUCUCUUUAUCCUUCAUGCUGCCUGCAAGAUGGGGAGAAGGUGAACAAUCAGCCGGAGCUCUGAUUGCUUACCUUGUCUGUCACCUCUUUCAGCAGAUCCCCUAGCUCGGCGACUUGGGGGACUCCUACUACAUGGUUUGUAUCGCGCUUGACCAAGCCUGAAACUACAAGUAAGCUUCAAGUGAAAUUGAUACAUUACCUUGUGCAUCUCCACCAGUUAAAGAUACCACCCCUGGAUGGAGGAAGAGUACUUCCAGAGAAGAUGCCACAUCUACCUAUGAGACAGAUAAGGCAAGUCAAGACGAUACCACACUCCGAUACUUAGAAGUUUCGUGAUUACGAGAUCAUUCUCCCACAAUAUUUCCUAAUGUCAUUUGUACUAAAUCAUUCACUUGUACUCACUAAAGGAGAGCUUGAACCUAUGUACUUGUGUAAACCCUUCACAAUUAAUGAGAACUCCUCUAUUCCGUGGACGUAGCCAAUCUGGGUGAACCACGUACAUCUUGUGUUUGCUUUCCUAUCUCUAUCCAUUUAUAUACUUAUCCACACUAAUGACCGGAGCAAUCUAGCGAAGAUCACAAAAAGCAACCGUUUUCGCUACCUAGGAUCUAUCUUGCAAGAGAACGGAGAAUUAGAUGGAGAUCUCAACCAUAGAAUACAAGCUGGAUGGAUGAAGUGUAAGAGUGCAUCCGGCGUGUUGUGCGACCGUCGUAGGCCACUGAAGCUCAAGGCAAAAUUUUAUAGGACGGCAAUAAGGCCAGCGAUGUUGUAUGGCACAGAAUGUUGGGCGGUGAAGCAUCAACACGUACACAAAAUAGGUGUAGCGGAGAUGAGGAUGCUUCGUGGGAUGUGUGGGCACACGAGAAAGGAUAAGAUUGGGAAUGAGGAUAUCCGAGGUAAAGUAGGAGUAGCCGAAAUUGAAGUAAAGAUGAGAGAAAAUCGGUUCCGGUGAUUUGGACAUGUGCAAAGAAGGCCUACUGACGCUCCGGUUCGAAGAUGUGACUACGGAACAGAGGUUCAGGGCCGAAGGGGUAGAGGAAGACCUAGGAAAACUUUGGAAGAGACUCUAAGAAAAUACUUAGAGUACUUGGAUCUAACGGAGAACAUAACACAAAACCGAGCGCAAUGGCGUUCUAGGAUUCAUAUAGCCGACCCCACUUAGUUGGAAAAUGCUUUGUUGUUGUUGUUGUUGUUGUAUAGAUAGUUGGCGCUUUGUAGUGGGCGGUAAGUUCUAGUUUUACCAUUAAAAAAUAUACACUGUCAAACUAGUGUGGGUUCUAUCAAUUUUUUUAGUAUUUUAUUUAUUUUUUCACUCUGUCUCCGUGCCAUGGUCUUGAUAUUAUCACUCCUUUAAUAUUUUAUUCAUAUUUUAUUCUACUUGAUUUAUGAUGGUGUGUUUUUUUGACCAAGGUUUAUAAUGGUGUUUGUUCUAUAAGUCGGCAUAUUUGCCAACCGCAAUCGAUACUGUCGUUCUCAAACACAAAGCAAUAGUUUGCUACCGAAAACAACCAAAGUGUGACAAAGGGAACCGUCUUACACCUAACCUGUUUUUCCCUCAUCAAAUGAGCGCGUUGAUCUGCAGGUAUUUUCUGCCAUCUCAAAACCUGUUACAAAGAAAUAUAACGUUGAUGUCGAGCUGGAUAGCAUAUUAUACCAAUUAUGUGUACAAACCUAUUGAAAUAAAGUAGCUGUAGUUGCAUAUUACGACAGAUAUUAACGAAAACAAAAGAAGGCUCGCCUAUUCAAGAUCCUAAAUCCCGUGAUUCUUUUGUUUUUAGUUUCAGAAAUUUUCAGAGCACAAACUGGAAAGUACCAAGAUACUUACAUAUUGGGCAUAAUGAAAUGCAUCUUCAUCUUUCAAGCAAGAUUUGAGUGAGCGCAAACCGUCCUGAGAGUUACAUAAGUCAAUCAGUAAUAUAAAAACGUAUACGCAUCACAUCCAAACACAAGUAUUCAAACACCAACAACUUCUUCAUGCGGUGAGGCAUGUUAAAAAAUAGGGAAGAACAGUUAUUGAAUAGGAAGUUAAAGGACUAAAUUUAUGACCUUGUGUUUGUAGUUCUUGGCUCGUAUGCGUUCAUCUAUUACAAAACCAAUCUGUAACAGGUACAACAGAAAAUAUAAGCAGUAGUCAGAACAUUAAUCUUCGGCAUUCACAUUGCCACCAAUCCAAAGUUAAAAGUCUGAAGGCAAAACAGUAUGAUUCUUAUCUCUCAAACAAAAAUGAAACUAUACCCCGGUCUCAGACAUAAAUGAAAUAAGUUCUACUGCCUCAACUGAGUACUGUGAUUAUAUAUAAAUCCAAUUCACCUUGUCAAGUAAUCUCUUAGGAUCUUGAAAUGCUUCCUUCUUAGCCCAGUCAUUAAAUACAUGCGAGAAAAUUGAUCUCUCAUCCACACUGAAUCUAUUGCACAGUGACAGAAGAAUAAAGUUAAACAUGAACAUAACCAACCAAAAAUGCUAGUUAUAAUAGUACACCCAUAAUUGCAAGCAAAACCUUUUUAAGAAGCCAUUUCCAUGGUUUUCCUCCCCAAAUUCCAUCAAUUCUGCAGAGGCAACGUCAAAUUUACUAUGAUGGAGAUCAUUUUGCACUGUAAUAACUUCAGAAGGUAGGAGAUUUGGUUUCAGAUCAUCUGUUGACGGAGUAGUUUCUUUUGAAGUGUCAUGAUGCUUUGAUUGCAAGCCUUCUGUACUUACGUCAGCCUACAAAACAAAAAUUGCAUUCAUCCACACUAGACUUAAUAAGAUUAGAAACACUUCAGAUUCUUCAUUAUUUGUAUUUUUGACUAAACAGCAGAACAACUGAGGAUAAUGAACAGUAAUACACACCUGGACUUCUCGUAGAUGAUUUGGAAUUUCUUUCAGAAAUCGCGAAGGUUGAAGCAUCUGAAGGAGUCACCUUCUCAGUCAGAGCAACAACAACAAAUAAGGAGGACAGGAAUUCAAGCUAAAACGAACCUGCCAACUGGAAUCCAUCGUAACAUAAAGAAUGAAAAGCUUUUUUCGAGCACGAGUCAUUGCAACAUAUAAUAGGCGUCUCUCCUCCUAUGAUUAGAGUGGGAUUAUUGAGUUAUUGAUCAAAAGAAAAAAGAGUGGGAUUAUUGUGAAAAACAUGUCAAAGCUCUGCAUAUAACUGAAAAAUGUUGAACAAUUUACCACACACCUCAAUGGAGGUCCCAUUUUCUUUUGCAACCCCAUUGAAUUCAUGCAACAACGGGAUCUCAGAUUCAUUUACCUGUGUUAUUGGCAUGAGCAUUAAAGCAAGCUAAGAUGAUUUGAAGAGGUUGAUAUCGUCAUGAAUAUAGUAGAACAGAGAAUACCAAUUUCAAGCCAUCAAUUAGGUAUAGCAUUGGCAUGUUUAAUCCGUAAAAUCUAAUGACAGAACACCUCAACUCUACACAUAAAUAAAUAAACAACCUGAAAAAUAUUACAGCCACAUGUUAAGGCAAAUACCUUAAUUAUGAAAACUAUAUCCCACUCUAAACCUUUUGACUGCAAGAGAAUGAAAAAGAAAGACAGUAAGCCAAGAAUGUUUUGUAGAACUCCAAAGGAAGUCCAAUAGGGAAAUCAUCGCAAGUAUAAGAGUUAGCGAGGUUCGCAUAAGAGGAUAUCAAAAAGAUCUAGAACCUGAUGAAUAGUAGUCAAAGUGACAGAACUUUGGUUGUCAUGUCUUCGGGAGUGAAAAUUUUCACUCUCCUGCUCAGAUAUGUAGUCGAUGAAAGCUUUGAGUAAAUUAACGCAGCCUUUUUCUUCUGCUACGACUUCUCUCUCUCCCCUUUUCCCGCAACAAAAUGAGUUGAUAAGAAAUCAGAUACGUCGUCUAGUAGGUACUGAAGAACCUGCAAUGAGAAUAAUCGCAUCACAGCAACAGGGUUGGACCAAGAUUUAAGUGACAACAAUGAUUAACUAACUAAAAUAGAGAAAUUAUUCAUUUAAGACCUUGUUGACGGAAAAAAGGGUUUUCCAAGCAGCGGGUCAUUUAAGCUUAUUGUAUAAAUGACAAUCAUCACAAACGGCAAACUUACAGAUCUCACGUCAUUGUCUUCAUUCAGCAGUUUUCCUCCAUCUACAUCAACGACUGCACGUUGCUCAAGACGGUACUUCUAAAAAUUGAAAGUCAACAACAACAACAACAACAACAAAGCCUUUUCCCACUAAGUGGGGUCGGCUAUAUGAAUCCUAGAACGCCAUUGCGCUCGGUUUUGUGUCAUGUCCUCCGUUAGAUCCAAGUACUCUAAGUCUUUUCUUAGAGUCUCUUCCAAAGUUGUCCUAGGUCUUCCUCUACCCCUUCGGCCCUGAACCUCUGUCCCGUAGUCACAUCUUCGAACCGGAGCGUUAGUCGGCCUUCUUUGCACAUGUUCAAAAUCACCGGAGCCGAUUUUCUCUCAUAUUUCCUACAAUUUCGGCUACUCCUACUUUACCUCGGAUAUCCUCAUUCCCAAUCUUAUCCUUUCUCGUGUGCCCACACAUCCCACGAAGCAUCCUCAUCUCCGCUACACCCAUUUUGUGUACGUGUUGAUGCUUCACCACCCAACAUUCUGUGCCAUACAACAUCGCUAGCCUUAUUGCCGUCCUAUAAAAUUUUCCCUUGAGCUUCAGUGGCCUACGACGGUCACACAACACGCCGGAUGCACUCUUUCCAUCCAGCUCGUAUUCUAUGGUUGAGAUCUCCAUCUAAUUCUCCGUUCUCUUGCAAGAUAGAUCCUAGGUAGCGAAAACGAUCGCUUUUUGUGAUCUUCGCUAGAUUGCUCCGGUCAUUAGUGUGGAUAAGUAUAUAAAUGGAUAGAGAUAGGAAAGCAAACACAAGAUGUACGUGGUUCACCCAGAUUGGCUACGUCCACGGAAUAGAAGAGUUCUCAUUAAUUGUGAAGGGUUUACACAAGUACAUAGGUUCAAGCUUUCAUUUAGUGAGUACAAGUGAAUGAUUUAGUACAAAUGACAUUAGGAAAUAUUGUGGGAGAAUGAUCUCGUAAUCACGAAACUUCUAAGUAUCGGAGUGUGGUGUCGUCUUGACUUGCCUUAUCUGUCUCAUAGGUAGAUGUGGCAUCUUCUCUGGAAGUACUCUUCCUCAAACGAUAAAUUAUUACGAAGCAUUGAAUAUAAGCAUGAAACGAAGAAAAUGUUAUGGAAUGGUGAUCCUCAUCCUCAAAGAUGAUUAAAAGCAAUUUGAUUCAAAAAUGACAUAUCAACUCUGGAGAAAUGGAAGACAAACCUGUGGUACCAUAUUCGCAACUGAGGUUAUGACAGCUGAAAUCGAUUGUUCCUGUGUGCAUUGAUAAGUGAGACUACCAUAGAGAUUCACAACUAAAUAAAGACAGGUAUUCCACAGAACAACCUUUACCUCUUUGGAAACACAGAUCUAACAAAAACUAUAACAUUUUGGAUUAAUAUUGACGAAUCAAGAAUAAUGCAAGGGAGCAAGAGAUACUCUUCCUUCUAAUAACAAGGAGGCGUGAAAAGUAUACAGAGUUCCAACAAUUAGAGAACUAAAAUCAAACUAAAAAAAUCACCAAAGUAGACAGAAUCUCACUUCGCCAAAAAUUUGAAAAUAUAUCCUUUUUAUCCAUUGAGAUUCAUGAACUACUACUACUACUACAUCAUGCCAAUAAGCAAUGCGUAAGAGGUGCUACAAUUUACCGAAUAUAUUUACCCUGAGAACAAGUUUUGAAAUCAUCUCUAGUGUUAACAGCACCUUGCGUCCUUGGGUAAGCUGAGUCCUAUUAUCAAGUAAAGAGACCAAUCAGUACAUAUCCAAAAGAUCUUAAAUGCUUGUAAUACCAAAUAAGAAAGAAACAUGAGUAUAUCUUGAAUUAACCAUGUAAAAAUGUAAUGUUAAAGCAUCUUGUCAUACAGACCUCUUCAAGGUACCAGAAAUUUUUGCACUAAAGAUGUCACAAGCAGCUGAUAUGAAGCUGCAUUUUCUGUGAGUUGAAAUUUUGUCAAUAUAAUCGAUCACCUGAAGAGAGAGAGAGAGAAAAAGACAGUGAUAUCCAGAGAUGUGAGCCUAAAUGCUGAGUGUGUAAAAAAAGAAGAUUAAAUGGAUAGCAAGAAUAUACAACUUUAAUGCUGAAAAGAACAUUGAAUAUGAUGCUCAUUCAUCAUUCCCAUUGAACGUGUACCUUCUUCUUUUCCUCUUUCUCAAAAGCAAGUAGAGCCUUGAAGACUUGCCUAUAUGAUCCAUCAUCACAACCAGGCAAAGUUGUUUUAAUCAUAGCAACAAUGGCUCUAACUACCUGCCAUAAGAAACAUGCUACAUCAACAAGAUCACAGAGUGUACCAGAAACCGUAAUGUAGCAAAAUCUUGGAUAAAAUAGCUGACCAAAAGGGAAUGGAAAAGCAAGCACGAAAAACAAUGAAAAGGACCAGUGAUGCCAAAAUUCUGGUGGAAAAGGUGAAAAGCUUCUGCCUAUUACAAUUUUUGUAUGCAUUCUUUAUAACUUAAGUUCUACUAGCAAAAACCACCUUAUGCAAAAUAAUAUUGGAAAAAUUAGAUACAUACAACUGAGAAGAUAGGUUUUCAUAAUCUGGACAAGUGCUAACUACCUUCUUCCUAUAAACUGCCACUCCAUGAACAUUAAAUGGUAUUUUCCUUUCACGCAAGGCUGUCUGGAAGACUUUUCCUGAUACCUGUAGCAUAAAAUACAAAAGAAAAUGUGACCAAAAUGUCUUAUAUGAUUCACCUCAUUCACAUUAGCACUAAGGCAAGUAAGCUUGACCUGCCUCCGGUAAAGGAUUGCUAUAUUUCCAUAGGAGCACCCUGCUUCUGACCGUUUCGAUGCAGUCUCCAGGAUCUUGUCGACAACAAAGGCGCAUUGUGCAUCCUCAUUGUGACUUUCCUUGAUAAUUACCUACAUUUUGCCAGUAAAACCAGUGUCACUAACUAAAAGGACUGAAAAAUGACAUCAAAUUGUACUUGUUGGAGCAAGGAAAGAUUAAGUACCUUAGACCCAGAAGAAUUGUCCGUGUCAACAUUCUUUAGUUGGCAUCGCUUCUUAUUGUUUUUUAUAACAGAAGAUGCAGCUUCCACAAUAUAGCGUGUGGACCUAAAGUUUUUAUUAAGCCUAAUCUGAACCAUAAAGUUAUGUCAAAUCCCACAGAAACCCAUAAAAUAAAACUUACUUUCCUGUAAUUGUACAAUAUAUUUGUUCUAUACUAUAUAUAAUGAAAAAAGACACUGUGAAUGACAUAAGAUAACAUAGCAGUCAAGUGCGAAGCGAACCUCUUUGUAAUUUGAAAAAUCUUUACGAAAAGAAUCAAAUCCAGAAAUGUCCGCCCCAUUGAAACUGAAAAUGGACUGCAGCAGGAUAUAUGUUAUUUGAUUUAGAACAGAUAAGGGCUGGAUUAGAAUGAGCUGAGAGAGAGAGAGAGAGAGGGAGAGAGGGAGAGAGGGAGCAAUAACAUUGGAUUUCCAUAAUAAAUCAACAACAUGCCUGAUCAUCAUCACCAACAAUGGUUAUGUGGUUAUGAGAGGCGAGAAUCCGCAAAAGACUAUAUUGCAUAGCACUUGUGUCUUGAAACUCGUCUAUUACAAUAGCUUUCCAUGACUCCUGGCACUCCUUCAACACUAAUUAAGAGAACACCAUGUAUCAACAUUUAGCAUUACUUGUAAAACUAGAUAAAUCAAUGAAAUAUACUUAGAUGAUAGAGACCUUCAGGAAAAUCACUUAGCAGCUUCACAGAGCAGCUAAUUAAGUCGUGGUAGUCCAAAGCGUUGCACGAUUUCAAGAUAUCAUUGUAAUUCCUAAGAAUUUCACCCUGAUUCAGAUUGAGAGCUAAAACUCAUAAGCAAUAGUUUCAAAGAACUGAAAUGAUAUCUGAAAUUCUAGUUCUGAGCGUACUCCUGUCACAUCACCCAUUCUUCGGCAUUCAGCGGGAGUCUUUCCAGAAGCUUUUGCCUGAAACAUAAAUAAAUUUACUGCCUAAUGCCACAUAUUGUAAGACACACCAUUGUAUUGGUCAUUCUAGCUUGAUUGUAGCUAAUAUUUUUUAAAUCGAAUGAUUAGAGUUCUUAAUCCACAAUAAUCUGAACAUUAAAUUUGGUAUUCAAGACUAACCUGUGUCACAAACUUCAGCCAUUUCUUUGAUGCAUCCUUAAAAUGAUGUGGAGAUGUUACGCCGUCAGACUCUUCCCCAUCUAUAGCAACAUUAAGAUUCGUUUUACUCUUUUCAUCUUCUGAUAACCGCACAGCUUCAAUGAUUGCUCUUCUCUGUUGCCCAUGUCCAUAUAUCAAAAAUUCUGGUCUGCGCUUGAGUCUAAAACACAAGCCAACAUAACAGACUCAGCUAUACCACCAAAUGUAUGGUGUUCAAAAUCAAGGGAGGUGAAUCAAUAGCUUACUUCUCAGCAUGUGAUCGGCAAAGUUGCAAUGAAAAUGAAUGAAAUGUACUGAUUGUUAGUAGUUUUGCCGUUGCUUUCCCAGUCACAGAUCCAAUUCGAUCUCUCAUCUCGGAAGCUGCUGCUGUAGUGAAAGUCAUUGCUAGAAUGUUCGACGUGCUAAUGCCCUAAGAACACAAAAAAAAAAAAAAAACGAAUAAGAUUUCGAUCAUAAACAAGAAAUGUAGAGAAACACACAAUUACGAAAGAAAAAGUUAGAGGGAAAGUAGCAACACCUCAUUGAGCAGCAUUAGAACGCGCCCAACUAUCGUUGAAGUCUUUCCACUUCCAGGGCCGGCAACAAUCAUCAAAGGUACUGAAAUAUAGCUGCAAGCUGCCUCACGCUGCCUUUCGUUGAGAGAAAGCAAAUACUUCAAAUACUCAUCCGGCAUGUUAGGCAAUCCAUGGUUAACAGAAUCUGUUUGGUUUUCACUACUCAAAGGCGGCGCUGAUGGCACUAACGUGUUAUGACCCAAAUUAUUACUGAGGUUUUAUGCUUUAUUACUGUGAGGAAUUGUUAAUAUACCAGCUGGCAUUUAAAAGUGUAGAGGUUUUAUAAAAGGAGCCCCAGCUCCCCCAAAUGUAUCAGAUCAGAAUUUUACAAAAGAAAUCAAUAUUGGAGCUCUGCUCCUUCUUCUCUCCUUCCCUCUUCUUCCAUAGCUUUCUUGUGCCACUUACAGGUUGAUUAAGGGAAUUGAGAAUUAGAUCUUAUCAAUGGUAUCAUCCUUCUCGAAUCCUGGUUUCCCUCCUGUGCACACCCACCCACCUACGUUUUCUGCCAUGGUUGCUGCGCCCAAGGAUUCGCUUCGCGAGACCCUGGAUGCUCUAUUCGCACCCUACCUGGCUAAGAUCCGCCGUGCCCGUGAGUUGGCUCUCAGCGCUGAGGGAGACUCCACUCCAACCCUUAUGUUCGCUAUCAGUGAUGGGGGAGUUCCUGAUCCAGCCCCGAUGAUUGCCGAUGACGCUGCAGGAAUCGAUCUCGGUCAGAAAAUAAUUCCACGAGUCGCUGCAUCAACUAAUCAGAUUCUGCCGUUGCUCUCGUCAUCGCCGUUAUUGCGAGCACUAGCAAAUCCUCCUGUCAGGCCACCGUCGAACUCAAACGCUUCAUUGGCAAAUUCGCCCAGCCAGCCGCUACACUCAAAUGAUAUUGUAGCAGCCACAAUUCCAUUGCGGAAUGUUGAGAAAACCAGGCCCGUUGCGAUUGUGACCACAAUGCCGCUAUUUCCGAUUUCAGCAACCUUUAGCACUGAAUCAGCCCACGCUCACAAUCACAACCUCGUUUUGAGCACCAAGGAAGCUACAACAAUGGCGCAUGUUCUGGGUUUUCCUCUCAAGAAAGCAGGAGCUACUAAAUCUGUAGGUAUAUCUCAUACAAACACCACGAAGCGUCGACACGAGGUAUUGACAUCCUUGCUUUCCAAUUCUACAAAUCGGAAGGACAAAUGGUAUUGGGUUUUGCAGGUUAUUUUGGCAUAUUAUACUGGUGUUAUUGUGAUAAUGUAUGACGACUUCUUAACUGAUAAAUGUGGAUGGGGUAAUUGGUACCUUGUGGGACAAUUUGUGUUACACGCGCCCCUAAUUUAAAUCGUAUUUUUACUAAAUUUGAGUUUAUCUUGCUUUUAAAAUUAUUUUUGGGUUUUAAAUGGUGUGCCCAAGGCCCACCCCCUGUUUUGUCCCCCGUUCCCUUUCCCUUUCUUUUAUUUAUUUUCUUCUUUCUUCUUCUUCUUCUUCUUCUUUUCUGUUUCUUUUUCUUUCUUUUCCGUCUGUCCCUCUCGGCUCUCUCUGCGCCCUCUCUUCUCUGCACCGCAACAAGCACACGCACGCACCCAUUGCACCUGCGCGAGGAAGACCAUCAUCAUCUCGUCCUGCUCUCUCUCCCUCUCGUGUUUGCGAACCCAGAAAAUCGGAAAGGAUCUUCCGCGAGAUUUUUAUAUUUUCCGGUUAGGUAAGCCUCAAAUCCCUCUCUUUCGUCCUAGAAUCUUUUGAGAAUGGGUUCUAAUUGGUUUUAUUUCGUGAUUUUUGGAGGUUUUAGGAUGAAAACAAACUCGGGUGCAGGAACACCCAUUUCCGGCGAGGAACCCGCCACUUUCGAGUUAAUCUCCGGCCAAACCACGGCGAGUUGGCCGGCGUGCAAGGUAUCAAUCUCUUCGUCUCGUCGAUUACUACAACUUUCCUUUUUGUUUCACCCAAUUUCGUUGAGUAUUGAAGAAGUUAUACUCAUUUGAAUCUUACCCAGUUUCCGGCGAGUCCGACGGCUUUCGAGGCGUUUUCCGGUCAAACCACGGCGAAUUAGACGUCGUGUGAGGUACCAUUCUCUUCGUCUCUUCGAGGGCUACAACUUUCGUUUUUGUCUCGCUUGAUUUCGUUGAGUUUUAACAAAGUUAUAGCCAUUUAAAAUUGGGUGGUUUUCCGGCCGAAAUUCCAGCCUUCUUCUUCCUCGGGUCCGGCGACCCAUCAAACUUGGGCCCUUUGGGCCGUUUCUGUUAAGGGCUUUAAGCCCAAACCCUAAACCUUUGGGCUUUAGGACCAAACCCAAGAACCCAAACCCUAUGACCCAAACCCGGAUCCAAGCCCAGACCCGUUUGACCUGGUCCGACCCGGAUCCUGACCCGUUGACUUUGACCGGUCAACGUUGACUUUUCUAGUUGACUUUUCGGGUUUUCGUCCAAGACCUUCCUAGGCUAAUUUCGACGUCCUGGAUCCGUUUUUGAAGUUCGUUUUCCCAAAUUCAAUCGUUUGAGUAGAGUUUGACUAAAUGGAUCAUUUAUGUGCUUAGGUGAAUUUAAUGACGGCGGUUCCGUUAUUCCUAUUUGGUAUGGCGUUGCACCAACGGUGUACGGUGAGUGGACCCCUUCUAAAAUGCAUGUUUUAUAGUAGAAAUGCAUACAUAAAAAGUAUGAUUUGAUGAUUACCUUUUAUGAAACGUUUUGUGAGAUAACAUGCUUAUUGAGGCUACUUUAAAUUAUUACUAUUUUUCCUAUAACCCGUGUUCUUAUAGAAUAUCUGAUGGAUGACGAUAUGAUAUUAGAACAUGUUUAGAACACCUCUUUAUAGUAUAGAUGAUGGAUGACUUUAUACUAUGAAGUUGUUUUUCAAUAUAUAUGUUCAAUGGUUUUGUACUUACCUAGUGGUCAUUUCCGCUACGGGACGUAGGGAUAGAUUCCGGUCAUUCCCGGGCGACGGUUUGGUGUUGGCAUAGGGCCUGGAGUGUGUUUCCUCUGGCUAUUUAGCACAGGGACGGGGAGCCGGCAUGGGGCCUGAAGUGUAUUUUCCUCUGACUGUCUGCUCAGAGACGGGGAGCCGGCAUGGGGCCUGGGGGUUAUCGGACAAUUCACUAGUGAUUAUUAUAUAUAUAAAAGUUAUGAUUUGAGACACUGCACAUCAUGCUAGGUUUCGGAAAACCUAUGUUUAUCAUUAUAUAUGUGUUUUCAUAAAACUUGGGGGUUAGUACGUUGAUAACUGUUUUGUUAUAUUUAUAUCAAAUUGGUCCACUCAUGUUUGUUUUGCGCCCCCUUCAGGAUUUAGGAUCGAGGCGUACAAUCCCGGCAAUCCAGGCACUUCCGCAUCGGUAUCUUCAAGUCCUCUCGGUGUAGAACCCACUUCUGUGUUCAUUCAAUUUUUAUAUUAAUUCUUUUAAUGUUCUAGAUUAGAUGUGUGCUCUGAACACGUUCCUUAAAUGCAUAUUCUUUAUUUAUAUUUAUAAGUUUUAUCUAUCCUUUAUUUUCAGCAAUUGCACUCAAUAAAUGGCUUUCGUCGCCCUCGGGUGUCGGCCAGCACGUGACCAUCCUGAUAUCCUGAGGAUAUCGGGAUCGGGGCGUGUCAGAUUGGUAUCAGAGCGUGGUUUGUUCAGAGCAUACUUAGGAUCCUCUUCUAUUAUCGUAGAGUGUUGGUUUUGACAUCAUUUGGAUGUCCAGACUUCUAGAUUUGGUGCCAUUCGGCGCAGUCGUGCGAAUCUUCCUCUAUUUGAAUUGUCACAUUCGGGUUGAUAUACAAGAAUUUGUGUCGGGAUUGUGCCUCAUCGGUGACGUGUUUGAAUUGUUGGACGACUUUCAGCUUCAGAUUGAUACUCUACGACGUGCAUUCCCUGGGAAUGACGGGCAUAGUCGGUGUUACUUGGAAGCGACGGAUUUUAGAAAUCUCAGCUUAAGGAAGUCUGGUCAAGACCAGCUGUAAAUUCGAAAUGGCGAUGCCACUCUACAACAUGCGUUCCCUAGGAAUUGCGGGCGGAGUCGGCUUUGCAUCGAAAUCUUGGGAAGCGGAAAAAAAAUCUUGGCAGUACGAAUUGACUAAGACCAACUGGAGUUCUGAAGCGGUGUUGUACUCUGCAACAUGCGUUCCUUAGGAAUGGCGGGCAGAGUCGUAUCUCUUUAGAAAUUACUCGAAACUUUCGAAAUGCAGAUUGAAGAAGCGAGUAAGUGCUAGUGGUGACGACGGUUAGUAGGUGGUAGUUGGUGGGAGCAAAAUCAAUGUUCUCGAACUCAUUACCACUGAAGAAAUUUGGGUGAAUCUUUAUAACAGUUCUCUGUGAUUGUUUUAUCGAUUACCUUCUCGUUUAUUCCAACGACGAAGUCAAGUUCACUGACCUUUGAUCGUCAGCUUCACAUCAAAUCCCUCGAGAGUUGACUUCGUCUAGAGAUUAUACUUUUCUUGGGAAACUCCUCGGUAGCAGACGUUAUUCUCAUCAAUUUCGAAAUGGAGUUGCGAUUCUUGUUGUUGUUGUAGUUGAACUUGGAUAAUGAAGAUUCAGCCUUGUUUGGAUAAACAAAUUCCUUGAACUUCACCUGGGUUUGGUACUUGGUAGUAAACCCUAGUUCCUCAUCCGUGUACUUUUCAGUGAAGGUGAACUUAGUCCCUUGCUUGCAACCUAACUGUUCAGCCUUGUAAUUUUCAGCGUAAUGGCUUGAGACUCUAUCAUAUUCAUCAUUGUACGAAGAUCGAGCUUUACUCUGAACUUCUCUGGGCUCGUUAAGCUUUGAUUUGCUCAGAGGCAUCACUUUAAGGUAGCCAAUCGUGUCACUGCAUGCAUACACAAGCUGCUUUGUAUCUUUCUUCUUCGUUAUUCUGCUGAUUCAGAGGUUUUAUGUUUAAUUUCUGAAUUUUUAAAUGACUAUCGCGAAGUACCGUGAAUCUCGAAAUGUCUUUGGCCUCGUCAAAUCUUAUUAAUAGUUCUUGACUAUUCUUGAGAUUAGACUUGUUCCUUUUGGCUAAGAAACCAGUCGACCUUAUUGUGAUGAGUAGCCAAAUAAUCAUAAACAGUAACUUCUAUUUCUGCAUCUUCAUUUUCCUUCGUUUGUUUGUUUGUUUCUCAAUGUGAACUGGAUCAUGCCGGGACAUUACACGAAGGGUGUAAAAAAAAAAAAAAAAAAAAACGUUUGUUCUCGGCGUGGUUUCUAGUUCAAAUCCGGAUAUCUUGUACUCUAUAUUUAAUGGACUUGUUUUGAACCUUAAAUUCCUGAGUGUUCUUUUAGCCUUAUCGACAUGGUUUCUCUCUCAAUUAGUGAGAAAUUCAUGAUCGAUGGUUUCGGCGGAAGUGUGCGCCCAAUUCUUAUCGAUUUGGACAGGAAUGUUGGGAGCAUAAUCUUUUCACAAGCUUACUAGACUUACCAGAAAGAGUUCCACGUGGGUGUGAAGUUUGAGUUGUCUUUUGGUAAGAGACUGGUGAAGAUUGUGGUGCAGAUGAUUAGCAGAUUGUAUCACUAUCUUCACGCUGAAUUGAAUGGUCACCAUUCAUUAUCCUGCUGCAAUUCAUAAUCAUCAUAUCUUACUCUGGUAGACAUUUUUGAUGAUGUGUUCGCCUCAACGCAGCUUUCCACUACCUCUCACCAGGAUCCUUCGGUUCGAGAGCACGUGGGCGUGAGGUUGAGCGGUCUUUUAGUAAGAGUUGGUUGAAGGUUUUAGUUCAGAAGGUCAGCAUAUUGUAUCACCAUCUUACUAGAAUUCAUAGGCAUCACAUCGGUUAUUUUCCAACGAUAUGUGUUCGUGUCAAUGCAUACUUCGACUGCUUCACUUCUGAACCUUAUUCUUGUGAGUAUGUGGAUGUUGAAUCACUUAUAGCAGAUUUGUUUGGUGCACUCUGGAAUGGCACCACAACGUAGUUGAGAUAAGAAUCGGAAGAUCUUUGCACUUUUUGCGAAUGGUGUGUGCUCUCAUGGGGUGUUUAGGUUGAUUGCAUGAGAGUCAUUCUUUCCUCCAACAUUGAUCUUGUUUGACUAGAAAUCUGCAACUAAGCAAAAAUGGAGAGGUGGAUUGAGCACUACAACAGUUCCCAAGAGAUACUGCGUGUUGAGGAAGAUGACUUCUCGUUUUCUGCUUACCUAGUUCGAGCUUUUGGGUCUACUACUAACAUGGUGGCCACUUCUCUUGAAUCCCAAAGUACAGUUUCAAAUGGGUUCUUUGUUGGCAUAACUCUGGAGUAGUUGGUCACAUUUGGAAUAACUGAGGAAGAGGUUGUGCUUGGUACUAAAGGGAGUUAGUAUGACGAUAGUUAUUGGUUUUGUUCGAUUUGGGUAUGGCACUAUUUGCGACAUGGUACGAGAGUUGCUACACGCAACAUUGGUUGAUAGAGGAGACGUGCAAGCUUGUACUUGGAGGAUCGAAUUUUCGACGUGUGAAAUUGUGCACCCUCAGGAAAUUACUGCUUGUUUACUGAGACAACAAAUGUGUGGUCGAUAUCGCGGGCGGCCGACUGUGGUAUCGAUAAUUUAUUUGUUGGGUUCGUUAAGCAAGUGGGGCAGGAAUAUCCUUUUACGGCAGCCGUUAAAGAUUCACUAUUGUUAGAACUGGACCCAAAGACACAUCUAUUUUCGGAGUACGCGACGUUUCGAAUUCUUGGGCAAGACCCACUCUCAUUCUUCAGUUUUGGUUUUCAGUAUAAGUAUUUUAACCUCAUUUACUCUAGUUAAUUGUUUUGCCAUUACAAAUGUUUUUGGAAAAGUAUUUCCGUUUUCAGUUUUUAAGUGUAGCUCGAAUUUUCAACCUAUAUGUUGGUACAUAUCCAUUUUGACGUUAUCGUAUGUUAUGUUCUUACUUUUGACCUUAAUCUAUUUUAUGUUUUCGACUUUAUAUCUUUAUAAAGUAUGUUUUCUACUUUUACACUGAUGGGGAAGAAAGUAAGCUUGGAGGCAUGAUAGAGGAUUUUGCAACCCGCUCGCGACGGUGUGGUAUAUUCUCUUUGAUGCACCCACUCUGACUUGAUUUCUCUUUAUACAUAUAUUCUUCUUACUAUUUUCGUGUAUUUCAGUUUAGUAGGUGAUUUUAAAUUUCGGGGACGAAAUUCUUUUUAAGGGGGGUAGAUUGUUACACCCGCCCCUAAUUUAAAUCGUAUUUUCACUAAGUUUGAGUUUAUCUUGCUUUUAAAAUUGUUUUUGGGUCUUAAAUGGUGUGCCCAAGGGGCCCCACCCCCUGUUUUGUCCCCCGUUCCCUUUCCCUUUCUUUUAUUUAUUUUCUUCUUUCUUCUUCUUCUUCUUCUUCUUUUCUGUUUCUUUUUCUUUCUUUUCCGUCUGUCCCUCUCGGCUCUCUCUGCGCCCUCUCUUCUUUGCACCGCAACAAGCACACGCACGCACCCAUUGCACCUGCGCGAGGAAGACCAUCAUCAUCUCGUCCUGCUCUCUCUCCCUCUCGUGUUUGCGAACCCAGAAAAUCGGAAAGGAUCUCCCGCGAGAUUUUUAUAUUUUCCGGUUAGGUAAGCCUUAAAUCCCUCUCUUUCGUCCUAGAAUCUUUGAGAAUGGGUUCUAAUUGGUUUUAUUUCGUGAUUUUUGGAGGUUUUAGGAUGAAAACAAACUCGGGUGCAUGAACACCCAUUUCCGGCGAGGAACCCGCCACUUUCGAGUUAAUCUCCGGCCAAACCACGGCGAGUUGGCCGGCGUGCAAGGUAUCAAUCUCUUCGUCUCGUCGAUUACUACAACUUUCCUUUUUGUUUCACCCAAUUUCGUUGAGUAUUGAAGAAGUUAUACUCAUUUGAAUCUUACCCAGUUUCCGGCGAGUCCGACGGCUUUCGAGGCUUUUUCCGGUCAAACCACGGCGAAUUAGACGUCGUGUGAGGUACCAUUCUCUUCGUCUCUUCGAGGGCUACAACUUUCGUUUUUGUCUCGCUUGAUUUCGUUGAGUUUUGACAAAGUUAUAGCCAUUUAAAAUUGGGUGGUUUUCCGGCCGAAAUUCCGGCCUUCUUCUUCCUCGGGUCCGGCAACCCAUCAAACUUGGGCCCUUUGGGCCGUUUCUGUUAAGGGCUUUAAGCCCAAACCCUAAACCUUUGGGCUUUAGGACCAAACCCAAGAACCCAAACCCUAUGACCCAAACCCGGAUCCAAGCCCAGACCUGUUUGACCUGGUUCGACCCGGAUCCUGACCCGUUGACUUUGACCGGUCAACGUUGACUUUUCUAGUUGACUUUUCGGGUUUUCGUCCAAGACCUUCCUAGGCUAAUUUCGACGUCCUGGAUCCGUUUUUGAAGUUCGUUUUCCCAAAUUCAAUCGUUUGAGUAGAGUUUGACUAAAUGGAUCAUUUAUGUGCUUAGGUGAAUUUAAUGACGGCGGUUCCGUUAUUCCUAUUUGGUAUGGCGUUGCACCAACGGUGUACGGUGAGUGGACCCCUUCUAAAAUGCAUGUUUUAUAGUAGAAAUGCAUACAUAAAAAGUAUGAUUUGAUGAUUACCUUUUAUGAAACGUUUUGUGAGAUAACAUGCUUAUUGAGGCUACUUUAAAUUAUUACUAUUUUUCCUAUAACCCGUGUUCUUAUAGAAUAUCUGAUGGAUGACGAUAUGAUAUUAGAACAUGUUUAGAAUGUCACAGCCCGUCCCGGGAUUUCUAUAUCGGGGGCGUGAAUUGACGUAACUACCCUUGACGGACAUUCGGGUACGUGUGUGUGCGACAUUAUUGAAUUAAUUUUGUAAGUUUUGGGAUUUUAAUUUUGGAAUUUGGAAAUUUUUGUGGUUAGGGAAUUGGAUGGAUGGUGAGGAUUGUGUUGGACCACACAAUCACACACACACGCACUCCCUGUCUUCUCUCCCUCCCGUAGCUCUCUCUGUCCCUCUCCCUCACGAUCUCUCUCUUUCCCCUCACCCUAUACGUACGGCCUUCACCCAAAACCCUUCAAAACUCGACGGAUCGAGGCAAAUAAGGUAUGCAUCUUCAUCCUUUCGUCGUCCUGAGUUCAUUGGUGCUAGUUUUAGGAAGUGAAACCUUCGAUUUCACAUAGAUCCCGAACCUCCAUUUUUGAGGUACUGUUCAUGCGAACGUAAAAUGUUGUGUUUCAGGAGAUUUCAAGCUUGUGGUGAGCUUUAGGAGGUUCCUAAGGAAGCUCGGGGACGUUCGUUGGAGAGUUUUGGACGUCGGGAUCGUAGGUUUCAAGUUUGGCCGAAUCUUUGGUUUUUCCAAGGUGAGAUUUCGUAGUUUUUAGGCCCUAAAACAAGUCCAACGUGAUUGUACACUCUUAGGGCUUCAAUUUGGUAUAAAAUACGAAGAAAAUGGGUGAAAAACGAAGGAGAAUAGUGAGUUUGAAAAUCGGCCGGAGUUCGGCCGGAGUCCGGCCACCAGAGAACCAGUCCGGCGAGACCUGCGAAGAAGACGACACGUGCGCUGCACGUGCUGCGCGUGGCCAGCGCGUGGACCCGUGCCACGUGUGGCGCGUGGGGGCGCGUGGGGCUUCCAAAAAUUUUUCUAAAAAUUUCUCGACGCUCGUGACGUCGAGUAGGUCGAUGUGGUAUAUUAUUAUACCAAAAUUGAGCAUCGUAUGAGAAGUUAUUUCAAAUUAUUGGUGAUGUGCUUAAAAUUAAUGUUUUUAUAGUUGUUUCGCAUAUAGGUGAGACGUAUCCCGAGGACGACCGCAUCCAGGGACGCCACGGGGGUUACGACGACCCGUCGACUUAUCAGUGAGUGGGCAGUUUUGUUUUCGUAUUACCUAUAUACUACUGUUUUUCCCAGAAAAAUGUUUAUAUGAAAAUAUGUUUUGAAUAUGCCAUGCAUAGAAUUAUUUGAAAAUCAUGAAUUGGUUUAUGAACUAUAUGAUUGAAAUAUGAUGCAUACAUGUUGCAUGGUGCUGUGGAGGCACAGGUAAGUCAGGUGAGUUCAUUUAUUCAUUGAAUUGUUGUUGUUGAGAUGAGUUGAGCUCAUAAUCUGCACCCUAGGUGUUAGUGCUUAUAUUAUUCACCACACCGCACGCUCGUCUUGGAUCCAAGUAGGUGGAUGUCGUACAGACCAUGUGAGGGUUCCGACAUGCUAGUCGUACAGAUCACUAGGCGUGAUUCCGACUAGUGGGUGACCUUAGUUAUGCGCGCUGAUGAUAUGAUGAGAGAAGCACUAGAGCGUAUUUUUACACCUUUCAUCGUAUAGACUACCUUACGUAGUUCCGAGUGAUGUGCAGAGUAGGGCCGUAUAGGUCACUGUGGUGACUCCGGCUUAGUGGGAUUUUUGAGCUAUUGAAUUAAUCGUAUAGGACCAACUGCAGGGUCUCCGAUUGAUUCCUUAUUUCACCUGAUUUAUAUUUUUUAUUUAUGUCAUGGCAUGUUUUCUUGAAAAUGUUAAAGAUUUGAGAUUUAAAUGUUGAGAUUUUAUAUGGUUAUAUAUAUUUCUGGGAAAGUAUACAGGUUUUUACGGCGAGGGGAUAUAACUGUUUUAAUGAAAUGUUUUGGAAAACUAAUUUGUUUUACUGACCCACUCAUUUUGUUUUGCGCCCCUCCAGGUUCUAGUUUAGCGGUGGUUGGCUCACGAGGUCCUUUCCGGCUUUCUGACAGAUUUGGGACAUGUAGGACUCACCUGAGGGUGAUGUAUUCUUAUUUUAGUCCUACUUGACUGCAGUUAACCUAUGCUCUGAACUUAUGUGUUUACUUGUAAACUCGUCCGGUUAUGUCCGUAUGUGGUUAUGUUGAGUUUGGGUUGAAUUUCUGUUGUUAUUACGCUUCCGUGUCGUGCUUAUGGUUACGUCACGCCCACGUGACGGCCAGCACACCUGGAUCCUCCGGAUCAGGGUGUGUCAGUUUGGUAUCAGAGCUUAGGUUGCAGUCCUGUAAAAUUGUUAAUGUCUUAACGAUCUUUUUGAUGUUUUCUGUCAGAAUCAUGCCGCCUCGUAGAGAGCGUAGGGAGUCCCGCCGUACUCCUGAACCUAAUUUCCCAGAUAUUACUCAGUUAGGGGAAGCGAUGGCCCAGGCUUUACAGAAUGUGAUUCGUCCUCCCCCUCCUCCGAGGACACCUCUGGAGACCAUGUACAACUUGAAGUUAGAUCGGUUUAUGGGUAAUGAAAGUCAUGAGGGGGCAGAGAAAUGGCUUGAUCAUAUUGAGAAAACCUUUCAGGUGAUGCAGAGUCAGGGGAAUCUCCCUGCUAAUAGGUGGGUGGAGACCACCACUUGGUUUCUGGGUUGUGAACCAGCAGCAUGGUGGAUAAAUCAGGCUAGGUACAUGUCACCUGAGACGGCAGCCGACUGGAAAGUAUUCAAGGAGCAUUUUAUGAAGAGAUUUCGUUCCUCCUGAGUAUAUUGACCGUAAGAAGCAGGAAUUCACCAGGUUGAAACAGAGAAAUAUGUCGGCACAUGAAUAUUAUAGAAAGUUUACUGAUUUGUCUCGUUAUGACACUGAUAUAGCUGGUAAUCAGGGAGAGAUGCUUCGACGUUUCAAGUUGGGAUCUAAGAAGAAGUGGCGUACCUUUGCCAAUGCACUUCCCUGCGCUGAUUAUCAUGAGUAUUUCGAGAUUUUGGUUAGGAUGGAGGACUCUGAUAAUCUUCCUGACAGUGAGGAUGACGAGGACAAGAAUGAGGGUCAGAAGAAGAAUGAUAAGGGUAAGGGUAUUUCUAUUCCUGGACCUCGACAGACACAGAGUUUUUAAGAAGAGUGGAGCGAGUUCGAGUUCUUCUAGUGGGGGAUAUAGUUUUACUGGCCCGAGGAGAGGUGGUGGAAGAUUUUCUGGUGGACCCAGAUUUCAGGGUCAGAGGGAUGCUGGUGGAUCUGGCGCUCCAUGGUGCCGCCGUUGUAACUCCCGUCACCAUGGUGAGUGUAGGAGAGGUUCUGGUGCCUUGUUUUUACGUGUGGGACAGAUGGGACAUCGGGCUUCUCAGUGCCCCCAGGGUCAGCAGAGACCGCAGCAGACUAAUAUGCCACCUCCAGCACCAGUUCAGCAGAGUUUUGGGACCGGGUGGUUAUGGCCAGCCGAGUCGUGGUGGUGCCUACCACUAUCAGGGGGAUGCUGCUCCGUAUGCUUCCGGACCUUAUCAGUAUUCUCAGGAGCCUUAUCCUCAGGCAGGGUAUUCUCAGGAUUUUGGAGGUUAUUCUUCUUAUUCCUCUAUGCCAGCUGGUGGAUCGCAGUGGCAUCAGGGAGGCCAGCCCCGUCAGGGGGAAGUUGCUACUGGUGGUGCAGGAUCAUCCAGGCAGCCUAGUCAGCCAGGCCAGGGACGAGGUAAUCAGGGCAAUAGAGGCCGAGGUGGACGUCAGCAAGCUCAGGGGCGAGUUAAUCAUAUUGUCCCUGCAGGAGGCUCAGAACCAUCCAGACUUGAUAAUGGGUACGUUAAAUGUUCUUGGUCAUUUUGCUAAGGUUUUGAUUGAUUGUGGCGCUACGCACUCUGUGAUUUCUCAUACGUUUGCUCAAAUAACCCAACCUCACCCUUCACCUCUAGGAUUUGAUUUAGAGUUUGCCAUGCCUAGAGGAGAUAAAUGUAUUGUGGAUAGUGUGUAUCUGGGGUGUCCAGUGAUGGUUGAGGGCGUGAUUAUGUCCGCUGAUCUUAUUCCGUUAGAUAUUGUGGAUUUUGAUGUGAUUUUAGGGGCCGAUUGGUUACACCAUAAUCGUGCCCAUAUUGAUUGUUAUGGUAAAUCAGUUACUUUUUAUCGUCCUGGAUUACCCGAGGUUAUUUUUGUGGGCGAGAGAAGUGGGGUGAGACAUGGAGUUAUUUCUGCCAUAAGGGCGAGGAAAUUAUUAUCGAAGGGUUGUCAGGGAUAUUUGGCACAUGUGGUAUUAAAUGAUGUUGCUCCUACUAGUAUAGAAGAAGUUGGUGUGGUCAGACAUUAUCCGGAUGUUUUCCCUGAUGAUUUGCCGGGAUUGCCGCCAGACAGAGAGGUGGAAUUCUCUAUUGAUUUGCUUCCAGGUACGGACCCUAUAUCUCUGACUCCUUAUAGAAUGGCUCCUGCUGAGUUAAGGGAAUUAAAAAUCCAGUUGCAAGAAUUACUUGAUAAAGGUUUUAUUCAACCUAGUUCUUCACCUUGGGGUGCCCCAGUAUUAUUUGUGAAGAAGAAGGAUGGAACUCUUUCGAUUGUGUAUUGAUUAUAGACAAUUGAACCGGGUAACGAUUAAAAACCGUUAUCCAUUGCCCCGCAUUGAUGAUUUGUUUGAUCAGCUGAAAGGUGCGUGUGUAUUUUCUAAGAUUGAUUUGAGAUCCGGGUAUUAUCAAUUGAAGAUUAAAGAAGACGAUGUACCUAAGACGGCUUUCCGAACUCGGUACGGACAUUAUGAAUUUUCGGUUAUGCCGUUUGGGUUGACUAAUGCACCUGCAGCUUUUAUGAGAUUAAUGAAUGAGGUAUUCCAGAAAUAUCUUGAUAAAUUUGUUAUUGUUUUUAUUGAUGAUAUUCUGGUAUACUCUAAGUCCCAAGCAGAUCAUAUCCGACACCUUAAUUUGGUGUUAAGGAAAUUAAGGGAGCAUCAGUUGUAUGCCAAGUUCAGUAAAUGUCAGUUUUGGUUGACUGAAGUGGCAUUUUUGGGGCAUGUUGUAUCAGCUCAAGGUAUUCAAGUUGAUCCUCAAAAGAUUGCAGCAGUGGAGAAUUGGGAGCAACCUCGAACCGUCACGGAGGUACGAAGUUUUCUUGGCUUAGCAGGUUAUUAUCGACGGUUCGUUCAGGAUUUCUCUAUGAUUGCUUUACCGUUGACAAAGUUGACCAGGAAGGAUGUUAAAUUUGAGUGGGAUGAGAAUUGUGAGCGGAGUUUUCAACAAUUGAAGUAUUGCCUCACUCAUGCACCGGUGUUGGUACUUCCCGACGAUAGCGGUAAUUUUGAGAUAUAUAGUGAUGCUUCAUUAAAUGGUUUGGGAUGUGUUUUGAUGCAGCAUAAUAAGGUGAUUGCCUAUGCUUCUAGGCAGUUGAAAAAAUCAUGAAAGGAACUAUCCUACUCACGAUCUUGAAUUGGCAGCAAUUGUUUUUGCUUUGAAAAUUUGGAGGACAUUACUUUGUAUGGUGAGAAGUGUAAGAUCUUCACUGAUCACAAGAGUCUUCAGUAUUUGUUUACUCAGCAUGAUCUUAAUCUUCGUCAGCGAAGGUGGAUGGAAUUGUUAAGUGAUUAUGAUUGUUCUAUUGAAUACCAUCCAGGUCGUGCUAAUGUAGUAGCGGAUGCACUGAGUAGGAAACCUCAAGGUAGACUUAAUGCCCUUAUAUGCUAGUCGUGUUCCUCUUCUUGCUGAAUCUGAGGACAACUGGGGUAAGGUUGGAAAUUGAAAGACCGAGGAUGGAGCUUUUCUUGCUAGUUUUCAAGUCAGGCCAGUUUUGGUGGAGCGUAUACUUGCAGCUCAGAUGGUGAAUGAGGAAAGUUCAAGGAGUUGGUUCAGUUAAGAAGUGAAGGGAAAAAGAAAGACCUCAGAAUUCGGGAAUCAGACGGUAUGCUCAUGCAAGAAGACAGAAUGUAUGUUCCGAAUAAUGAGGAAUUGAAGAAGGAAAUUCUGGACGAAGCACAUUGUUCAGCUUAUGCGAUGCAUCCGGGAGGAACAAAAAUGUAUAUCAUACCAUUCGACCAUUUUAUUAUUGGCCGGGUAUGAAAAGAGAAAUUGCAGAAUAUGUGAGCAGGUGUAUUAUUUGCCAGCAAGUGAAAGCAGAAAGAAAGAAGCCAUUUGGGCGAAUGCAACCCCUUCCUGUUCCCCAGUGGAAAUGGGAAAAUAUAACCAAUGGAUUUCGUGUAUAAACUUCCUCGUACGCGAAAUGGAUUUGAUGGUAUUUGGGUGAUUGUGGAUCGACUCACCAAGUCGGCGCAUUUCAUUCCUGUGAGGGAGAAAUACCCUCUGAAUAAAUUGGCUAAGUUGUUUAUUUCGAAGAUUGUCAAGUAUCAUGGAGUCCCAGUAAAUAUUAUCUCCGAUCGAGACCCGAGGUUUACUUCUAAAUUUUGGGUGGCUUUUCAGGAAGCUCUGGGUACUCAAUUACUGUAUAGCACAGCUUAUCAUCCUCAAACUGAUGGGCAAUCAGAGAGGACCAUUCAGACGUUGGAAGGAUAUGUUGAGAUCUUCAGUACUGCAAUUUGGUGAUUCUUGGCAUGAUCGUCUGGACUUAAUGGAGUUUGCUUAUAAUAACAGUUUUUCACUCGAGCAUUGGUAUGUCCCCAUUCGAGGCACUUUAUGGUAGGGCGUGUCGAACGCCAUUAUGUUGGUCUGAGGUUGGUGAACGGGUAUUAGAAGGCCCUGAGAUCGUGGAUGAGACGACUCAAAAUGUUCAGAUAAUUAAGUCAAACCUGAAAGCAGCCCAGGAUCGACAGAAGAGUUUAGCGGAUCGGCAUACUACUGAUCGAGUGUAUGAUGUGGGUGAUUGGGUAUUUUUGAAAUUGUCGCCUUGGAGAGGUGUAGUACGAUUUGGGAAAAGAGGAAAGUUAAGCCCGAGAUAUAUUGGACCUUAUGUGAUCACUGAAAGAGUUGGUGAAGUUGCCUAUCGGUUGGAACUGCCUCCGGAGUUAUCUAAGGUCCAUAAUGUGUUCCACGUCUCUAUGCUUCGGCAUUAUAUUUCUGAUCCUUCUCAUGUGAUCCCUCCUCAACCGUUAGAGAUUAAUCCGGAAUUUGACGUAUGAUGAGGAACCGGUCACUAUCUUGGAUUGGAAAGAUAAGGUUCUAAGGAACAAGACGGUGAGUUUGGUAAAGGUGUUGUGGAUGAACCAUUCUGCAGAGGAAGCCACCUGGGAGACGGAAGAUCGGAUGAGAGAGAUGUACCCAAGGUUAUUUUAUGGGUACUAAGUGGUUAAUUUGGAUUGUGGGAAUUUCGGGGACGAAAUUCUAUAAGGAGGGGAGAUUGUCACAGCCCGUCCCCGGGAUUUCUAUAUCGGGAAUGUGAAUUGACAGUAACUACCCUUGAUUGGACAUUCGGGUACGUGUGUGUGCGACAUUAAAUUGAAAUUUUGUAAGUUUUGGGAUUUUAAUUUUGGAAUUUGGAAAUUUUUUGUGGUUAGGGAAUUGGAUGGAUGGUGAGGAUUGUGUUGGACCACACAAUCACACACACACGCACUCCCUGUCUUCUCUCCCUCCCGUAGCUCUCUCUGUCCCUCUCCCUCACGAUCUCUCUCUUUCACCCUCACCCUAUACGUACGGCCUUCACCCAAAACCCUUCAAAACUCGACGGAUCGAGGGGCAAAUAAGGUAUGCAUCUUCAUCCUUUCGUCGUCCUGAGUUCAUUGGUGCUAGUUUUAGGAAGUGAAACCUUCGAUUUCACAUAGAUCCCGAACCUCCAUUUUUGAGGUACUGUUCAUGCGAACGUAAAAUGUUGUGUUUCAGGAGAUUUCAAGCUUGUGGUGAGCUUUAGGAGGUUCUAAGGAAGCUCGGGGACGUUCGUUGGAGAGUUUUGGACGUCGGGAUCGUAGGUUUCAAGUUUGGCCGAAUCUUUGGUUUUUCCAAGGUGAGAUUUCGUAGUUUUUAGGCCCUAAAACAAGUCCAACGUGAUUGUACACUCUUAGGGCUUCAAUUUGGUAUAAAAUACGAAGAAAAUGGGUGAAAAAACGAAGGAGAAUAGUGAGUUUGAAAAUCGGCCGGAGUUCGGCCGGAGUCCGGCCACCGGAGAACCAGUCCGGCGAGGACCUGCGAAGAAGACGACACGUGCGCUGCACGUGCUGCGCGUGGCCAGCGCGUGGACCCGUGCCACGUGUGGCGCGUGGGGGCGCGUGGGGCUUCCAAAAAAUUUUUCUAAAAAUUUCUCGACGCUCGUGACGUCGAGUAGGUCGAUGUGGUAUAUUAUUAUACCAAAAAUUGAGCAUCGUAUGAGAAGUUAUUUCAAAUUAUUGGUGAUGUGCUUUAAAAUUAAUGUUUUUAUAGUUGUUUCGCAUAUAGGUGAGACGUAUCCCGAGGACGACCGCAUCCAGGGACGCCACGGGGGUUACGACCCGUCGACUUAUCAGUGAAUGGGCAGUUUUGUUUUCGUAUUACCUAUAUACUACUGUUUUUCCCAGAAAAAUGCAUUUAUAUGAAAAUAUGUUUUUGAAUAUGCCAUGCAUAGAAUUAUUUGAAAAUCAUGAAUUGGUUUCACAUGAACUAUAUGAUUGAAAUAUGAUGCAUACAUGUUGCAUGGUGCUGUGGAGGCACAGGUAAGUCAGGUGAGUUCAUUUAUUCAUUGAAUUGUUGUUGUUGAGAUGAGUUGAGCUCAUAAUCUGCACCCUAGGUGUUAGUGCUUAUAUUAUUCACCACACCGCACGCUCGUCUUGGAUCCAAGUAGGUGGAUGUCGUACAGACCAUGUGAGGGUUCCGACAUGCUAGUCGUACAGAUCACUAGGCGUGAUUCCGACUAGUGGGUGACCUUAGUUAUGCGCGCUGAUGAUAUGAUGAGAGAAGCACUAGAGCGUAUUUUUACACCUUUCAUCGUAUAGACUACCUUACGUAGUUCCGAGUGAUGUGCAGAGUAGGGCCGUAUAGGUCACUGUGGUGACUCCGGCUUAGUGGGAUUUGAGCUAUUGAAUUAAUCGUAUAGGACCAACUGCAGGGUCUCCGAUUGAUUCCUUAUUCACCUGAUUUAUAUUUUUUAUUUAUGUCAUGGCAUGUUUUCUUGAAAAUGUUAAAGAUUUGAGAUUUAAAUGUUGAGAUUUUAUAUGGUUAUAUAUAUUUCUGGGAAAGUAUACAGGUUUUUACGGCGAGGGGAUAUAACUGUUUUAAUGAAAUGUUUUGGAAAACUAAUUUGUUUUACUGACCCACUCAUUUUGUUUUGCGCCCCUCCAGGUUCUAGUUUAGCGGUGGUUGGCUCACGAGGUCCUUUCCGGCUUUCUGACAGAUUUGGGACAUGUAGGACUCACCUGAGGGUGAUGUAUUCUUAUUUUAGUCCUACUUGACUGCAGUUAACCUAUGCUCUGAACUUAUGUGUUUACUUGUAACUCGUCCGGUUAUGUCCGUAUGUGGUUAUGUUGAGUUUGGGUUGAAUUUCUGUUGUUAUUACGCUUCCGUGUCGUGCUUAUGGUUACGUCACGCCCACGUGACGGCCAGCACACCUGGAUCCUCCGGAUCAGGGUGUGUCAUAGAACACCUCUUUAUAGUAUAGAUGAUGGAUGACUUUAUACUAUGAAGUUGUUUUUCAAUAUAUAUGUUCAAUGGUUUUGUACUUACCUAGUGGUCCUUUCCGCUACGGGACGUAGGGAUAGAUUCCGGUCAUUCCCGGGCGACGGUUUGGUGUUGGCAUAGGGCCUGGAGUGUGUUUCCUCUGGCUAUUUAGCACAGGGACGGGGAGCCGGCAUGGGGCCUGAAGUGUAUUUUCCUCUGACUGUCUGCUCAGAGACGGGGAGCCGGCAUGGGGCCUGGGGGUUAUCGGACAAUUCACUAGUGAUUAUUAUAUAUAUAAAAGUUAUGAUUUGAGACACUGCACAUCAUGCUAGGUUUCGGAAAACCUAUGUUUAUCAUUAUAUAUGUGUUUUCAUAAAACUUGGGGGUUAGUACGUUGAUAACUGUUUUGUUAUAUUUAUAUCAAAUUGGUCCACUCAUGUUUGUUUUGCGCCCCCUUCAGGAUUUAGGAUCGAGGCGUACAAUCCCGGCAAUCCAGGCACUUCCGCAUCGGUAUCUUCAAGUCCUCUCGGUGUAGAACCCACUUCUGUGUUCAUUCAAUUUUUAUAUUAAUCCUUUUAAUGUUCUAGAUUAGAUGUGUGCUCUGAACACGUUCCUUAAAUGCAUAUUCUUUAUUCUCUUAUAUUUAUAAGUUUUAUCUAUCCUUUAUUUUCAGCAAUUGCACUCAAUAAAUGGCUUUCGUCGCCCUCGGGUGUCGGCCAGCACGUGACCAUCCUGAUAUCCUGAGGAUAUCGGGAUCGGGGCGUGUCAAUUUGUGAAGAAGAAUUUUUAUGCACUGCAACUGUUUGAUCGUCUGUCUAAGAGAGGGAGUGCAAAUGUACAUGUGCUUUAUGUGGCCUCUUUAGAUAUGCAUGAUUUAGAAGCUAGCCCUAAACUGGAUGGUAGUAGCAGCAAGCCAAGGGUUAAAGAAGUGUCUUCUGAAGAAAAAGAUAAUGUGUCUCACAUUGAGAUUAAGAUUACUGAAUACCAUAGCUCCGAUGAAAAGUGUGUUCUGAGGUAUCUUAAUCUUUCAGACAACGCCAUGGGCAACUAUGGUGUCAAUGCAUUUGAGUCACUUCUUAGUUCACAAAACAAUUUGAGAGAACUUUAUUUGAUGAAUAUGGCAAGGCUCAAUAUGUGUCAUAACAUGAGGGAGUGGCACUGCGAUGCUAUUAGGAAGAUCAAAUGGCUGAAUGAGAAUGAGAUUUCUGUUAUGAUCAAUACCGAAGGACAAGCAAACUAUGAAGGUUUUUUUUAUUGUAUCAAAUAUGGUGAGGAGCUCACUUUUAAGCUGUUGCUCUAUUUCCAAGCUGUCAAGGCAAAAAGUCUUGGGUUUACUAAACUUGGGUCACCAAAAGAGGCUAAGAAGGUUGUUGGGAACAUGAAUGAUGUUACUGCUAGUGCCAAACAGCUAAAGGAGAUGGAACAAGGCUUGACCAGUUUGAUAGUUUUGGGGAAUGGGCGAUUGUCUGAUCUUAUUGCACAGCUGCAGGAUAUAUUAGAGGGUGUAAAUGAAGCUGAUAUCUUGCCGGAGAAGUUUGAUAAUGCAGUUAUUAAAGCUCAGAUUCCACAAUUGGCUCGAGAAAUCAGGGAGUUAACCUCAUCUCGACCUGUAACCAUCUACAAUGAGAAUUCUUCCUCUAGUGGGAAUUAUGCUUCAUAUUUAGUUCCACUUGCUGCACUUGCUGCAAUGGGCUAUUGUUACAUGUGGUGGAGAGAUUGGUCAUUUUCAGAUGUGAUGUAUGUGACAAGGCAUAAUAUGGCAAAUGUUGUUGAAGCUCUAAUUAGAGAGGUAGCUAGCAAGAGCAAUGACUUUGCUGGGAACGGAACAACAAAUACAUUGAAGAUGAGUGAAUGCGCUAUGGGCACCUAUUUAGAUUUAGUAUGCUCUCUUAGUCACCUGGAAAGCAAUUUUGGUGGUGCCUUAGUUAUUGAUUUACAUGUUGAGUUCUCUUUGUUUUUCACUUGUAACCCUGACUGUCGGCUUUUAUGGGAUCCAGGAGAUGCAAUGGCUAAAACUGUUAAGAUGAUACUCUAUUUUAAAAAUGUCAAGGCAGAGUGGCUUAACAGGGUUACAAAAAUAACCAAGUUUGGUAGUUUUAUGGUACAAUUGGAUAGAAGUGUUGAAGCUUUGAAUAAGGGCAAAAAGCAAAAAACUAGAGAUGGUGGAUAUGGUGAUGAGAUAAAGAGAUUGCAUGAUUUAAGCGUGAACAAGGUUGUGGAUAUGGCGACUAGGUUCGAAAGUGCAUUGGUAGGACAUGUUAACAAUAUAAUUUGUAGUACUACUGUAAGAUUGGAGAGACUUCACUCCGAUGAUUGGUGGUGUUCUGCUAUAUCUCAACUGCUGAUGAUUGGUAAAUCCAUCGUAUCUAGUUCAAACAAAACUCAGGAAGCAAAUGUGGAUGCUGUUUUGGGAACCGGUGAUCCGAGUCUACUAGUUGAGAACACUUCAGUUGAGCAGCUUGGUUUCGUCAGAAAGGUGACAAUCUUUAAGGACUCCACUUCCAUUAUUGGUGAUGCAGCAUCAAAAGAUGGGUUGCAAGUCCAUGGUGUGUCUCCAUUUGACAUUAUGGGCAGAAAUCUUUUCUGGGAAAAGCAACUGCAAAGGCUGCAAAUGGGAGCUGUCACAAGAAAGUUCUUGGUGGUUAAUUUCAGUUCUGGUUUUGAUGAAUCUUCAUAUCUCUCUCGGGUUGAAAAUUUUGAGGAGAUGUCACAAGAAAAUUAUGGAGAGGCUACAGGAAACAAGAACUCACUCACUCAGUUCAAGCGAGCUGCCAUACCUGGAAGGAUUAUAAUGAUUUCAAAGUCAAGUUCUACAAUUCCAUUUUUAAGCCUUGAGGACAAGGCUAAUUUUCAAGGGGGAAGUAUUGUUAUGACCCAAAUUAUUACUGAGGUUUUAUGCUUUAUUACUGUGAGGAAUUGUUAAUAUGCCAGCUGGCAUUUAAAAGUGUAGAGGUUUUAUAAAAGGAGCCCCAGCUCCCCCAAAUGUAUCAGAUCAGAAUUUUACAAAAGAAAUCAAUAUUGGAGCUCUGCUCCUUCUUCUCUCAUUCCCUCUUCUUCCAUAGCUUUCUUGUGCCACUUGCAGGUUGAUUAAGGGAAUUGAGAAUUAGAUCUUAUCAUAACGUCACUACCACAACUCCCAAUAUCAUCACGCUGAAUGUCCACACUCGGUUUCUGCUCAAUUAAAGCGUCAAUUUCCUGCAAAAUACUCUCAUCGAAAUCAUCAUCGUUAAGAAUUCCAGAUGCAGAGAAAGAAUCAAAUGAAGUCAGAAACUGCGGUUGUCUGAUUGGAGUUGUGAAAGAAUCCGAUUUUGACACGCUUGAUUCGGUCCGGCUAACGCUUAAGCUCCCGGAACACGAAGCACUGCCAUAUUCACCACGCGCUGAAUUGUACCGGCUUGCGGAAAUCGGAAGCGGUGUUCUUUGAACUCUAUUGAGCUGAGUUGGCGUUUGGAUUCCAUUUCCGCCAAAAAACACAAUUGAAUUGAUUUAAAUUGAAGCAAGAAAACAGCCAAGUAGCCAAAAAAUAGUAAGAAGAUGAAACCUUUGAUUCCUGAACGACUUACUUGGUAUGAGGGAGGUGAUGAUCAGGUGAAACGGCGUCGUUGCAGGGGCGUUUGCGAUCAAUGAGGGCCUUGGCGGCUCUGAAAUUCCGAGAGAUGCGGUUUCUUUGUUCCGCCGUGAGCCCUCCGCCGUACGCCUGAACGUUUUCCUUGGACAUUGCUUCCAAGAUUCCAACGGAGGAUUUGGCCUGACGGCCUGACCAGGCUGAUAACAGUGUAAAACCUUAGGAGCUAAGGAAAAACUAAGAGAGAGAUUGUAGAGAGGGAAAGUUUUUUCUUUUUGGAAACCAGUAGAGAGGGAAAGUUUGUUAAACCUGAAUAAUAUUCUUUUCAUUCAACUUGUCUACAAUAAUUACCACUCGUGGUAUUUAUACAUUUGUAACACACCUCACUAACUAACUAAGACCACCACCAAUCAUACAUAAACACUUGUCAUAAUCCUAUGCACUCAUAGUAUCAUCACUUUAACAUUCCCCUCAAGCUCAUGUGGCAGAUUGCCAAGCAUGAGAUUGGAACAAUUACGAGCGAACUGGGGUGAACACAAGCCUUUGGUGAACAUGUCGGCAUAUUGAUCUGCAGAGGUAACAAACUACAAAAUAAUUGUCCUUUGAUGAACUCUUUCACGAACAAAGUGGCAAUCAAUCUCUAUAUGUUUGGCUUUAUAGUGCAAUACAGGAUUAGUGGCAAGAGCCAUUGUUGAAAUGUUAUCACAAUGCAAAACUAGAACAGAAGGAGAACCAACAUGCAAAUCUCGAAGAAGCUGUUGUAUCCAGAUAACCUUAGCAGUGGUUGUAGCCAUUGCUCUAUAUUUAGCUUCAGUGGAAGACCUACUCACUGUAUGCUGCUUUUUAGAACUCCAAGAGAUAGGAGUAUCUCCCAAAAAAAUGACAAAACCCGUGGUUGAACGACAAUCAUUGGGAUCCCCUACCCAAUCAGCAUCUGUAUAAGCUUUCAACUGAGAUGAACCUGAUUUAAAACAUAAUCCCAAAGAUAUAGUGCCUCUGCGAUAUCGUAGAAUACGUUUCACAGCAGCAAAUGAGUGGCUAAGGGUGAAUGCAUAAACUGACGUACUUGAUUGACAGAAAAAUAAAUAUAUGGUCUUGUAAAUGUUACGUAUUGCAGUGCCCCAACAAUACUUUUGUAAGUGGUAGGAUCAAAAACAGGUUCACUACCAUGAUUCAGAAGCUUCUGAUUAGGAUGACAAGGUGUGGAAAAAAGGUUUACAGUCUAGCAUAUGCAUCUUUUAAAGGAGUUCUUUGACAUACUUGGUCUGAUGAACAAAGAGUCCCUGACCCUGAUACUCAAUCUGUAAACCAAGAAAAUAAUGCAACACACCUAGAUCUUUCAUGCCAAACUCACUAGUUAACUAACUAAUAACCUUCUGAACCUUCACAGCAUCAUUACCAGUGAGAAUGAUAUCAUCAACAUAUAAUAAGAGAACAAUAAUUGAUGAACCAUCACACUUGACAAAUAAAGAAGGAUCUGCAUAUGAUGACUUGAACCCAAGCUUAGGCAAAUAACCUGAAAACCUGUCAUGCUAGGCUCUGGGAGCUUGCUUGAGACCAUAUAAAAACCUCUCUAGUUUGCACACAUAAUCUGGAUAGGUAGAAUCCACAAACCUUUGGGACUGAGACAUAUAAACUUCUUCAUCAAGAAAGCCAUGCAAAAAAGCAUUAUUGACAUCUAACUGUUUGAGUUUCCAAUUAUGAGAUGCAGCCAAGGAUAAAACCAAUCGAACUAUGGUUGGUUUGACCACAGGGCUAAAGGUUUCAUAAUAGCUAAUACCAACUUCUUGAGAAUACCCAUUAGCUACAAUUCUAGCCUUGUACCUAGCCACUGAACCAUCUGGAUUUCUCUUAAUCUUGUAAAUCCAUUUACAACCAACAAGAUUUUUGUCAGGUGCUAAGGGCACAAGCUUCCAAGUAUGAAGCAUCCAUCUCUUCUUUCAUGGCAUUUUGCCAUUGAACACACUUGACUGCACUAGAAAAAGACCGAGGUCCAAUAAAUGGAAAUGUGGAAGAAACACUAGGUGGAUGAAUGAAUGUGUUUGAAUGCACAACAGACACUGGUGAGGAAGAAUGACCAGAAGUAACUUGAGGAUUGAAACCCAAAGCAUUAGAGUCUAUAGGAAACUUGGAUUCAUAAAAAAUAACAUGUCUAGAUACUAAUAGUUUAUGAUCUUUGAGAGAGAAGCAAAUAUACCCUUUGUAUUGUGUAGCAUACCCCAGAAAAAUACACUUAGUAGUUUUAGGUUCAAGUUUAUUGCUUCUAUAGGGUUUCAAUGAAGGAUAGCAUAAACACCCAAAAAAUCUCAAAUGAUCAAGCUUAGGUGGAGAUUUAUAUAGCAUUUCAAAAGGAGACUGCAUAUGUAGGGUAGGUGUGGGCAUUUUGUUUAUAAGAAAAGUAGCAGUGGCACAGGCAUGGAACUAGAAUUUUGAAGGUAAUGAAACUUGUUGUAAAAAGGUAAUAGUUGUUUCGACAAUAUGUUGAUUUUUUCUCUCAGCCAACCCAUUAUGUUAUGGGGUAUAAGGACAAGAUUUUUUAUGAACAAUGCCUUUGGUAAGAAGAAAUUGCUUAAACUGAGUACUAACAUAUUCCCUACCCCCAUCACUCUGCAAAAUUUUUACAUGAGCAUCAAAAUAAUUCGAGACAGAAGCAAGAAAGUUGACAAAAACAGUGAACACUGCAACUUUAUUAUUUAAUGGAAAAAUCUAGGUAUAUCUUGUACAUUCAUCAAUAAAGGAAACAUAAUACUUGUAACCUUCUAUAGACAAACUAGGUGAGGGACCCCAAACAUCUAUGUGAAUUACUUCAAAUGGAGUAAGUGACUUCGAAGCAAUUACAGGAAAAAGGAGCUUGGUAAACUUGCCUUGCAAACAAGCAUUACAAGUAUGAGAUUGAGAGUUACAAGGAAAAGAUAUACAAGACUUAUUAAGUGCUGCAGUGACAGUGGAAUGUGUAGGAUGGCCUAAUUGACAAUGCCACAAUGUAGAAGAAAUCUUUUGACCCACAAAUGCAACUGGAUUAAAAACAGGAGAAAUAGACCUCUGUGGUUUGAUUAUGGGAAGUGGAUAGACAACAUUAUUACUCAGCCCUUGGAAUAGCACUCUCCCGGUGACCUUGUCCUGUAGACAGAGAGAAACAUCAUCCAUGAUACAACGACACUGAUUAUCUUUGCACAACUGAUUCAUAGAUAAUAAGUGUUGUGACAGUUUUGGAACAUGUAACACAGAGUUUAACUUGAAAUUAUGUGACUAAGUGAGAAGAGAAGAGGAACCAAUAUGUUUGACAGCUAAACCUUCACCACUAGCACUGGUCACAAUAUCAUUUGAUGGAUAAAUUUAUUGUCAUGUGCAAGUUUGACAAAUCUGAGGUCAUAUGGUUAGUUGCUCCCAAGUCAAGAAACCAGAAAUCUUGUUGAAGAGUUGAGGAUGAUGCACCAGCUCGUGCUUGCAUAGCAAGAGGAGGAUUUUGUGAGGAUAUAGUUAAUAGAUACAUAUGUGGUAUGACAAGAUACUGAAACUGUGAGCUAUUAGACUGUGGAAUCAUGCCUUGUGAAGGACCACAUGGAUUCUAGCUAGGUGCUUCACCAUAUGACCCAGUAGGCAUUGGAGUUGGCAUAGAUGAGGAUAAACCCUAAGAGAAAUGCUCUGAUGUGCCUGUGAAAUUUUUAUUCUGAUCAAAGCAAGUAGCAGCAACAUGACAACCUCUGUGACAAAUUUGACAUCCAUGUUGAAAACAAUUCAAUGCAGAAUGACCUUUGCGAUCACAUAUUUGCAGAAUGGCCUUUGCAACCCUAGAAAGAAGGAGCGAAGAAGACCAAAUGUGUACGUUUCUCUUUGGUUUUUUUUCCCUCCUAAUCGCGCUGUUCGAAAUCACGGACCUCGGGCCUGGGCCUAGUGGGCCCAAUUAUGAGGCCCAUUAUCUCCGGUCUUCUCGUUCUACUUCUAGUUACCCAAAUUAAGAACGUACGCUUUUAGCGCGAGAGAGAAAUGGAGGCCCUGAUUGCCUCGUACGGAGACUCGUCGUCGGGCUCAGACUCCGAGUCGCCGGCUCCACCUCCACCACCACCUCCGGAGCUCAACAACCCUCAAGAACCGACCCCUGCGCUGCCUCCACCUCCUCUGUCACUUCUCGACAGCCCCAAUUCCUUCGGUAACCUCUGAUUCCCAUCAAUUUUCAUCUUUUAGCUUUCUGUUGUGAUGGCUUUUUCCGAGUUGCCCACCAAGUGUUUGAUGUUUUGCCUCCGAAGAAUUUCUGGACUUAUCGGCAAGCGCCCAGCCGAGCAGAGUUCGGAACUUUCCUCACGUCGAAGGGAACUACGCAGUACAUGUAUACAUCCCAGGUUAUCAAAAUUCUCGAAAUUUUCAGCUCCAUUAGCAAAUGCGAUCGCUUUGCACUUAGUUUUUGCUUGUUUAAUUGUGUGGUUCCAGUUUAUAUACCACCAGCACCAAGGAAAGAGAUGGCCUUGUUUUUGAACAAGCUAGCUUCUCUGCUGCCUGGUCUCCAUGCGGUUGACGUUGACUUCCCGCUUGACAUUCUGCGUAAGGACGAGCACAAGCUUGAACAAGUUGCUUUAGGCAGAGAGUUCCAUAUAAGUCUCGGAAGAACUGUUCCGAUGCGGGUGCACCAGAUUGAUUCCUUGGUGACAAUGCUGCGGCAGAAGCUUCAGAUUCAGAGGCGGUAUGGUUACAUUUACAUUCUCUUGUCUGCAUUGCGUGAAUUUAGUUCUGUUAUUUAACAUAAUUCUGUAAGCCUGUUUUCGUAUAAAUGCACGGUUGAAUCAGCUUUCAUUGUCUACAAGUCUGAAAUAUUUUAACUUCCAUUGAUUUCAGAUAACAAAGCAGAUUCAAGCUGUGAAUGAGGUGUAUAAGCUUCACAAUCUUCCUGAAUUUUACAAGGUUAGCUUUUUCGUGCUUUUCAAACUCGAAUCGGUUCCUGAAUGUAUGACAAUAUAUUGGAUCAAACGAUUUCUCAAAACACUAAUUCACUUGAUGGGGUCUUGGUGAUCACAGGAUCCACGCCCUCACAUCUCGGUAGCUUGAGCAUUGGGUGACAUCAGCAAUUCCCUGAACAAAGUGGUUGAAGAAGAAAGACGAAGAUCUACCAUCGGAGGAUCGUUACAGAAAUGUAUUUUUACCAGUAAAUUCAAUGGUAUCGAUAUCGAAUGUAGGAUUGGUAAUAAAACACACAAAAUAUGUAAAUUUUCUGAAGAAUAAUGUAGCCAUUUAACUGUAUUGUGAAAUUCCGAGAAUAUAUGGCUGAGCAUUGGAUGAGAAGACAUUUCUUCGUUGGUGUCGAACUUCUUGUCGAAGGUAUUGGCACCAGUGUAAACGUCAUCAUCCAUGUUGAUGGUAAUUACUUACCAGCUACUAAGGGUGUCGGAACAACCUUGCACGCACCCUCCUGUGCAUUACUUGGUAUUGUCUCGGAUUCUCCAAACUUGAAUGCUAAUGUAAACCCACUCUUGACCUUUCCGUCAUCUGCAAUUACCGGAAAGCCGGCUUGGAUGUUGCCGUUGACCUACCAAACUUAAAAUACCGACGAAAUGUUGGAGUACUUCAGUGUACUACUCGUUUUUGUAUGCGAGAGCUCCACCUCUAUCGUUGUAACAGCAUCUGAUGCGGACUAGUCCUUCAUUCCCGUUACUCUUUGCCAUCUCCACUUCAAACUUGGUGUGAUGGCUCCCGGCCUCCUCUCCGGUGAAAUUGAGUAACCCCGGAGCUGGCGUGCCAUCAAGAUUUCCGUUGUGUCUCUAUUUGCUGUUGUGGUUCGGUUCCACUAUAAACUUGGCAGAGUUAGCAUUUUCAUUCUGUUGUCUGUAUAUCUUGAUAUUACAAGUAUUUGUUGUGCAAAAUGCAUGCUAAGUUCAAGUUAUGUUUAUAUGUGUGUGUGUGUUGCCACUUUUCCAACGUUUUCUCCAAAAUUGUGACGAGCAACAAAGCAGUUUUGAUUCCGUGCACAACAACGAUACCUCGAAAGAAAUUGAUUCUUCCCCAGAAAGAUGUUUUAAAACAAAGUUGAACAAGGGAAGAAAACUUUUGAAUCGCAAUCAGAUGUCUGGUCAAAUUCUUUAACAGUUGAUGUAUACAGAAGUUCCUUGCUUAUGACACGACUUAUGAGAGGAUGUAUGUAUUGCAUUUGCAUCAAAAGAAAGAAAGAAGGUUGUAAGUGGUAAGGGAACGACUACCGAUGCCGCUCCACUUCUAAUCAAAGGGAUCGAUCCGAGGGUCGUGUUCACUUGCCAUCGCCAUUCCAGUGCAAAGGCAUGUCGGGCACAUUACCUGCCACAUUUACAGACGCAAUGUUAGAUAUAGCUGCCAUUUGGAAGUCAUCUCUCAAAAUUUUGCUACUAAAUUAAUCUUAAACUUCAUUUCCAGUGCAAUUUUUUUCUUCUGAAUUGUCUUUCACAUGCCCGACAAAUAGAAGUAUCACCAAACAUGUGAUAUAGAGCAUCUAAGCGGCAGGCACUAAAAGGAAUUUAGUAUGCAAUAAACAUUCAACGGACAUAAUUAUAUGUCUAACCUUUCCCGCUCCUGAGCAAUUUGAACAUCGUUCAGUUUUUGGCAGAGAUAGGGGUUGGUUUCCGCCAUCAGCUGUCGAUACUGGUUCAGUAAGAACAAGGGUUCCAGUGCUGGAGCAACGAGCACAAGCAAGAGAUCCUGCGUAAGUAUCAAAUACACAGGUAAGUUGACAUACGAAACCAAUCCGAACAUCUCCAUCGUAUAUAUUUAAAGCUACAGUACAUAAAACUAAAAGUCAGAAAUAUAGGACAUUAUCACACCAGUUCCAAGACAAUAUUUGCAUCGUUUAUGCUCCUGCUGUUUCACAUUGUUUAUUUCAACUACCAUCAAUGCUGAGAUCACUCCGACUGCUCCUCCAGAGAAUGACGCCACUAUGGGAUCAACUUGACUGCAGUUUGAAAGUAAAGGAGAUCAAUAAACGAAACUGGUAACAACAUAGUAUCAACAUUAUUUAGCUUCGUUUCAAGAAAGAUGACAUCCUAGGUUUUUCUAAUGUGUAAAAAUUGAGGAUCCUCGUAAAAUUUGACUAUAUCGGUUCCCAAAGCAUUUGAUUCCUACGUUACAGACGGAAAACAGCAACAAUCGAAUUUAAAGAUUCAUAACACGAUAGAUGGUACAAAAUUUCAAAACGAUAAUUACUAGAGAACAGGAGGGUUAAUAGCCUGAGAUAUGAGCAAUACCUCAACUGCAACGGCAGAUGCAUAUUUACUAUAAAGUCUUUAUAUGAUGUGCCUCCUAUUCCCAGCUUCAACUCCAACUGAAAGAUGUAAAGGUAAUUGUAGGCAAAGAGUUACAAACAUAACCGAAUCCAUGUUUUAUAAGCAACAACUACACUUAUUUUGAUAUGUUUCCUCAUUUUUUACUUGCAAAUUCCAAACCAUAUUGUCGGACCAGUAAAAGAAAAUAAUGUUUAUGAUAACUGUUAAAACUAAUUACAACAAGUUAAUGCAUAAAGAACUUACGGAGGGUGCUAUGAGGCCACCGAAAAGGAUAAACCCCGCAAUAAUUGAAUAACAAACAGCAUAAUACUGCUUAAGGUUGUCUGAACUCUGCAAGCAAUGAAUUCACCUUGUGAUUAAUACUUUGCACAAACACUAGUUUUCGCAAUUUUUUAUGAAUCGACAAAAGGCUACAACAAAAUAUGGCUAAAACAUGUCGGGGAUAUGAAAAUACAUGUCUUCACAGGGGCACCAGCUUACCAGGGGAGGCAAAAAUGGAAUGAACGAUGGAAAACUAGGAAGUUCGUUUUCUUGAUCUUCAUUUACCGCUCCAAGCUCUGCACGUUUAAUCCGCUGUUGUAUCCUCAGCCUGCGAACCUACGCAUAUCGAAGCUCAUUCUUAAAGAACACAUUUCUAAUGGCAAUUGGAGAGUAAUUUAAAACAUGCUACACUGAGAAAGUGGUAGCAACUAGCAAUUGCUCUCACCUCCUCCAUAUGCAAGAAAAUUUUGUUGCGACGACUCCGAAUAUUAUCUUGAAUUUCCUGCAGCUCCAUUGUGGCAAAAUCCUGCACUGUUUCAGGCCCCUCUAUGAUACAAAAUCUGCACCAUUAAGCAUGUAAAAAUUAAAAAUUACAAGCUACAAAGCAAUUUCCGUAUAGUUGUUGGGUUAAAUAACAUCAACAGCAAAUAAAUCACAUAGGUUUUUCACAUAAAGUUACAAACUUUCAAGGACUAAUAAGCUGUCUGCAAUCUCAUAAAUUUCACAGUGCAAAGUAACAAUCCAAAGCUUGGAACUUUAAAUUUCCACCUUCUGUUAAUUUUUUAGUGCACCUGGUGUCGUUAGAUUCGAGUAGUAUGUCACAUUAAAUUUUUUUUUUCUGUGCAUGCAUUUUUUUUUAAAAGAAAAUUUAUAUUGUUAAAGAGCGAGUUCGAAACUAUUACAUUAUGGAAGGACAUAGUACCGAAACUCCGACGAUCAAAAACAAAAUCAUGUACAACCACUCCAAGCAGUCAACAUGGCCAUCACAUAUUGAAUCCAAAAUGUUGACGCCCCAUUCGCUGCAUAUAAUGUACAGACGAGCGGCAGCUUCAACCAGUUCUGCCAUAUCCGGCUGGAUGAGAGCAGCUAAAGACAUGAUUGUUCCCUAAUAACAUGAAUAAAUUGAGUAAACACCAAAAGUAGCAGCAAGGGAAGGAGAUGUGAAGUAUAUGAAGAGGUGUAAGACCUGUGAAUGUCCAGCAACAAAGAUUUUGGAGCUUGUUGUCGAAUAAUGCAACGCGUCAUUUCUGGUAGAUCAAAUAGAGCCAAUUCCCGCCAACUCCAAUUCCAAAAUUUCUACAGUAAAGCAUAAAUCUUAUUCUCUCUUCUGAUAAAGAUGAGUGUCCCAGACUCCAACGUGUUCCACACACAUUCCCUACCCAUACAUCGAAACCUUCAUCUGCAAGGACGAAUCCCAGCGAUUCUUCUGGAGAAUUUAAGAAUCAUGCAUCACCUGGUUAAGAUCAAGAAAAGCCAGUAACCAAGUUCAAUUGAGUUAAAAUGUAUCCCAUGGAUGUUCAUCACUUUGCCCAAUUGUUCUUUUCAAGAAAGGAAAUUUCAACAGAACCUGAAAACUUCAGAUCAGGGGGCACCAAAUAGUGAGCUAUACAUUCAAAAUUUGAAAUAAUCAACUUAGUAGGACCAGUAUGUUGAAAAAAUAGGAAGGAGCUAUGAAAGUAAGACUUUUCACUAAUCAGGCGUCCAGAGAAUCCAUAUUUUACCCGCGUAUCAGUUACGGGGAACACUCCCCACCAGAGCAAUCUCAUUAGUCCUUCACAUCUCAACCGUACAGAAGUUGCACUAACAAACAUGACUCCUAUUAGUCCUUCACAUCUCAAAUCCAGGAAGUACCCAUCUUUCGUCUGAAUCUGGAAAAUAAGCAGCAGUCAAUUUAACAAUCUCGGUAUCUCAAAGUUACUCACUUUAAUCACAAAUUUAGCAAUUAAACAUAUAAAUGGGCAUUUUUUUAGGGAAAUAUUAGUAUAGUACUCACUGUGUGCUCGGAGCAAGAGUACCCAGAAAGCUCAAUGAGCUGCGCACAGAGGACUGCAGUGGUGAACGACAGCGACCGCACAGAGGACUGCAGUGGUGAACGACAGUGACCAAUUCUGUAAAAUUUAGUCGAGUUUUGGGAAAUUUCUGCAGCGAUUUCGGAGGUCAAGAGGCUGAUAAGGAAAGCCGCGACCAAAGGGCACUGGUCUGGAAGAAAGGCUUUGGUCGCCGCUAUCGCAAUUCACGAAGGAAGAAGUGCCCCAAAACAAUUUCGGCCCUGGACAGGUGCACUGUUUGCACUGAGCCAGGGCCGGCCCUGAAUCGCGAUAACGUCCUUCUCCAAACAGUAUAUAUACAGAUGCUAGAAAAAUCUACCGGAACUAUUCAAUUCUAGCGUCUACAGCUUUAGCAUUAGUUGGUACAAGGGGCAUUCUUCCAAAGAGGGAGAUGAAAUCGUUGAGGCACCAAAUAGUGAGCUAUACAUUCAAAAUUUGAAAUAACCUCUUGGUAGGACCAAUAUGUUGAAAAAAUUGGAAGGAGCUAUGAAAGUAUGGCUUUUCACUAAUCAGGCGUCCACAGAAUCAAUAUUUUACUCACAGAUCAUUUACGGGGAACACUCCCCACCAUAACAAUCUUUUUAGUCCUUCACAUCUCAAACCAAGUAGAAAUUGCAGUAACAAACACGACUUCUAUUAGUCCUUCACAUCUCAAACCCAGUAAGUACCCAUCUUUCGUCUGAAUCUGGAAAACAAGCAGCAGUGGAUUCAACAAUCUGGGUAUCUCAAAGUCACUCACUUUAAUCACAAAAUUAACAAUUAAACAUAUAAAUGGGCAUUUAUUUAGUGAAAUAUUAGUAUAGUACUCACUGUGUGCUCGGAGCAAGAGUACCCAGAAAGCUCAAUGAGCUGCGCACAGAGGGACUGCAGCGGUGACGACGGCAACCGAUUCUGUAAAAUUCAGUCGAGUUUUGGGCGAUUUCUGCAGCGAUUUCGGAGGUCAAGAGGCUGAUAAGGAAAGCUGGGACGGAAGGGCACUGGUCUGGAAGAAAGGCUCAGGACACCGCUGUCCCGAUUCGUGAAGGAAGAAGUGCCCCCAAAACAAUUUCGGCUCUGGACAGGUGUACUGUUUGCACUGGACCAGGGUCGGCCCUGGCGAUAACGUCCCCCAAACAGCACAUAUACAGAUGCUAGAAAUAUAUAAAUGUAACCUGAAACUACUAGAACCAUUCAAUUCUAGCGUCUACAGCUUUAGCAUUAGUUGGUACAAGGGACAUUCUUCCAAAGAGGGAGAUGAACUCAUUGAGGCUCUUAUUUAUUCCUCCUCUUGAUGUGCCCUUUUAGGCUGCUAAUUCCACACGAUCCAAUCUCAUACAUCUUCCCUGCAAAAGCAUGUGUGCCUGACUUCAAGAUCAAAUUUUUCCAACAAAAGAAACUUAAAGAUCAAACUCGCUAGAGGAAUAAGUGGUGCACAAGGGUGUUAAAAUCUUGACAUAUGUAUAUUUUUGGCAGAUUUUAUGUGAGCAUGCAACUAAAACUGGCAUCACUAUCAAUGGUGCACAAAGAUUGGUGGAAAACUUUAACAGUUUGAGUUGUAACUUCUCCAUUGUAUUUGUUAAGGCAAGACGGAUGUCAUCUAUUCAUUUUUCUGUAAAACUUAAAAGGCUGCAUAGCAGCUCUUGUUCGUUGUAUUGAAUACCGUGGUUUUACUGAUGAAUGCAGAGUUUGCUGAUGAUUCAUACGACAAGCAAUUGAAAAUCCCAUCAUUAUGCCCCCCAUAUACCAGAAGAAAAAAAAGUCAUUUACACAAAUUCAGAGCGUUCAUCCACUGUAAUUUGCAGAUAUAGAAACGUUAAGAUAAAAGGAAAUGCAAAGUACCUUUCACCAAAUUGGAGGAGCACCGGUGGCAUUAGCAAGUUAGCAACGGGAAUUGACAUACCAAUAUCUUCACAGUUUCUGCACAAGCACAAAUCAAAAGAAUCCGGAGGUGGAGUUAUGUACCUCUCCUUGGAAAAUGCCACCUCUUGGGAUUUCAAAAUAUGCGGCCGUGGCUAGCCGUCUGACCACGCCAAUUCCACCAAAGCCGCCGCAACGCGGUGUAGUGUCCGAUUGAUUGCUUCAAAUCAGAGCUUCGUAUCCAUGUGUUUAUCAGCAGAGAGUACCCAAAACCCCUGAAAAUUAUUUCUUUAUUCAGAUAAUAAAAUAUCCCAAAUUUCGAAUUUUAAUUCCGAAUCAAAAAUAGGGUUUGAAUUUUGAUUACCUAUAAAUUGGGGGGUUGCGGUGGAAAGGGAGUCAGCCAAGACGGCGAUAUGCGUCCUCGAGAGGGCUAUGAAAAUACAAAUUACAGAGCGUGUUGGGACGAUGUACAAGGCUUUUGCAGUCUCUCAAAUAUAAAUACCGAAGCUCCGUAAGGCGUUCAAUCCAGGGGGAAAGCUCUUUAAUAGAUGUUCCAUCCAGGAAAAGACUUCUUAAUCCUUCCAUAUUUUCUUCAAUGCUUGGAAACAACUCAAAUUUUGUACAACCGGAAAGAGAGAGAGAGAAAAGGGACUUGAGCUGACAAAUGCUGCUUGGAAGACUCUUAAGUUCUUUGCAAUCUUUUAGAUUCAAAUGAUUCAAUCCCGUAAGAUUAUUAAUUGACGAGGGCAGUUCUUUAAUUUUUGACCCGGAUAAAUUAAGCUCUUCUAACUCCUCCAUACCUUCUGAAAUCUUUGGAAACAUCUCAAGACUAGAGCAGCCAGAAAGAUUAAAGGUUUUGAGAGAUUUCAUACGAAUGCUGCUUGGAAGACUCUUAAGUUCCGUGCAAUUAUGUAGAUUCAAAUGACACAACCUCGUAAGAUUAUUAAUUGACGAGGACAGUUCUUUAAUUUUUGAGCAGGGUAAAUCAAGCUUUUCUAACCCCUCAAUACCUUCUGAAAUCGAUGGAAACAUCUCAAGACUGAAGCAGCCAUAAAGAUUAAAGGUUUUCAGACAUUUCAUAUGAAUGCAGCUUGGAAGACUCUUAAGUUCCUUGCAAUCUUUUAGGUUGAAAUGACUCAACCCCGUGAGAUUAUUAAUUGACAGGGACAGUUCUUUAAUUUUUGACCCGGAUAAAUUAAGCUCUUCUAACUCCUCCAUACCUUCUGAAAUCUCUGGAAACAUCUCAAGACUGGUGCAGUCAGAAAGAUUAAAGGUUUUGAGAGAUCUCAUACGAAUUUUGCUAGGUAGAAUCUUAAGUUCCUUGCAAUCUUUUAGGUUGAAAUGACUCAACCCCGAGAGAUUAUUAAUUGACAGGGGCAGUUCUUUAAUUUUUGACCCAGAUAAAUUAAGCUCUUCUAACCCCUCCAUACCUUCUGAAAUCUCUGGAAACAUCUCAAGACUGGAGCAGUCACAAAGAUUAAAGGUUUUGAGAGAUCUCAUACAAAUUUUGCUAGGUAGAAUCUUAAGUUCCUUGCAAUCUUUUAGGUUGAAAUGACUCAACCCCGAGAGAUUAUUAAUUGACAGGGGCAAUUCUUUAAUUUUUGACCCGGAUAAAUUAAGCUCUUCUAACUCCUCCAUACCUUCUGAAAUCUCUGGAAACAUCUCAAGACUGGAGCAGUCAGAAAGAUUCAAGGUUUUGAGAGAUCUCAUACAAAUUUUGCUAG
rnacentral:lncRNA from 1 species